AAGGUGACCGUCUGUGGCACACAGCCGUGUGAUAGCCUGCUUCCUAGGCCAUGUGUGGAAACACAAAGAUAUAUAGACUUUUUCAUACCCUUUUUAACUCAAAUUCAUGUAAUUUCGUAGUAAUUCUUGCCAAAAAAAUAUAAUAUAAUUAUAAAAUAAUUAAUUUGCACUUAAAUCAUUAACAUAUUGAAUUUUAAUUAAUUUUAUAAUAAAUUCUCAUAAAUUUUGAUUUAUUUUCGACAGAUUUGCACAAAAGAUGAAAUUGGCUCAGUGGACACUACUAGAAGCACAAAACUGUGAAGUGAUUUUUGAAACAUCGAGGCGAAUUAAUUUUUCAGCCUAAGACGGAUCAAAUGAUGAAUACUAAUACAUAAUAUAAUUAAUUUUAAUUAUAUCUAAUUUAUUUUGGGUAAAAAAAUUAUUAUUAAUUAUAAUAUAAAAGGAGGCCCAGUUGUGCUAAACCAAAAGACUAAUCCAAUCGAGCAAAUGGGCUGCCCAAAACCGUUCACCAUGCUGACCCAAUCAGCUUAAAAAAGAUGAUUUAUCAACUUGCAAAUCAGCCCUUGAAGUCUCCUUGAAAUUGCAUUCAAACCCCUCCACUUUCUAUCCUUUUAAAGAUUCACCCCAAGCUAAAUUUAGCAAGUUUGAAACACUCAAACUUGCCAUAUGUGUGGCCAGCCAAAAGGGUAUAUGGCUACAGAAUUUUUUCUAUUUUUAUUAGCCAAUCCCACCUAUAAAUACCUCAUUCACCUAUUCAUUUCAACACACUUUUCAUUAUUCACAUCUCUCUCACUUUCUCUUCUUGUUUCCCAUUUUCUUUCUUAUCCCUUCCUUGUCGGUUUCCCUCUUGAAAAAGAGCCCUUCAACCACCUUGGGUAGCAGCAUUCAAGUGCUUUUAGAAGCCUCAGUUCAACAAGAAUGAGUGGAGAAGGAAGAGCAGACCAAACUAGUCAGGCUUUAGAGAAACACAGGAUUUGAUUCUAGUUCCCUAUCAUUUAACUUUUAUUGUUGUUAUGAACAUGUCUAUGAAUAUUUGUUAUGUUGUUAUUCUUAAUUUAAUUAACAUGUGUUAAAUUUAAUUCGUGUUAGGUUGAUUGAAUUUCGUCCACUUAAGUUAUUAAAAUUAUGUUUGUGUUGUUAUAGAUCUUGGUAAAUUGUUUGAUUAAGUAAAAUAAUGAUUAUGUUAUUCCAGCAUUAUAAUUGUAAGGUAACUAAUGAAUUAAUUAUUAAUCGUAUUGAAAUUAUAAUUAAUUGACACAAUAUUUAAUCAAUGAAUGUUUAAUCUUCUAAGGUAACUGAGGGUUGAAUUAGCGAUGAUAUUAAAUGGUAAACUAACCUUGCAUAACUUGCAAGAUUAUUGUGAUUAAAUUAUUUCUUGUAGGUAUAUAUUGUUAUCUCAUUUAAUCUUUUACUUGCUUAUUAAAAUUAAUUAAUUUUUUGAAUUGACAUAGUAAUUUGUUCAAGAGAUUAGUUAAUUUAGUAAGUUUGUAUGUGCUAUAGUUAAUAAAUUACCAAUUUGCCGUGAAUUUAUUCGUAACAAUAUGAACCUUGUUUUGAUAAUAUUAACUUAAGAAAUAUAACUAAUCUAACACAAUUAUAUCAUCUUGAUUAAAAUAAUAUUUUGAAUGCGUGCAUUGAAACUUUUAUUUUAUUUUAUUUUACUCAGUUAAAUUUUAUUUUUCAAUCACUUCCUCAAAAUCAAAAUAUUUUUAAUCACCAAAGUGUUCAGAUCUCAUUUUAUAAAUAAUUUCCUUAAACAGUCCAUGUGGCUAUGAUAACUCAACAUUUACUUGUCACUUUAUUACUUGUUGCGAUUGUGUACACUUGCACAUUUCCGUCACUCCAAGUUUUUGGCGCCAUUGUUGGGGAUUGUUUUAAAAGUCAUUAUUUACGAAUAUUUUAAUUUUUCAUUUUAGUUUAUUUUUCGAUUUAAUUUUAACUUUGUUAAUUUUUUCCGUGUUUGUUUCAGGUUUUUAUGAUUACUGAUCAAAUUAUCGAUUUACUCCUCGUAGAUCCUAAAAUUGAAAGAACUUUUUGACAAUGAAGAAGACAGGCAGUUUAAAGAAGGACAGACGGGAUGAACUUCGAAAACCAAAAUUAAGGAAACGGAGCAAACCCUACUCAAAAUCCUAUCCUUAUCGCUGAUGAUAGGGAUAGAGCUCUAAGACAGUAUGUCGUGCUAGUGUUUCAUGAUCUUAAUCCAGGUAAUAGGAGACCUGAAAUCAAGGCACAACAAUUUGAGCUGAAGCCAUUCAUGUUCCAAAUGCUUCAGAUAGUGGGUCAAGUCAGUGGAAUGCCUACAAAAGAUCCUCACAUUCACUUAAAACUGUGUAUAGAGGUGAGAGAUUCUUUUAAGUUAGCCGGAGUACCUGAAGAUGUACUACAAUUAAAGCUAUUCCCAUACUCGCUAAGGGACGAAGCUCGAGCCAUGUUGAACUCAUUGCCACCACAUUCCAUUACCAUAUGGUAAGAGUUAGCAGAAAGAUUUCUUGUGAAGUACUUCCAACAUAGAAAAAUUGCUAAGUUGAGGAACAAGAUUACUACCUUCCAACAAUUGGAUGAUGAGUCCUUGUAUGAGGCAUGGGAGAGGUUUAAAGAACUAUUACGAAGAUGCCCUCAUCACGGAAUCCCUCAUUGCAUCCAAUUAGAGACGUUCUAUAAUAGCCCGAAUGCUCACAUGAGGAUAGUAGUGAACACUUCUGCUAAUGGUGCUCUCUUUUCUAAGUCUUAUAACGAGGCUUAUGAAAUCAUUGAAAGGAUUUCCAGCAAUAACUAUCAAUGGCCAACCAAUCGAGUAGCAUUAAGAAGACGAGUCAUAGGAAUACAUGAAGUGGAUCCAUUCACUUCUCUUGCAUCUCAAGUAUCUUCAAUUGCCUCAAUGCUUAAAAAUUUUAUGACUAAUGAGUUUAAUAAUUAAAAAUACUAAAAUCAUUAAAAACGUGUAACACCCCUUACCCUUAUUCUUUAUCGGAAUAGGGUACAAGACGUUGCCGGACUUAAACUCAAGCAAACAUACAAAAUCGGGCCAUAAAAUUUCAUUCAAAUCGAAUUCAUUCAUACAUAUGCAAAUUGUCCUUUAUAUGGGCCUACGAGGCCCAAAACAUACAUUGGGAGUGGCUUGGGGCUAAACCAAAAACUUUAGAAACUUUUGGGAAACUUAGAAGAUUUUUAUCAUGAAGCAGGACCAUACACCGUGUGGGUUAAGGGACACUCUCGUGUGGCAUAUCACACACCCGUGCUUCAGGCCGUGUCCAUCUUAAAGUGCAUUUUGUUUAUGACAUCAUCAUUAAAUUAAGGUCACACGGCCAAGUCACACACCCGUGUACUUAGGUCGUGUCCUCCACACGGCUCUGAAACAUGCCCGUGUGGUGGCUACUAGACAUUUUGUUCUGCCAAAAAUUAAGAUGCAGGGGACACACGGCCGGAUUACACACCCAUGGGGGCAGACCGUGUGUCACACAAGGCCUAGACACACGUCUGUGCGUCUACCUGUGUGGAAAAAUUAAAGGCUAUUUACCAAGCCAUUUGCCACCCUUAUUCACACAUACACUCAUACACUCACAUCAAUUCAAAGGCAUAAAACAUAACAUACUUAGGCAACCAAAACAUCCACAAUUCAACAAGCAUUCAUCACUAAUAACAUAACCCAUUACAUACACACAAUCACAAACCACAUCUCAAAGACAUAGGUACAUGCAUAAUCAUAUGGUCAAUGUAAGCCAUCAUUCAUGGCUAUACACAAAUUGGACCAUAACCAUUUUAAGCUAACACAUUUGGCCACAUUAACAAUGACAUAAUUAAUCAAUAGACCAAUACAUGUCAUAAACUUAAAAUACUUGCAUUCACUUAUACCCAAAUGAUAACUUGAUAGUGUGAUAGCAUCUCUGGCGAACUCCAACCCGAGCUAGCUAAAUUAACCUAUAAGAGAUAGGAAAGGAAGGGGAGUAAGCAAUAAAGCUGAGUAAGUUCAUAUACAAAUAAUAAACAACUGUUAACAUUCAUUUACUUUAUCCAUCCAUAACAAUACUAUUAUUACAAUUUGCAUUAAAUCUCAAGAUUACCACUUAUUCAUUCAUAGUGCUUACUCUUUUAACUUAUAAACACCAUUUACAUGCCUUGGCAUUAGCCUAGCCACCAUAGUCUCCCCAUUAUAACAUAUCACAUUAUUUAACAAGUUAUUUCCAUCCUCUUAAUAACAUGCACAUUAUUUAUGAGUAAUUUUCAUUUCAACAUAUAGUUCAACCACCUUUCACUUGCCUAAGCUCGUAUCUUACUAUAUUCUCAUAAUGACUUUAUUCGGCAAUUAUGCAUGUCUUUCUUUUUCCUCAUAUCCAAUGAAACACAAUUUAAAUAAAUAAACCAUACUAUAUCACAAUUCAAUUAGGCUCAUAAACCUAUCACAAGAUCAUUAUCAAAUUUUAUCAUGUAUCCAUUCAUCUUAAGUGUAAAUCAAUAUUCAUGAGGUUAUCGAUAUUUAUCAAGCAUAACUUACUCGAAUACAUUCUUACAGAAUGUUCAUCACACACCGAGCUCAUUACUCAUGAGUUGUUGUAGUACUUGUACCAUCUCGUAACAUAUUUAUACUUUUUUCAUCUCAUCAUUGAUAUACCCGUUGAACCACUCGAAAUACUAAAGGAUACUCGGAAGUCUUGCACAUAAGUGCCUCAUACGUAGCCAAAGAUACCUCAUAUCUCAUAACACAUGAAAGCUUAUUCUCGAGCUACUCACGAGUCUACUCACACAAGCUGUCGGUCAGGACGUAGCUACACUGGCUGCUCACACAAGCUGUCAGGUAUUCGCAAUACAUGCCGGACUACCCAGCCACCGGUAGGACAUACAAGACCAGUACCCGAAACCACAUAAACAUAUAUCACAUAUCUCAUGAGCUCAUAAAUCAAAGGGUUCCUAGUGACAUAUGACUCAUAUCCUAUUCUAUUCCUAAGGUUCAAACUAGAUUUUUCACACUUAUCAGAACUUGUUAAUUGUAUCCAUAGAAUUAAUCAUUCAUUCCAUACAUUAACAAGCAUUUAAAAUAUUUAAAAUACAAACUCAAUAAUGCACUAUUCACAUACGAACUUACCUCGAUACCAAUAUGGCAAAAAGGGACCUAACCGUCAAUUUCUCGUUUUUCCCUCGUUCUAGUCCGAACCUCGUUUUCUUUGAUAUAUAAUAUCACAUUUAGUCUAUUUAUUAGUCACAUUAUUCAAUGUGAUCCAAAAAUCACAUUAUUAAAAAAAUAUAUUUUUCCCCUAAAAUUUCACAUAUUUACAUUUUAGUCCCUAGGCUCAUAAAAUGAAAUUUUUUCAAUUUUUUUACUACCCAUGCAUAGCCGAAUCAUUUUCAUGCUUAUAGCAACCCAUAUUUUCCAUUAAAUCAGAUUUUUAAUGCAUUUUAUAACUUUUACAAAUAGGUCCUUUUAUGCAUUUUCACCUAAAAUCACUUAGUAAAAGUCAUUUCUCUAACCAUAAACAUGCAUUUUCUACCAUUAAACAUCAAAAUACACACAUAUUUGUCAUGGUUCAAAACCCUAUACUUUAACCAUAUCUCAAAUUAGUGGUAGAAAUAGAUAGAUCUUGUUACGAGGAUUUCAAAAAUGUAAAAAUCAUUAAAAAUAGGGCUAGAACGGACUUACAAUCGAGCUUGGAAGCUUGAAAAAUCCUAUCCAUUGUUUCUCUAUGCAAGUUUCGGCCAAGGGGUUGAAAAUGGAUAAAAAUUGGCUUUUAAUUUUGUUUUUAAUUCAUUUUAAUAACUAUGUGACCAAAAUGCCCUUAAUGAAAAACUUUGGAAACAUGCCUAAUCUAACACCCUUAACCCGGGUUCGACGCCAACACUGGGUACGAGGCAUUACCAUUCACAAAUCACAUAUAUACGUACAAUUCAGAUUAUACGAGCCCGUUAAAACUUAAAACUUUUUCAAACUUUGUCUAAAACUUCUUAUCUUGGGCCUACAAGGCCCAAAACACCUCUUGGAAGCUACUUGUAACACCCUUUACCCGUAUCCGUUAUCAGGAUAGGAUUCGAGGUAUUACCGAAACUUUACACUUUCAGUAUACUAACUCGGGUCACAAAAUUAAAUUUGAAUUUAAAACUUUUCAAUCAUGAACAUCUCGUCCCUUGUAUAGGCCUUCGAGACCUAUAUCAAAUCGAAAGGCAAUGCGGGAAAAAUAUGGGCACGUUCGAUUAACCUUGGGCUCCUCAGAAAAUUUUCAUUGACAUAAACGGACACACGCCCGUGUAGGUAGGCUGUGUGGACUCACACGCCCGUGUAUCUUGGGGCACGCCCAUGUCCUUCAACCGUGGGCAACACUGACUUAUCAACACGGCAAUGGCACACGCCCGUGCUUCCUGCCCGUGGACGAAACUAUCAUUUUAACACGGCCAUGGCGCACGCCCGUGCUGCCUGUCCGUGUACAACUUUGAGCUAAAAUUUUAAGUGCAGGGGACACACGGCCAUAGCACACGCCCAUGGGAGGGAACCAUGUAUCACACACGGCCUAGACACACGCCCGUGUGUCCAACUAUGUGAACUUUAUUAGGCUAUUUUCCAAGCCUUUAUUCACCCCUUUUCUACUACUUGUGCCUAGUGGUUACCAAGUUUAAGAGAAAACAUAAUUUUACGAUUGUAAAUAAUCUUAAUGAAAAUAGUUGUAUGGAAACCUCAUAUCAUUGGUUUCAUACAUAAAUGGUUAUUUCCUCUUUAGAGUCAUGGGUUCCCAUGUUACAUUCAUCCAUCCGAAAUUGGCUCAUUCAUGUGACUCAUUGCCAAUUGAUAGCAACCCAUCAUUUGUAAUUAAAACCAUGCAUAAAAUCGUAGGUCGUAACCUACUUAAAUUAAGCCAAUUUUCAUGGCCAUAUACAAAGAGAUAAACAUAUUUUUGCAUGCCUUCACUUGGAAAAUCAAAUGACACAUAUAACAAAAUACUCAAAAAUAUUAUACAUGGCAUUGAACAAAAUAAACAGAGUCUUUAUACCAAAGCUUAUUUAGUUGAUAGUGUGCUGACUCUCCAAUUUUCUUCCAGUCCUUAUGAGUUCUCGAGCUCUGCGAGACAGGGAAAAGAGAGGGGUAAGCAUUUACAUGCUUAGUAAGCUCAAAUAACUGGAAGGUAAACUUACCGAGUAAUUAGCAUACAUCCAUAUUUAAAUCAUGAAAUCAUCAAUUAUGAAACGAUUUCCUAUCAUGUGCACUCAAUCAAUGAGUUAGUUACAUAACAAAAUGUCAUGUAAUUUAUGUAGAUGAGCUCAUCAUUCAUCAUCUUAUUGACAUACAUCAUAUUAAUCCCGUUGAGUUUCUAGGAAAUCUUGAUGGAAUACCCAUUAUCUUUCAAUUCUUAUGAAUGAUCAUUUCACAUAUAUGCACUCCCGCAAAUCUCACAUCUCAUGGCAGGAUUACCAUUCCAGGCUAAAUCCUUCAUAUCACAAACUCGUAAGGUGAUGUUGGGAUUACCAGUCCAGGCUAAAUCCCUUAUAGCGACAAACACCCUUAAUGAGCUCGGACCUAAAUUACUAGUCCAGGCUAAAUUCAGACCCUAAUCGGAUCACCCGUCCGGGCUAAACCCAUAAUGCACACAUAUUCUUUGGGAGGCUUAAUCAUUCAAGGAAAACUCAUCCGAGGUAUAUUCGUUUUCAUACUUGAGAUCACGGAUUACCCAUCCAGGCUAAAUCUUACUGCAACACAUGCAGGAUCUCAGUUCACAUGUCAAAAAGGGUUUGUCCAUCGAAUUCCAUUUUUCAACCUCAACCGAGACAUUUUUACAUGUUAUCAUCAAAUAUGCAUUUCUACGAUAUUCAUGCCAAUAAUAAAUACAAUCAUCAUUGCAUUCGUAAAUCAUACAAUUAUACAUAUUAGGGGUUUACUUUAAGUUAUCCGAACUUACAUUGGUAUUCGUUUCAGAGAUAUGUUUUGGUUAUUCCGAAACCUUACAUUUACCACGAUCGACAUCCGGAAUUUAUUCCUCGGGGUCUAUAUCAAUAAAAUUAACUCACUAAUACACUACAUUAUGUAUUUCAAGUUUAAUAUCUACUUCCGGUCCAAAUGGCCAUUUUGCCCCUAACCUUUUACAUUUUUACGAUUUAGUCCCUAGGCUCGUAUAAUGAAACACAUGCACUUUCGAUCUUUCCCAAGCCUAGUCGAACACUUUUCCUUCUUAUGGUAGCCCACAUUAUCCAUUUUUUUCUCAUUUCUACCACACAUUUACAUCUUUUACAAAAUAGUCCCUACAAAGGUUUUUCAUGAAAAUCAACUAGGAAAAUAUGUUUAAUUCACAUUCAUCUUUCAUAUUCCUCCAUAAUCCAUCAAAAUACAAGCAACUCAUGCAUGGGUAAAUUUUGAACCCUAGCAUGAAAUAUGGGUAGAAAUGGAGAGAGCAAGCUACCGGUAUUUCAAAAAUACAAAUAGCAUGAAAAACGGGGCUUGGGAGCACUUACUAUUGAACUUGGAAAGCUUGAAACCCUAGCUAUGGAGAACUCCAAAUUUUCGACUAGAUGGAGGAGAAAAAUGGCUGAUUUUGGCUUGAUUUUUCCCAUUUUAAUUCAUUAAAAUGAUAAAUGACCAAAAUGCCCUUAUGCCCUUUCUUUAAAAUUUCAUCCAUACAAGCCCAUUUUUGUCCAAAAAUUUAGAAUUUGGACAAAUUUCUCUCCAAGACAUUCUAAUUCAUAAUCUAAAGCAAUUUCAUAUAAAUUGCUUCUAGAAAUCAAGUUUUUCAAUUUAUUCAAUUUAAUCCCUAAUUUCAAUUGAACACCUUAUACUUAGAAUUUCUUCAUGAAACUUUAACACAUGCUUAUACUCAUAUUCUAGGCCUCAUAAUAAUCAUAAAAUAAAUAUUUUGAUGUCAGAUUUGUGGUCCCAAAACCUCUAUUCCACUAGGCCCUAUUUCAGGAUGUUACAUUUCUCCCCCCUUAAGGACUUACAUCCUCGAAAGUCUUACCAGAAAAUAGAUUUGAAUAUUGGCUUCUCAUGGUUUCUUUCGACUCCCAUGUAGCUUCUUCAACACCAUGUCGAUGCCAUAGAAAUUUUACAAGAGCCAUAGCUUUAUUUCUCAAUUGUUUAACUUCCCGAGCCAAUAUCUUAACCGGUUAUUCUCCAUAGGUCAUGUCCGGUCGACUUUCAAUCUCAGUCAGUGAAAUUUCAUGAGAGGGGUCUGAUCGGUAUCUCAUUAACAUGGAUACAUGAAAUACGUCAUGAAUCAUUUCCAGUUCGGGUGGCAAUGCCAAACAAUAGGCUAACGGUCCAACUCUUUCGGUGACCUCGUACGGUCCGAUAAAUCGUGGACUCAGUUUACCUUUCCGACCAAAUCUCAAUACCUUUUUCCAUGGAGAUACUUUCAAGAAUACUCUAUCUCCAACUUGCAACUCAAUUUCCUUUCUUUUCAGAUCAGCAUAAGACUUUUGCCUAUCUGAUGCCGCUUUUAAGUAAUCACCUAUCACUUUAACUUUUUCUUCAGUUUCUUUGAUCAGAUCAACUCCAUGAAUUUGAUUUUCCUUGAGUUCUGUCCAGUACAAUGGAGUUUGGCACUUCCCACUAUACAAGGCCUCAUAAGGCGCCAUUUUCAAACUUGUUUGGAAACUAUUGUUGUAGGCAAACUCUACCAAUGGCAGGUAUUUUUCCCAACUAUCCUGAAAUUCAAGGAUGCAACAACGCAACAUGUCCUCAAGAAUCUGAAUCAUCCGCUCAGACUGACCAUCGGUCUGAGGGUGAAAAUUUGUGCUAAAGCUCAACUUUGUACCUAAGGCUUCUUGUAACUUCUUCCAGAAUCUCGAAGUGAACCUCAGGUCUCUGUCUGAAAUAAUCGACAUUGGUACUCCAUGUAAUCUUACUAUCUCAGAAAUAUACAAAUCGGCCAAUCUAUCAAGAGGAUAAUCCAUCCUUACUGGAAUGAAAUGAGCCGACUUUGUCAAUUUAUCCACUAUAACCCAUAUGGCAUCUUUCUUUUUCGGAGUCAUAGGUAGUCCUGUCACGAAGUCCAUGGUAAUUCUGUCCCACUUCCAUUCGGGGACCAUUAUAGGCUGUAACAAACAUGAAGGCACUUGAUGUUCAGCUUUAACUUGCUGACAUACCAAGCAUUUCGACACAAAUUCAGAAACAUCUCUUUUCAUGCCGUUCCACUAGUACAUCUUCUUUAAAUCGUUGUACAUCUUGGUACUUCUCGGGUGAACAGACAAACGACUAUUAUGUGCUUCUUGCAAAAUCUUCUGAAUAAGUUCAUUGUCUCUGGGUACACAAACCCUAUCUCUAAACAUUAAACAUCCAUCAAGACUAAUUCGAAAAUCUGACUCAACACCAGACUCACAUUGAACUCGUUUUGCUUGCAAGUCAUCAUCAUUAAGCUGAGCAUCAUGAAUUUUCUGCAGAAAUGUUGGCCUAGCCUCCAGCUCAGCCAGAACUAAACCAUCAUCAAGCAAAGUCAAACGAGUAUGCAUGGCUCUCAAAGCAUACAGGGAUUUUCUACUCAAUGCAUCGGCGACCAUAUUCGGCUUUCCCAGGUGAUAGUCGAUAAUCAGAUCAUAAUGCUUAAUUAAUUCUAACCAUCUCCGCUGUCUCAAAUUUAGUUCUUUCUGAGUCAUCAAGUACUUCAAACUUUUGUGGUCUGUGAAUAUAUGGCAAGUCUCACCAUGCAAAUAAUGCCUCCAAAUUUUUAAGGCAAAAACAAUAGCAGCAAGCUCUAGGUUGUUGGUUGGAUAAUUCUUCUCGUGAAACUUCAAUUGCCUUGAAGCAUAGGCUAUCACCUUUCCAUCUUGCAUAAGCACACAACCUAAUCCAUUUAAGUAUGCAUCACUGUAGACUACAAAUUCUUUUCUCGGUUCAGGUAGCACUAAGACAGGAGCUUCAGUCAACAAUGUCUUUAAAUUCUCAAAACUUUGCUGACACUUCUUUGUCCAUUCAAACUUAACGUCUUUCUGUAGCAGCUUUGUCAUCAGAGUCACUAUCACGGAAAACCCUUUUACAAACCUUCGAUAGUAACCAGCUAAGCCCAAAAAGCUUCUAACCUCGGUUACAUUCUUAGGCGAUUUCCAUUCGACAAUUGCAGAAAUCUUACUUGGAUCAACUCGGAUGCCUUCACCCGAAACUAUAUGACUCAAAAAUCCAACUUCCUGGAGCCAAAACUCACUCUUGCUAAACUUAGCAUAUAGUUGCUUUUCUCGCAAGGUCUGCAACACAGUUCCCAGGUGCUUUGCAUGCUCUAUCUCAUUUUUAGAGUAGAUCAAAAUGUCGACAAUAAACACAACAACAAACUUAUCCAAAUAUGGCCAAAAGAUCCUAUUCAUUAGAUCCAUGAACACAGCUGGUGCAUUCGUCAGCCCAAAUGACAUGACAAGAAAUUCAUAAUGGCCAUACCUCGUUCUGAAAGUUGUUUUUGGUACAUCCGAGUCUUUAACUCAUAGUUGAUAAUAGCUAGACCUUAAGUCUAUCUUAGAGAAUACGGUGGCUCCUCUCAACUGGUCAAACAAAUCAUCGAUCCUUGGCAAAGGAUAUUUAUUCUUGAUAGUCACGUUGUUCAGUUGCCGAUAAUCGAUACAUAACCUCAUCGAACCAUCAUUCUUCUUUACGAAUAACACGGGGGCACCCUAAGGUGAAAAACUUGGCCUAGUAAAUCCUUUAUCCGUCAAUUCUUGCAACUGUGCUUUUAACUCCUUCAGCUCUGUAGGUGUCAUUCUGUACGGGGCAAUAGAAAUGGGAGUCAUCCCUGGCACUAACUCAAUACCAAACUCUAUCUCCCUUUUAGGAGGUAAUCCGGGUAAUUCCUCCGGAAACACAUCUGGGUACUCACAAACUAUCGACACAGACUCAAUCUUCAAUUCAGUUUCCUUAGUGUUCAACACAAAUGCAAGGUAGGCUUCGUAUCUUUUCCUCAUAUAUCUCUGAGCAACCAUCGUUGUGAUUAGAACCAGAGACGAACCCAAUUCUCUUGAUUCAACCCGUAGAGUCUUACCAUCCGGGCAUUUCAACUUAAUGUACUUAGUACCACAAUUCACUAUUACAUCAUGAAAGGCUAACCAAUCCAUACCAAGUAUUACAUCAAAUUCAUCAAAUGGUAACAACAUAAGGUUAGCCGGGAAACAACGACCUUGAAUCGUCAAAGGACAAUUCUUACAGAUUUUAUCAACUAGAACCGACUUGCCUAGUGGGUUCGACACUCUAAUAAUAUCUUCCGUAUGUUCAACAGGUAUGUUCAUACCAGAUGCCAAUCUCAUGCAGAUAUAUGAAUGUGUCGACCCCGGAUCAACUAAAGCAACAACACUUAUAUUAAAAAGAGAGAAGGUACCCGUAAUAACAUCAAGAGCAGCGGCUUCCUCUCGGGCACAUAUUGCAUAUGUUCUUCUGGGGCUCGAACUUCUAAUUUUGCAGUGUCUUUAGUCAUAACUCGACUAUCACUAGCACUCCAAGGGUAUCUCGGAGGUCUACCUCGUGGAAUGGGAGCACUCGACUUCGGAGUUAUUUCCUCAUCUUUUUCAGCUCGUUCCAGGCAGUCUCUGAGAAAAUGAUCAAGAGAACCACAUCUAAAACAUGCGCCACUUUUCAUUCGGCACUCUCCGAAGUGAAAUUUGUUGCAGCUCUUACACUUCAGUUUUUUAUCAUCUACACUCUCCACACUAGUCACCAUCGGAGAGGAAGAUUUUUGACCUCGUCACUUAGAGCUUCUUGAUCUACCAGAAUAUCCCACUGACGAAGUGGAGCGUUCAUGUUAACUUCUGGCUUUCUUCAUGGAGAACGAGAGUGUUUUACAGCUAGGCCUCUUGCUCGCAACUCGAGCCUCUCUCUUAUCUUGUUUUCUUUCAUUAUUAAGUUCCUCGGCCUUCUUGGCUCGAUCAUCCAAUGCGGCAAACUCUCGUAUUUCCAAGAUCCCAAUCAACAACUUGAUGUCCUCAUUCAGGCCUUCCUCGAAGCGUUUACACAUUUUCGAUUCAGUUUGGACCAAUUCAGUUGCGUACUGACUUAGUCGUACGAACUCUCUCUCAUACUCCGCUACAGUCUUGUUCCCUUUUUUGAGUUCCAGGAACUCCUUUCGCUUCGAGUCCAAAAACCUUUAGCUAAUAUAUUUCUUCCUAAACUUUGUUUCGAAGAAAUCCCAAGUAAUAUUUUCUUUCGGCACUACCGAGGAUACGGUCUUCCACCAAUUGUAUGCAGUGUCCUUCAAAAGGAACACAGCACACUUCAAACAUUCUUCGGGUGUGCAUGACAAAUCAUCUAGCACCCGUGUAGUGUUCUCGAGCCAGAACUCGGCUCAUUCAGUGUCAUCAUCAACCUUCGCUCUAAAUUCCUUAGCCCCAUACUUUUUAAGCUUAUCUACCAGGGCUUUACCAAUUCUUACCGAUGCCAUACCUCGUGACACAUCCUCAUCAGUUUGGUUAGGGGGCAGGGGAGGUCUCAGUAUGUUGGGGCAAUUUCUCAAAUAAUCCCCAAACCAUUCAUCCAUCAUAUCAAAGAAGGCAGCUCAGGCCUCUUCUCGGCCUUUUGACAUCGACCUUCUACUACUACUAGAUACAGCUUGCUAUACGGAAGCUGGAGCAUGGCUCUCGGCUCCCUCGGACUUAUCUUGUGCUUCAUUGGAAGACAUUUACUAUAUUCAAAACAAUUUAAACAAUUAGGAGACGUCACACUAUCAACAUUCAAAUAAUGGCAUGUAUAGCGAACUUUAACAUCCUCUACGGUAGUCCUAGAACCGACUAAACUGUAGCUCUGAUACCAAUAAAUGUAACACCCCUCACCCGUAUCCGUUAUCAGGAUAGGAUUCGAGGUAUUACCGGAACUUUACACUUUUAGUAUACUAACUCGGGUCACAAAAUUUCAUUUGAAUUUAAAACUUUUCAAUCAUGAACAUCUAGUCUCUUGUAUAGUCCUUCGAGACCUAUAUCAAAUCGAAAGGAAAUGCGGGAUAAAUACGGACACGUUCAAUUAACGUUGGGCUCCUCAAAAAAUUUUCCUUAACAUAAAAGGACACAUGCCCGUGUAGGUGGGCCGUGUAGAAUCGCACGCCCAUGUAUCUUGGGGCACUCCCAUGCCCUUCAACCGUGGGCAACACUGACUUAUCAACACGGCCAUGGUACACGGCCGUGCUUCCUGCCCGUGGACGAAAAUGUCAUUUUAACACAGCCAUGGAGCAUGCCCGUGCUGCCUAUCUGUGUACAACUUUGAGCUAAAAUUUUAAGUGCAGAGGACACACGGCCAUAGUACACGCUCAUGGGAGGGAACCAUGUGUCACACACGACCUAGACACACGCCCGUGUGUCCAACCAUGUAAAAUUUAUUAGGCUAUUUUCCAAUCCUUUAGUCACCCAUUUCUACUACUUGUGCCUAGUGGUUACCAAGUUUGAGAGAAAACAUAAUUUUACACUUGUAAAUAAUCUUAAUGAAAAUAGUUGUAUGGAAACUACAUAUCAUUGGUUUCAUGAAUAAAUGGUUAUUUUCUCUUAAGAGUCAUGGGUUCCCAUGUUACAUUAAUCCAUCCUAAAUUGGCUCAUUCAUGUGACUCAUUGCCAAUUGAUAGCAACCCAUCAUUUGUAAUUAAAACCAUGCAUAAAAUCGUAGGUCAUAGCCUACUUAAAUUAAGAUAAUUUUCAUGGCCAUAUACAAAGAGAUAAACAUAUUUUUACAUGCCUUUACUUGGAAAAUCAAACGACACAUAUAACAAAAUACUCAAAAAUACUAUAUAUGCCAUUGAACAAAAUAAACAGAGUCUUUAUACCAAAGCUUGCUUAGUUGAUAGUGUGUUGACUCUCCAAUUGUCUUCCAGUCCUUAUGAGUCCUCGAGCUCUACGAGACAGGGAAAAGAGAGGAGUAAGAAUUUACAUGCUUAGUAAGCUCGAAUAACCGGAAGGUAAACUUACCGAGUAAUUAGCAUACAUCGAUAUUUAAAUCAUAAAAUCAUCAAUUAUGAAACGAUUCCCUAUCACGUGCACUCAAUCAAUGAGUUAGUUACAUAACAAAAUGUCAUGUAAUUUAUGUAGAUGAGCUCAUCAUUCAUCAUCUUAUUGACAUACAUCAUAUUAAUCCCGUUGAGUUUCUAGGAAAUCUUGAUGGAAUACCUAUUAUCUGUCAAUUCUUAUGAAUAUUCAUUUCACAUAUAUGCACUCCCGCGAAUCUCACAUGUGAUAGCCCUAAAGUGACCCUAGUCGGAAAGCGGUCUCGGGACUGCUAGACCGAGUCACCAAAUUAUUUGAAUGUGAUAAUUAUUGCCUAAAAUAUGUGAAUAUAAAUGUGUGAAAGUUUUAAGCUUCGAUUUAGUUAAUUGCAUGUGAAUUUAGUUGAUAGGACUUAUGUGAGAAAAUUUAGAAAUGUGCUAGGCAAAUGCAAGUGGCCUAAUAGUGCAUGUAAUCAAAGGGGUGGACUUGCAUGUCAAUUUCCCCCCAUUUAAGUACUAGUGGCCGGCCAUGACAAGGGAUGAUGGGCAAAACAUGUCAUGAAACAUGUUGUGUUAAUGGAAAAAUAAAAUAAGAAGCAUGGGCAAUAAACUAAUAAGAAAUUGAAGGAAGAAAACAAAGAAAAAAAAUGUGUUCAUCAUUCUCAUGCAUGACCGAAAAAAAAAAGAAGGGAAAGGCUUCAUACUUUAGUUCUUCUUAGCCGUGUAGAAGGGGGAAAAGGGAAAAAAAAAGAGAACAAAAAGUCUUUCUCAUUUUGUUCUUCUUGGCCGAUUGUGAAGAGGAAGUAGGGAGGGAGGCAUUCGGUCAUCCUAGGCUAAUAGCAAGCUCAAGAGCUUAGAGGACCAAAGUUGGAUAAGGGGAAGGAAAAAGUGAUCGAAUAGCCGUCGAAACCGUUUGACAACAUCCGAGGUAAGUCUUCGAGUAAUGACCCUACUUGAAUUAUAUUGAAAUGAUUAGUCAUACUAUGACGGAUAGCCGAAUGUGCAUAGAGACUAUGUUAUAAAGCCAAUUGAAAUCAUGCUCUUUGUGUGUGGCUAUUGAGCCAAAAUUGGAAAGGUUUAAUAAAUGUUUUGUGUUUGAGCCUUAGUAACGAAAAUGAAAUAUGGAUGUGUCAUGAUUAUUGAUAUAUGUGUGCAUGAGCAUUUGAAUGAUAUCCGGGCUAAGUUUCGAAGGCAUUUAUGUUAGUGAUUUUAUCCGGGCUAAGUCCCGAAGGCAUUUAUGCUAGUGAUUUUAUCUGGGCUAAGACCCGAAGGCAUUUGUGCGAGUUGAUAUAUCCGGGCUAAGACCCGAAGGCAUUUGUGCGAGUUGCUAUACCCGGGUUAAGACCCGAAGGCAAUUGUGCUUGUGGUUAUAUCCGGCUAAAUUCUGAAGAAACUUGGGUUUGAAGGUGAGCAUUUUGUGCUGUAAUAAAUUCAAUUAAUACGCUUGAAAAACCCAAACGAUAAGGUAUGUUUGCAUGUGCAUUGGAAAAGUCGAUUCGUUUUAAAUAGUAUUCGUUCAAUCGACUAACGAACUUUCGGCUUUUAGAUAGGUUGAUACCUUGUGUGUGUAUAUGUUGAUGAAGUGUGAAGUAAGUAUGAUUAUGAGAAUGUUUAUUAAUAAAGUGAUUCAUUUAGCUAUGUGAAUGUAAUACUUUAGUCAAAGCCGAUUUCAUUACUUGAAACUUACUAAGCUUUAAAAUGCUUACCCCGUUGCUUUGGCUCUCUGUUUUAUAGAUUUUGUUCGUUAGCUAUCGGAUUCGGUAUCAUCGAAGUCAAAGUCAUCCACACUAUCAAAGCCCUUUUGGUACUCUUUUAGUUGAACUCUGGAUAUGGCAUGUAUAGGACUACCCUUUAUUGUUUUUCAAGUACUUUUUGUGAUGUAUGUGUGUACAGCCAUGCGAAAAUGGCUCGUAGAAGUGGAGUAUGGCAUUAGACCAUUUGUGUUUAUGUAUAUAUAUAUGGUUUCAUGAUGUGACUAUGGACUGGAAUGGAAGUGUUGGGCAAAUGAUCAGCCAUUGGAAUGGCUAAAUAUGAUCAUAUGUGGACCUAUGUAUGACAAAACUCUAGUUGGUCCAUGGUAACCACGAAAUAGGUAAAGUUUACCUUGAAAAUAGAUGCUGACAGCAGCAGUGGUGUGGAUUUGAAAAAUCACUACAAUUUGUAGGAAUGGAAUUAAAUAGUGAAUAAAUUAUGUAAUCGAACCUUGAUGAAUAUCUUUUCAUAUGAAAGUAACAAAACGAUCAUAUGAACAGUAUAUUAAGAGAUAUUAAAGUUCUCUUGAAAUAGGGCCAGAACGGUUUCUAGAUCCCCUGUUUCGACUUUGAAAAUUUACCAUAAAUUAUCCAGAGACAAUUAUAAGUCAUGCCUUAUAUUUAUAGAUUCCCCUUGGAGUCUGGUUUCAUUAGAAACAAAUGGCAUGAAUAUUGAAGCUCUGUACAGGGAGAUAUCCAAGUCGUAAUACGUGAAGGUCAGAGUAGUCGAACCCAGAAUCAGGGGAGACUUUAACUAAUAAACUGUACCAAUUGGCCCAACCAAAAAUUCUAGAAAUAAAUCCACAGAUGGAUAUUUGAGUCUAAUUUCAGGGAAAAUUUACUAAAUCAGUUUUUGAGUUUUGGAACUCGAGAUAUGAUUUUUAAGGCGACAGUGACGCGGUUAGCCAGCCUGUCUGGAAUUUUUUUCUAAAUGGACUGUGAAAACAAAGUAAUUAAGUCUGUUAGCACCUCGCGUUCGACUCCGGCAACGGUCUUGGGUACGGGGUGUUACAAUUUUAUUGGUAUCAGAGCUACGGUUUAGUCGAUUCUAGGACUACCGUAAUACGUUUGGGUCUAGCUAUACAUGCCAUUAUGUGAUUAAUUGAUAGUGUGGUGAUUUCUUACAUUUGAAUUUGUGUUUAUUUAUAGUAAUGGAUCCCGAUCCCAACCGAGCGAUAGCUGAUGAUGUGGAGAGUGUGGUGCCUGCUCCCGCACAAGGGACAACGCCGGUGGACUCUCAACCUAUUGCUAGCAAUCCGAAUGAUGAGGCUAGGCAAGCUUUUUAUAGUGUGAUGAAUGAUUGGUUCAACCAAUACAUUCGAACUAAUACGGCUGUUCCACAACCCCCAUUCCCGACUAAUACAACCCCCGCACCUACAAUACCUCCGGUAACUGACCAAAUAAGGUCAAAUAAGCCCCCAAUUGACAGAAUUCGAAAACAUGGGGCUACUGAAUUUAAAGCUACGGAUAGCGACGAUGCCGAGCAAGCUGAAUUUUGGUUGGACAACACUAUCCGGGUACUCGAUGAGCUAUCUUGUACACCCGAUGAAUGCCUAAAAUGUACUAUCUCCUUGCUACGCGAUUCUGCCUACUAUUGGUGGAGUACUCUGACUUCUGUUGUGCCCCGAGAGCAAGUAACUUGGGAGUUUUUCCAAACUAAGUUUCGGAAAAAGUUUAUCAGUCAGAGAUUUGUUGAUCAAAAACGGAAGGAAUUUCUUGAGCUUAAGCAAGGUUCUAUGUCAGUUACUGAUUACGAGCGAAAAUUUGUUAGACUUAGUAAAUACGCUUGGGAAUGUGUUUCGUCCGAGGCUAUCAUGUGUAAACGCUUCGAGGAUGGGCUGAAUGAAGAUAUAAAAAUGUUCGUUGGAAUUCUUGAAAUACGAGAGUUCGUAGUACUUGUCGAGCGAGCUUGUAAAGCCGAAGAGCUUAGAAAAGAAAAACAAAAAGUUGAUGUGGGAACUGGAGAGUUUCAUAAAAGAUCCUCGGGAAAGUCUCUUCAACAGGCAUCGAAGAAAUUUUGAGAUGAUGUGGGCCGGUCUAGAGGCACUUCAGGCCUUUUUAGACGAGAUCGUGAUCGACCCCCUGUGGGUACACGAGGCACUUCGGUCGCCAGUGUUGGGAAUAAACGUCGAGACAGAACAGAGUGUCAGCUUUGUGGUAAAUGGCAUUCGGGGAGCUGUAGGUUCCAUGACCACUCCUGCUAUAAGUGUGGAUCAUCUGACCACUUUAUCAAGGAUUGCCCGAGGUUGCCUGAACAAAAUGUAAGUCAGAGUGGGAAACCAGGUGCUACUACUGCUCGGGGUAGACCGUCUAGAAACACGGGCAAUGCUAGUGGCGGUCAGAGAGGAUCUAGAGAUGCUACAACCAGAUCUGAGGCUCGUGCGCCUGCUAGAGCUUAUGCUAUACGUGCCCGCGAGGAUGCUUCUUCGCCUGAUGUUAUUACCGGUACUUUUACUCUCUUUGAUACUAAUGUAAUUGCUUUGAUUGACCCCGGUUCUACUCAUUCUUAUAUAUGUGAAACCUUAGCAUCCAGUAAGACUUUACCUAUUGAGUCUACUGAGUUCGUAAUUCGGGUGUCAAAUCCCUUGGGUCGUUACGUGCUUGUCGACAAAGUGUGUAAGAAAUGUCCCCUAGUAAUUCGAGGUUCCUGUUUUCCGGUGGACUUGAUGCUUCUGCCGUUUGAUGAAUUUGAUGUUAUUCUCGAUUUGGAUUGGUUGACCAUGCAUGAUGCGGUUGUGAAUUGCAAAAGCAAGACUAUUGAUUUGAGGUGCGUAAAUAACGAAGUAAUCCGAGUUGAGUCUACGGACUUGGAUGGGUUGCCAGCUGUAAUAUCCUCAAUGUUGGCUCAGAAAUAUGUAAGAAAGGGGUAUGAAGCAUACCUUGCGUAUGUACUUGAUAACAAGGAAUUAAAAAAGAAACUUGAGUCGAUACCAGUAAUUUGUGAAUACCCGGAUGUUUUUCUCGAAGAAUUACCGGGUUUACCACCUGUUCGGGAAAUAGAGUUUGGCAUCGAACUGGUACCUGGGACCACACCAAUUUCGAUAGCUUCGUAUCGUAUGGCACCAACGGAAUUAAAGGAGUUGAAAGCUCAGUUGCAAGAGUUGAUGGAUAGAGGUUUUGCUCGCCCGAGUUUUUCACCUUGGGGUGCACCAGUGUUGUUUGUGAAAAAGAAUGACGGAACCAUGAGGUUGUGCAUCGACUAUCGUCAUCUUAAUAAAGUGACAAUAAAGAAAAAAUAUCCGUUACCGCGUAUCGAUGAUUUGUUCGAUCAACUGAAGGGAGCCUCAGUGUUCUCAAAAAUAUAUUUGAGAUCGGGCUAUUAUCAGUUGCGAAUUCGAGAUUCGGACAUACCCAAAACUGCCUUCAGAACGAGAUAUGGUCACUACGAGUUCUUAGUGAUGCCGUUUGGGCUCACUAAUGCCCCUGCGGUAUUUAUGGAUUUGAUGAAUCGGAUCUUCAGACCAUAUUUGGAUCGGUUCGUAGUUGUGUUCAUUGAUGACAUCUUGGUCUAUUCAAGAGAUGAGACCGAACAUGCUGAGCACCUGAGAUUAGUGUUACAAAUUUUAUGGGAUAAGCAGUUAUAUGCCAAGUUCAGUAAAUGUGAGUUUUGGUUACGAGAAGUUAGCUUUUUGGGUCAUGUAGUAUCUGUAUCGGGCAUUCGAGUUGAUCUGAGCAAAAUUUCAGUCAUACUUAACUGGAAGCCUCUAAGAAAUAUUACCGAAGUUCGGAGCUUCCUGGGGCUCGCCGGUUAUUACCGAUGAUUUGUAAAAGGUUUCUCGAUGAUAGCCACACCAAUGACAAAGCUACUUCAAAAGGAUGUUAAGUUCGAAUGGACGGAGAAAUGUCAGAAAAGUUUCGAUCAACUGAAAACUUAUUUGACUGAAGCUCCAAUUUUAGUGCAACCCGAAUCAGGCAAAGAGUUUGUCAUUUAUAGUGACGCAUCCCUACUUGGGUUGGGUUGCAUAUUGAUGCAAGAAGGUCGAGUUGUGGCCUAUGCGUCGAGACAAUUGAAGCCGCACGAGAGAAAUUAUCCGACCCAUGAUCUCGAACUAGCCGCCAUCGUAUUUGCUUUAAAAAUAUGGCGACAUUAUUUGUUUGGUGAGAAGUGCCAUGUAUUUUCGGAUCACAAAAGUCUCAAAUAUUUGAUGACCCAGCGAGACUUGAAUCUGCGACAAAGGCGUUGGCUUGAGUUGUUGAAAGAUUAUGAGCUUGUCAUUAAUUAUCACCCGGGAAAGGCUAAUGUGGUUGCGGACGCCUUAAGCCGAGAAUCACUGUUUGCUUUGCAAGCGAUGAAUGUACACUUGUCUAUUCUACCCGACAAUGUGUUAGUAGCUGAUUAAAAGCCAAACCAUUAUUGAUUCAUCAAAUUCGUGAAGCUCAGAAAGUCGAUGAUGAAUUGGUUGCAAAACGGGCUGAGUGUGUUCCGAACAAGGAAUCGGAGUUUCAAAUUGAUGAUGAUGAUUGUUUGAGGUUCAGAAGUAGUUUGUGUGUUCCAAGGAAUUCGGAACUCAUUUCGAUGAUUCUGAACGAAGCCCAUUGUAGUCGAAUGUCAGUUCACCCGGGGAGUACGAAAAUGUACAACGAUUUGAAACGUCAGUUUUGGUGGCAUGGUAUGAAACGAGACAUCUCCGACUUUGUUUCGAGAUGUUUAAUAUGUCAACAAGUGAAAGCGGAACAUCAAGUGUCUUCAGGAUUACUUCAGCCGAUCAUGAUACCCGAGUGGAAAUGGGAUCGAGUCACAAUGGACUUUGUGUCCGGACUGCCAUUGUCAGCAAGUAAGAAGGAUGCGAUUUGGGUUGUUGUUGAUAGACUGACUAAGUCAGCUCACUUUAUCCCCGUGCGUACGGAUUUUUCAUUGGAUAAACUAGCUGAAUUGUACGUUUCCCAGAUUGUGAGAUUACACGGGGUACCGAUUUCUGUUGUGUCGGAUAGAGAUCCGAGAUUCACCUCGCGAUUUUGGAAGAAAUUGCAAGAAGCUUUGGGUACCAAGCUGCAUUUUAGCACCGCUUUUCAUCCACAAACCGAUGGUCAAUCCGAGCGGGUAAUUCAGAUACUUGAGGAUAUGUUGAGAUGUUGCAUCCUUGAGUUUAGUGGUUCAUGGGAACGGUAUUUACCAUUGAUUGAAUUCGCUUACAACAAUAGUUUUCAAUCAAGUAUUAAGAUGGCACCUUACGAGGCUUUGUACGGGCGUAAAUGCCGUACACCAUUGUUUUGGACCGAGCUCGGUGAAAGUAAAAUUUUCGGAGUGGAUUUGAUUAAAGAUGCUGAACAGAAAGUAAAAGUAAUCCGUGAAAGUCUAAAGAUAGCCUCAGAUCGCCACAAGUUGUACGCGGAUCUGAAACGAAAAGACAUUGAGUAUCAGGUGGGAGAUAAGGUGUUUCUUAAAGUUUCACCUUGGAAAAAGAUACUCAGAUUUGGGCGUAAGGGCAAAUUGAGUCCGAGGUUCAUCGGGCCAUACAAAAUAUCCGAACGAGUCGGUCCAGUUGCGUAUCGAUUGAUUUUGCCCCCUGAACUUGAAAAGAUUCACGACGUCUUUCAUGUUUCGAUGCUUCGACGCUAUAGAUCUGAUCCAUCGCACAUAAUUAGCCCAUCAGAGGUCGAAAUUCAAGCUGAUAUGAGUUAUGAAGAAGAACCGAUGCGUAUCCUAGCUCGUGAAGUGAAAGAGUUGCGAAACAAAAGGGUUCCGUUAGUAAAGGUGUUAUGGCUCAAACACGGGAUCGAGGAAGCUACUUGGGAAACCGAGAGCUCGAUGAAAGAAUGAUACCCAAACCUAUUUACCGGUAAGAUUUUCAGGGACGAAAAUUUCUUAAGUGGGGGAGAGUUGUGACAGCCCUAAAGUGACCCUAGUCGGAAAGCGGUCUCGGGACUGCUAGACCGAGUCACCAAAUUAUUUGGAUAUGAUAAUUAUUUCCUAAAAUAUGUGAAUAUAAAUGUGUGAAAGUUUUAAGCUUCGAUUUAGUUAAUUGCAUGUGAAUUUAGUUUAUAGGACUUAUGUGAGAAAAUUUAGAAAUGUGCUAGGCAAAUGCAAGUGGCCUAAUAGUGCAUGUAAUCAAAAGGGUGGAAUUGUAUGUCAAUUUCCCCCCAUUUAAGUACUAGUGGCCGGCCAUGACAAGGGAUGAUGGGCAAAACAUGUCAUGAAACAUGUUGUGUUAAUGGAAAAAUAAAAUAAGAAGCAUGGGCAAUAAACUAAUAAGAAAUUGAAGGAAGAAAACAAAGAAAAAAAAAUGUGUUCAUCAUUCUCAUGCAUGACCGAAAAAAAAAAAGAAGGGAAAGGCUUCAUACUUUAGUUCUUCUUAGCUGUGUAGAAGGGGGAAAAGGGAAAAAAAAAGAGAACAAAAAGUCUUUCUCAUUUUGUUCUUCUUGGCCGAUUGUGAAGAGGAAGUAGGGAGGGAGGCAUUCGGUCAUCCUAGGCUAAUAGCAAGCUCAAGAGCUUAGAGGACCAAAGUUGGAUAAGGGGAAGGAAAAAGUGAUCGAAUAGCCGUCGAAACCGUUCGACAACAUCCGAGGUAAGUCUUCGAGUAAUGACCCUACUUGAAUUAUAUUGAAAUGAUUAGUCAUACUAUGACGGAUAGCCGAAUGUGCAUAGAGACUAUGUUAUAAAGCCAAUUGAAAUCAUGCUCUUUGUGUGUGGCUAUUGAGCCGAAAUUGGAAAGGUUUAAUAAAUGUUUUGUGUUUGAGCCUUAGUAACGAAAAUGAAAUAUGGAUGUGUCAUGAUUAUUGAUAUAUGUGUGCAUGAGCAUUUGAAUGAUAUCCGGCUAAGUCCCGAAAGCAUUUAUGCUAGUGAUUUUAUCCGGGCUAAGACCCGAAGGCAUUUGUGCGAGUUGAAAUAUCCGGGCUAAGACCCGAAGGUAUUUGUGCGAGUUGCUAUACCCGGGUUAAGACCCGAAGGCAAUUGUGCUUGUGGUUAUAUCCGGCUAAAUUUCGAAGAAACUUGGGUUUGAAGGUGAGCGUUUUGUGCUGUAAUAAAUUCAAUUAAUACGCUCGAAAAACCCAAACGAUAAGGUAUGUUUGCAUGUGCAUCGGAAAAGUCGAUUCGUUUUAAAUAGUAUUCGUUCAAUCGACUAACGAACUUUCGGCUUUUAGAUAGGUUGAUACCUUGUGUGUGUAUAUGUUGAUGAAGUGUGAAGUAAGUAUGAUUAUGAGAAUGUGUAUUAAUAAAGUGAUUCAUUUAGCUAUGUGAAUGUAAUACUUUAGUCAAAGCCGAUUUCAUUACUUGAAACUUACUAAGCUUUAAAAUGCUUACCCCGUUGCUUUGGCUCUCUGUUUUAUAGAUUUUGUUCGUUAGCUAUCGGAUUCGGGAUCAUCGAAGUCGAAGUCAUCCACACUAUCAAAGCCCUUUUGGUACUCUUUUAGUUGAACUCUGGAUAUGGCAUGUAUAGGACUACCCUUUGUUGUUUUUCAAGUACUUUUUGUGAUGUAUGUGUGUACAGCCAUGCGAAAAUGGCUCGUAGAAGUGGAGUAUGGCAUUAGACCAUUUGUGUUUAUGUAUAUAUAUGGUUUCAUGAUGUGACUAUGGACUGGAAUGGAAGUGUUGGGCAAAUGAUCAGCCAUUGGAAUGGCUAAAUAUGAUCAUAUGUGGACCUAUGUAUGACAAAACUCUAGUUGGUCCAUGGUAACCACGAAAUAGGUAAAGUUUACCUUGAAAACAGAUGCUGACAGCAGCAGUGGUGUGGAUUUGAAAAAUCACUACAAUUUGUAGGAAUGGAAUUAAAUAGUUAAUAAAUUAUAUAAUAGAACCCUGAUGAAUCUAUUUUCAUAUGAAAGUAACAAAAUGAUCAUAUGAACAGUAUAUUAAGAGAUAUUAAAGUUCUCGUGAAAUAGGGCCAGAACGGUUUCUAGAUCCCCUGUUUCGACUUUGAAAAUUUACCAUAAAUUAUCCAGAGACAAUUAGAAGUCAUUCCUUAUAUUUAUAGAUUCCCUUUUGAGUCUAGUUUCAUUAGAAACAAACGGCAUGAGUAUUGAAGCUCUGUACAGGGAGAUAUCCAAGUCGUAAUAUGUGAAGGUCAGAGUAGUCGAACCCAGAAUCAGGGGAGACUUUAACUAAUAAACUGUACCAAUUGGCCAAACCAAAAAUUCUAGAAAUAAAUACACAGAUGGAUAUAUGAGUCUAAUUUUAGGGAAAAUUUACGGAAUCAGUUUUUGAGUUUUGGAACUCGAGAUAUGGUUUUUAAGGCGACAGUGACGCGGUUAGCCAGCCUGUCUGGAAUUUUUUUUUUAAAUGGACUGUGAAAACAAAGUAAUUAAGUCUGUUAGCACCUCGCGUUCGACUCCGGCAACGGUCUCGGGUACGGGGUGUUACAUCACAUCUCAUGGCAGGAUUACCAGUCCAGGCUAAAUCCUACAUAUCAUGAACUCAUAAGGUGAUGUCGGGAUUACCACUCCCGACUAAAUCCCGUAUAGCGACAAACACCCUUAAUGAGCUCGGAUCUGAAUUACCAAUCCAGGCUAAAUUCAGACCCUAAUCGGAUUACCCGUCCGGGCUAAAUCCAUAAUGUACACAUAUUCUUCGGAAGGCUUAAUCAUUCUAGGAACACCCGUCCAGGUUAGAUUCCUUUUCAUACUUGAGAUCACGGAUUACCCGUCCGGGCUAAAUCCUACUGCAACACAUGCAGGAUCUCAGUUCACAUGUCAAAGAGGGUUUGUCCAUCGAAUUCCCUUUUUCAACCUCAACCGAGACAUUUUUACAUGUUAUCAUCACAUAUGCAUUUCUACGAUAUUCAUGCCAAUAAUAAAUACAAUCAUCAUUGCAUUCAUAAAUCAUACAAUUAUACAUAUUAGGGGUUUACUUUAAGUUAUCUGAACUUACAUUGGUAUUCGUUUCAGAGAUAUGUUUUGGUUAUUCCAAAACCUUGCGUUUACCACGCUCGACCUCCAGAAUUUGUUUACCUCGAGGUCUAUAUCAACAAAAUUAACUCAUUAAUACACUACAUUAUGUAUUUCAAGUUUAAUAUCUACUUCCGUCCAAAUGACCAUUUUUCCCUUAACCUUUCACAUUUUUACGAUUUAGUCCCUUGGCUCGUAUAAUGAAACACAUGCACUUUCGAUCUUACCCAAGCCUAGCCGAACACUUUUCCUUCUUAUGGUAGCCUAAAUUAUCCGUUAUUUUCUCAUUUCUACCACAUAUUUACAUCUUUUGCAAAAUAGUCCCUACAAAGGUUUUUCAUGAAAAUUAACUAGGAAAAUAUGUUUGAUACACAUUCAUCUUUCAUAUUCCUCCAUAAUCCAUCAAAAUACAAGCAACUCAUGCAUGGGUAAAUUUUUAAACAUGAACCCUAGCAUGAAAUAUGGGUAGAAAUGGAGAGAGCAAGCUAUCGGGAUUUCAAAAAUACAAAUAGCAUGAAAAACGGGGCUUGGGAGCACUUACUAUUGAGCUUGGAAAGCUUGAAACCCUAGCUAUGGAGAACCCCAAAUUUUUGGUUGGAUGAAGGAGAAAAAUGGCUGAUUUUGGCUUGAUUUUUCCAAUUUUAAUUCAUUAAAAUGACAAAUGACUAAAAUACCCUUAUGCCCUUUCUUUAAAAUUUCAUCCAUGCAAGCCCAUUUUUGUCCAAAAAUUUAAAAUUUGGACAAAUUGCUCUCCAAGACCUUUUAAUUCAUAAUCUAAAGUAAUUUCAUACAAAUUGCUUCUAGAAAUCAAGUUUUGCAAUAUAUUCAAUUUAGUCCCUAAUUUCCAAUUGAACACCUUAUACUUAAAAUUUCUUCAUGAAACUUUAACAAAUGCUUAUACUCAUAUUCUAGGCCUCAUAAUAAUCAUAAAAUAAAUAUUUUGAUGUCAGAUUUGUGGUCCCGAAACCACUAUUCCUACUAGGCCCUAUUUCGGGAUGUUACACUACUCGGGACCCACUCGAGUCCAUUAACCAACACUAGGAAAAUGACCUUUGACACACCCGUGUGGAUGGGCAACACGCCCGUGGAACUUGAACAUGGUCGUGCUGAUGGCCGGUGUGACACACAAGGCCUAAGCACCUAGGGACACGCUCGUGUCCUAUACCCGUGUAGAUUUAUUUUUUAAUUCAAACCUACAAGGGUUUUCACGUGUCCAUGGCCCGUGUCCCUCACAUUUCCUCCACACGCCCGUAUCUCAGCUCGUAUUUGAAAACCUUGACAUUUUGUUUCUGACGUCAGCAAUCCUUAAGGGUCACACGGCCAAGGCACACGCCCGUGUGCUAGGCGGUACCCUUCACACGGCUGAGACACACGGCCGUGUCUCUGCCUGCGUGUUUACUACCAUGCAUACUGACUUGCAAUUUUUACAUGCAGGGGACACACGGCCGGAUAACAUGCUCAUGGGGCUGGCCAUGUGUCACACACGGCCUAGACAAACGCAUGUGUGUCUACCCAUGUGGACAAUAUGAAGCUAUCUAUCAAGCCUUUUGCCACCCUAAAACAUAAUUUAAUGCCAACCAACAUAUCAAAAUCUAACUUAAUAUGAUUUCUCGACCAAACAACCAUAGCUAAGGCUUAUAUACAUUUCAUUUAAUCAAACUUGCCAACAAUUUCACAUUCAUGAAAGACUAUCUUACAUUCUUAUAACAACUUUCAAUAUUAGCCAUUUUUCAUGGCCUUAUACAAAAUGAAUCAAAUGCUAGGGUAAGCCAUCACAUUUGGCCAAUUAACAAUGACACAAAACUCAAAAGUCUAAGUUCCUAUACAUGCCAUAUUCAAAAUGAUAAAUCUAAUUAUACCGAGUGCUUCAGCUGAUGGUGUGAUCGAUGCCUCCGACAUCUAUUGAUCCUCGAGAUAGUUAGUUGGUAGUAUAAGAAAAUGGAAAAGAAAGAGAGUAAGCAUAAAGCUUAGUAAGUUGCAUGCAAAGAAAUAUAACAACCACUUUACCAUUCAUCAUCAUGCUUAUAGUACAAAAGUAGGCAUAAGCACAACUUACUCAUCACUAACCAAUACAAUUCACAUAUCAUAUAUAUUGAGCUCACGUCUCAUACAUUUCAAAUAGGUACCUGUACCGCUCACAACAUGGUUAUACUUUUCUCAUUUAACUCAAACUGUAACACUCACCGUUGAACCAUUUGGAAAGCUAUCGAAUAUUCAUUAAGCCUUAAACAUAGCAUAUAAUGCUGAUGCCAUGUCCCAGACAUGGUCUUACACUGAGUAUCGAAAUCGACGCCGACGCCAUGUCCCAAACAUGGUCUUACACUAGCUCUCACAUAUCCGUGCCGAUGCCAUGUCCCAGACAUGGUCUUACACUGACACAUCUCGUAGCCGAUGCAUGUCCCAGACAUGUCUUACACUGGCUUACAUCUUGAGGCCGAUGAUGUCCCGGACAUGUCUUACACUACCUCUCGUCUCAAUGUCAAUGCCAUGUUCAGACAUGGUCUUACACUGGCUCUCAUAAUGUGGCCGAUGCAUGUCCCAGACAUGUCUUACACCAACACACAAAUAACCUGAAUGUCAUGGCAUGAAUAUCCGAUUUAUUUCUUAAGGUUCAAACAAGAGUUUUACUAUCUCAAUAUUCAACAUACAUAAUCAUUUCCACAAACAAGUAAUUUAUGCUAUAUCAAUUCAAACACAUAUAAUAACAAUGUAGUUGUAUUAUUUACAUACAACUUACCUCAGAUUACAAAAUGUAGACGACUAGUUCGGCUUAGUCCACUUGUUUUGCUUUUCCCCGGUCUAGGCCCAGAUUUUGUAAUUCUUGAUCUAAAAUGAUGAAAAUUCACACAUUUAAUCAUUUUAUUAAUCUAGGUACUCAAAAAUUUAAAAAUUAGGCAAAAUGACUAUUUUACCCCUAGACUUUUUCAAAAUGACCAUUUUACCCCUAGGUCCAAAAAUCGAUUUUUAUCGAACUUCUUCAUAUCUUAAGCCCAACCGAACCUUUUUUACUCUUAUAGCAACCCAAAAUUUCCAUUAUUUCUCACAUUUAUCAUCAAAUUUUAACUUAUGCAAAAUGGUCCCUAGUUAGGGUUUCCAUGAUAACUACUUCACAAAAGUUGUUUAUUACACCACCAUAACUCAUUUUCUUCCAUCAACUUUCAGAAAACAACAUGAACACACUCAUGGUAAAACCCUAGAAUUUCAACCAUUUUGCAAAAUAGUCCCCUCAUUUAGAAGCUCGUGCUACAAGGUUUCCAAAAAUACAAAAAAAAUAUCAAGAAAAGUCAUCAAAACCACAUACUUGUAAGGAGAUUAAGUGGCUAAAAUUUUUCAAGCUUCCAAAACCCUCCUAUUGCUGGUAUUUUUGGUCAAGAAGAAAGGAUGAAUGAAAAAGAUGAAGGCUAGGCUUUAGGGUAUUAUUUUAUCACACAUUAGGUCAUCAAAUACCUAAUACUUUGACAAUUUUAUUUUCCUUGUCUCAUGCCUAAGUUAUUCUUGCAUUACAAUUGUGAGGUAGCUAAUGAAUUGAUUAUUUAAAUGGAUUGAAAUUGUAAUUAAUUGACACACUACUUAAUCAGUGCAUGUUUAUUCUUCUAAAGUAGCUGAAAGUUAAAUUAGAAAUGUAUCUGGCGAUACACUUGCCUUGCAUAACUUGCAAGAUUAUUGUGAUUAAAUUGUUUCAAGGUAAGGAUACCUUGUUAACUCACGUAGUCUUUUAUAUGCUCUUUAGAUUUUAUUAAUCGUUUGAAUUGACAUAAGGAUAUGCAAGAGAUUAGUUCAAUUUAAUGAGUAUGUAUGUGCCAUAACAUGUUUGUUUAUUAAAAUCUGUUUAAUCGUUUGAAUUAACAUAGGUAUAUGUUAAGAGAUGAAUGAAUUUGUGUAGGUGAAUAUGUUCACAAGUUAGCAAAUUACCGAGUUGCCGUGAAUUUAUUCGUAACAACAUAAGCAUGAGCUUAAUAAUUCUAAGUUAAAGAAAUGUAAUUAAAUCAACACAAUUAUGUCAUCUUGAUUAAAUCAUAUUUUGAAAUCGUGCAUUUGAGAUUUAUUUCUUAAGUUUACUUAGUUUAAAAUCUUAGUUUUUAAUUACCCUCUCCAAACAAAAUAUUUUUCUUCACCAAAGUGUUUAAAUUGUGUUCAUAAAUAAUCCUUUUUACAGUCCCUGUGGGUACGAUAACUCGACAUGUACUUAUCGCUUUAUUACUUGUUGCGACUGUGUACACUUGCACAUUUCUGUCGUUCCAAGUUUUUAGCGUUGUUACCGGGGACUGUUUUAAAAGACAUUAUUUGCGAAAUUGUUAAUUUUGCAUUUUGGCCUUUUUUUCUGUUAAAUUUUAAUUCCUUUUUUUUGUUUCAGGUGUUUAUGAGUAUUGAUCAAAUUUUUGACUUACUUCCUAUAAACCUUGAAAUUGAAAGGACUUUUUGACAAAAGAGAAGACAAGCGAACCAAAAAAGGACCGAAGAUAUGAAUUUCGAAAAUCUAGGAGGAACAUUCGUUUUUAAUACUCACAAUCCGAUCAUUGUUGCCGAUGACAGAAACUGUGCCAUUCAACAAUAUGCCAUUCCUCUAUUCAAUGAGCUCAAUUCGAGUAUUAGGAGUGUAAUGGCCUAAAUUCAAAAUUAUCGGAACAGUGGUUUCGUAACCACAAAUCCGAUUUAAAGAGAAAUUUAUUUCAAUAUUUUUACAUGAAAAUUGAUAUGAUAGGAAAAUCGUAUGAAAAUAUUCAUAGAAAAAAUUUACCGAUUUAGUGAUUAGAUAGAAAAAGAAAUUAUUGAAGAAAUUGGGUAAAAACAAGGUAUCAAGACCUCUAUCUCGUAAAACCGAGUCAAAAAUAAUUUUAUAAAUAUUUAUGAAAUGUUAUUAAUAUGGUAUUAAAAUUUCAUUAGGAAAUUUUAAUGUUUGGGUAGUCAAUUAAAUGAAAAGGACUAAAUUGUAAUAGGUGUAAAAGUUGCUAGAAUGAUUAAAUAGCUUAAAAGUCUAAUGAGAAAGGGUUUAAAAGGAAUUAGACCCAAAAGUUAUUUGGGCUGGACGACAAGGGUAUGAAAUCAGCAGAAAAAUUGAUAAAUUAAGGGUAAAAUUGGAAUAUUGCAAAAUUAACUAAAUAAAGCUAGGACUAAAUAGGAAAUAUCUAGAUUUCUCUUCAUUUCUCUUCAAUUCCAGCAGCUAAAAAUGCCAUAGGAGGGUUCUCUACGCUGGUAUUUCAUAAUUUUUGCACCAAGUGAGUUAAUCCUUGCCUUUUUCUUGUAAUUUUUGUGUUUCUAAGACUUUUACAACUAGGUCCUACUAUUAAAUUCAUUAGUUUUUGAUUUCAUGGAUGAAAUUGAAAGUCACCAUGGUUGAGUGCUGUAAGUUUAUGAUGAAAUAGAACAAAAUUAAAGCUUUAAUUUGUUUAUGAGAUGAUUUUAUUAGGUAAUUUCAAUAGAAAUUGAUUUUUAGGACCUAAUUGUGAAAAUGCUUGGAAUUAAAGUCUAUUGCUGAAAUUCUGAUUCCUAAAGGUUGUAAACUAGUUUAAGGUGAUAGAAUAAAAUUUUAAUUGAGAAAAAUCAGCUCAAUUGAGAGGCUAAUUGAGUAGGGAUGAAAUUAUCAUUUAUUAAAAGCUUAGGGGAAAAAUGGUAAUAAACAGCUUGCACAAAAACAGUUUGGACAGCAGCAGUAGACUAACUUUGAAAAAUCACCAUAAAUUGUAGAAAUCGAAUUAGAAGAUGAAAAAAAUAUUGCAUUAAAUCUUAUUGAGUCUAGUUUCUCAUAGAAGAAAUAGUGUAAGCAAUGGAUUUGUAAAUUUUGAGAUAUAAUGAAUUUUGUGAGACAAGGUCAGAAUGAAUUAGGGUUCCCCAGUUCUGACUUUGAAAAAUCAUAAAAAUUUGAAGCAAAAGAAUUAUGGGCUUAAAUUUAUAUGUCUAGAAUCCUUAAUGAGUUUAUUUUUAAUAGAAACAAACUAGAACAUUAUUUUAAUUAUGUAUGAAGAGAUAAUUAAUUUUUAGUGAAGAAGGGUUAGAACUGUCGAUAGCAGAACAGGGGUGACUUUAAAGAAUAAACUGUACUUAUUAGCUAAACCAAAAAGUCUGAAAAUUUUAUGGUAAAAAUAUAUAUGAGUCUAGUUUCAGGAAAAAUUAACAGAUCUUAAUUUGGAGUUCCGUAGCUCAAGUUAUAAAUAAUUUAGUGACUAUGACUCAAGUAGACAGCUUUGAAUGAACUAUAAAUAAUAGUUGAAUUAUAGAGAACGUUGCAUAUGAACAUGAAAUGUAUUAAAUUGAUAAUUAAAUUUAUUUAUUUAAAUUCGGAAGAUUCAAAUAGGAGGCUAGAUUGAGGAAAGGAAAAAGUUCGGGAUUAGUAGAUUUUUAUUGUUUACAAACAAGUAUCAAGUUAAGUUCAUGUAACUUGAAUUAUAUUCUUAAAUGAUUGAGAUUGUAUGUUAUUUAUGUGAAAAUGAUUUGAAUGUUCAUUGUAUGAAAAUUUAUGAAACAUUGAUAUAUUUGAUAAAAUGGGAAGAAAUCCCAGUUGAAUGAAAGGAAAAUUCAAUGGAUCUCUGAAAAGGAAUUGACGGUUAAAAGGAUCUAGCCCGGACGGGUGAUCCUAUCUUGAUAUAGCCCUCCCGACGAAUAUGUGUAAAAUGGAUUUAGCCCGGACGGGUAAUCCGAAUUAGGGUCUAAAUUUAGCCUGGACUGGUAAUUCAGAUCCAAGCUCAUUAGAGUAAUUGUCGUUGCAGGGGAUUUAGCCUGGACUGGUAAUCCCGACAAUACUCUAUAAGUUUAUAUUGCGGGGGAUUUAGCCUGGACUGGUAAUCCCGCUGCAAGGUUGAGGUUCGCGGAGUGUGCUCUCUGAAAUGGAAAUGUGCACACAUGAAUAUGAAUUGACGGACCCGGAAUUGUACAAUAAAUGUGUACCUUUGAAAAUCCAUCGAAAUUCUGAUAAAUUCAACGGGAUAAAUACGAAAAAAUAAAAAGAAAAUGAAAAUCAUGGUAUUGACGAGCUCAUUAAUCAUGGUAUAUAUUAUUGAUACAUGGAAAUUAUUGUACUAACUUGAAUGUUGAGUUUGUGCAUGUUAGGGUAAUAAUGCAUUGAAUGGAUAUAUGAAUGUUUAUUAUAUUGUAUUGAAAAUAUUAGGUAAGUAUAAUUCUUGUUACAUGAGCUUACUAAGCACAAAGUGCUUACCCCGUUUCCUUUUUCCCUAUUUUGUAGUGUUAAGAGCUCGAAGGUCGGAUUUAGUCAGAGACACAUCCAUUGUCAACCUCAGGAUUUCGGUAUAUAAAGAAACUUUAUUUUGGAAAUCAAUGGCAUGUAUAAGCUAACAAAGUAAAUGUUAACGUGAAAUGAAUGUUAAGUUAGCCAUUAGUAUGGUUAACAAACCUGGUUUUAGAUAUGUGAUGACGUUAUGUUAUAAAUAUGCAUUAAUUUAUCUUGAAAAUAUGUUGAAUUGAUUUGGUUGAUGUGGAUUGGUCUCGAUUUAAUAUUGCAGGGAAGGUUAGAUAUUUAUAAAGGGGCUAUAUUGAAUAUAAAAAAAUUUAAUUCGUAAACUCCGGUAAUGCCUCGUACCCUAUUCCGGCAAUGAAUACGGGUAGGGGUAUUACAUUUAUUGGUAUUAGAGCUACGGUUUAGCCGGUUCUAGGACCGAUGUAGCAAAUACGGGAUUAGUUAUACAUGCUAUUUAAAUUAUUAUUGAUAGUGUGAUAUCUCCUGACCAUUUAAAAUGUGUUUUUCUUAUAGUAAUGACAUCCGACCGAGCUCAAUCUGAGGAAGCUGGGAGUCAUGCUCCGGCUUCAAUACAAAGAGAAGAAACUAGCAGUAGAAGGCCCGAGACAGAGGGUCGAGGGGAGGAGGCAAAAACAGCCUUCUUUCAAAUGAUGAAUGAAUGGUUUAAUCAAUAUUUAAGAACUAACCCUGGACUACAGCAAGUUCAAGCUCCCCCUCCUGCUCCUUCACCGGUUCUCGAGAUCCCACAGGGUGCAGGUACUGAAUCUGUCAAAAAAGGAAAAGCUCCAGUAGAUAAAAUUCGAAAAUAUGGGGCCGAAGAAUUUUGAGCAGCAGUUGAUGAUGAUUCUGAACGGGCUGAAUUCUGGUUAUAAAACACUACUUGGGUUCUGGAAGAAUUAUCUUGUACACCAGAAGAAUGUCUGAAAUGUGCCGUCUCACUGCUAAAAGACACAGCUUACCAUUGGUGGAAUACUAAAGCUUCAGUUGUUCCGAAAGAAGAAAUUACAUUGGAAUUCUUUCAGACCGAGUUCAGAAAAAAAUAUAUCAGCCAGAGGUUUCUCGAUCAGAAAAGAAAAAAAUUUCUUGAGUUGAAACAGGGUAACAGAUCAGUAUCUGAAUAUGAAAGAGAAUUUGUUCAAUUGAGUAAAUAUGCUCGAGAAUGGGUACAGUCAGAAGCUGAAAUGUGCAAACGAUUCGAAGAAGGGUUAAAUGAAGACAUUAAACUACUGAUCGGAAUUCUUGAAAUUUAGGAGUUUGCUACAUUGGUAGAGAGAGCUUAUAAAGCAGAAGAAUUGAGCAAAGAAAAGAAACAGGCUGAGAGGGAAGCUUGAAUUUUUAGUAAAAGACCGAUGGGAAAAUCCCAGUUUUCUACUUCAAAGAAAUUGAAGAAGUACCAGGAUCGUUCUACUUCAGCCAUUGGGUAUUCGGGCAGAGAGCGAGGUUCUCAACACACUAAUCCAAGACCUUCUACUCCAUCAGUGACCAGUGUUGGUAGUGUUGGCACUCCUAAGCCGAGAUGCCAGUACUGUAAUAAAGCUCAUUUUGGUGAAUGUCGAUUAAAGAGCGGGGCUUGUUAUCGAUGUGGUUCUUUUGACCAUUUCCUCAGAGAUUGUCCAGAAAGAGGUGAAAAUGAAGCUGAACAGAUAUCGAAGCCGAGUAAUCCAGUUUCGAGAGGUAGACCACCUCGACCAUCUGGUUAUGUCAGUGGUAGCUAAGGAGCUACGAAAGAUAUUGCAGGCAGGUCUGAAGCACGAGCACCUGCUAGGACAUAUUCCAUUCGUGCCAGAGAAGAUGCCUCAGCACUUGAUAUUAUUACUGGUACAUUUUCUUUACUUGAUACUGAUAUUACUGCAUUAAUUGAUCCUGGUUCUACGCAUUCAUAUAUAUGUGUUAAACUUUCAAUUGUUAAAAAUUUACCUGUUGAACCUACUGAAUUUGUGGUUAAAGUCUCGAACCCCCUAGGCCAGUCUGUGUUGGUGGAUAAAAUUUGUAAAAAUUGUCCACUGAUGGUAAGAGGUUAUUAUUUCCCGGCUGAUUUGAUGUUACUGCCAUUUGAUGAAUUUGACGUGAUAUUGGGCAUGGAUUGGUUAACCCAGCAUGAUGCGGUAGUAAAUUGUAGACAAAAAUAUAUUAUGCUAAAAUGUCAGAAUGGUGAGUUGCUCCGGGUUAAAUCUGAUCAGACAGAGGGGUUAUCUGAUGUGAUUUCAGUAAUGGCAGCACAAAGGUAUGUCAAAAAAAGGUAUGAUGCUUACUUGGCUUAUGUACUCGACACCAAGGUAUUUGAGUCAAAGAUACAGGCAGUUCCAGUGGUAUGUGAAUUUUUCGAUGUGUUUCCAGAGGAAUUACCAGGAUUGCCACCAGAAAGAGAAGUGAAAUUUUCUAUAGAUUUGAUUCCGGGAACUACUCCGAUCUCCAUAGCUCCAUAUCGUAUGGCUCUUACAGAAUUAAAGGAGUUAAAGACACAGUUGCAAGAACUUGUUGACAGGGGUUUUGUCCGACCGAGUCAUUCACCUUGGGGUGCUCCGAUUCUGUUUGUGAGAAAGAAAGAUGGGUCUUUGAGAUUGUGUAUCGACUACCGGCAGCUUAAUAAAGUAACCAUAAAGAAUAAGUACCCGUUACCCCGAAUUGAUGAUUUAUUUGAUCAACUGAAAGGUGCUACUGUGUUUUCAAAUAUUGAUCUUCGAUCGGGUUAUUUUCAGUUACGAGUAAAGGAGUCAGAUGUGCCAAAAACAGCCUUUAGAACUAGGUACGGGCAUUAUGAGGUUCUAGUUAUGCCGUUUGGGCUAACUAAUGCACCUGCAGUAUUCAUGGAUUUGAUGAACCGGAUAUUCAGAUCGUACUUAGACAGAUUUUUAGUAGUAUUCAUUGAUGAUAUUUUGGUUUAUUCUCGGGAUGAAGAAGAACAUGCAGAACAUUUGAGAAUUGUGUUGCAAAUUCUGCGAGAGAAGCAGUUAUAUGCUAAAUUCAGUAAGUGUGAAUUUUGGCUUUGAGAAGUGGGUUUUCUAGGACAUAUUGUAUCUGCCGAAGGCAUCAGGGUAGAUCCAAGUAAAAUCUCAGCUAUUGUCAAUUGGAGUCCACCGAAGAAUGUAUCUGAAGUUAGAAGUUUCUUGGGUUUAGCUGGUUAUUAUCGGAGAUUUGUACAGGGAUUCUCUAUGAUAGCUUCUCCAAUGACUCGAUUAUUGCAGAAAGAUGUAAAGUUCGAGUGGACUGAUGAAUGUCAACAAAGUUUCAACCGAUAGAAAGACCUAUUAACGAAAGCACCUGUAUUAGUGCAGCCUGAAUCCGGUAAGGAAUUUGUUAUUUAUAGUGAUGCCUCAUUAAAUGGUUUAGGUUGUGUUUUGAUGCAAGAAGGUAAAGUAAUAGCCUAUGCUUCAAGACAACUUAAACCACAUGAAAGAAAUUAACCAGUACAUGAUCUUAAAUUAGCUGCUAUUGUAUUUGCGCUGAAGAUAUGGCGGAAUUACUUGUACGGUGAGAAAUGUCAUAUUUAUAUUGAUCAUAAAAUCUUGAAAUAUUUGAUGACACAGAAAGAUCUGAAUUUGAGACAGCGCAGGUGGCUUGAACUGAUAAAGGACUAUGAUUUGAUUAUUGAUUACCAUCCGGGUAAGGCUAAUGUUGUAGCUGAUGCUUUGAGCCAGAAAUCUCUAUUUGCUUUACGAGCUAUGAAUACCCGGUUAUUAUUGACUGAUGAUGGUUCAAUCCUAGCAGAAUUAAGAGCUAAACCGACAUUUUUACAGCAAAUAUGUGAAGCUCAGAAGAAUAAUGAGAAGUUACAAGUUAAACGGGCACAGUGUGAGUCAUGUAAUGAUUCUGAAUUUCAGAUUGGUUCUGAUGGUUGUUUAUUAUUCAGAGGUAGGGUAUGUGUACCUCAGAAUUCAGAGCUCAUACAAAAGAUUCUAUGCGAGGCUCACAGCAGUACUAUGUCUGUACAUCCGGGGAGUAAUAAAAUGUAUAAUGAUCGGAAAAAGAUGUACUGGUGGUCGGGAAUGAAACGUGAUAUCUCUGAGUUUGUAUCAAGGUGUUUAAUAUGUCAGAAAGUUAAAGCUGAACAUCAGGUACCUUCGGGGUUACUUCAGCCAAUUACUAUACCGGAAUGGAAAUGGGAAAGAAUCACUAUGGAUUUUGUAUCGGGGUUACCUUUGUCUCCGAGGAAAAAAGAUGCUAUUUGGGUGAUUGUAGACCAAUUGACAAAGUCAGCUCACUUUAUUCCAGUACGUAUGGAUUAUUCUUUAGAUAAACUAGCUGAAUUGUACAUAUCUGAGAUUGUCAGACUACAUGGAGUGCCUGUCUCCAUUAUAUCAGAUAGAGAUCCCCGAUUUACGUCUCGUUUCUGGGACAAAUUGCAAGAAGCCUUGGGUACUCAGUUGUAUUUUAGUACUGCAUUUCAUCCUCAGACAGAUGGUCAAUUUGAGCGUGUAAUUCAAGUAUUGGAAGAUAUGCUCCGAUGUUGUAUACUAGAGUUUGAAGGUAAUUGGGAGAGGUAUCUACCUUUGAUUGAAUUUGCUUACAAUAACAGUUAUCAGUCCAUUAUUAAAAUGGCUCUUUAUGAAGCUUUGUAUGGUAGAAAAUGUAGAACACUGUUAUAUUGGACAGAGCUUAGUGAAAGGAAGAUACAUGGGAUUGAUUUGAUUCGGGAAACAGAAGAAAAAGUAAAGGUUAUUCGAGAUAGUCUAAAAGCAGCUUCCGAUCGUCAAAAAUCAUAUGCCGACCUUAAACGAAAAGAGAUUGAAUUUCAAGUCGGUGACAAGGUAUUCCUAAAAGUGUCUCCUUGGAAGAAAGUCCUUCGAUUUGGUUGAAAGGGUAAACUCAGUCCAAGAUUUAUCGGGCCAUAUGAAAUCAUAGAAAGAAUUGGACCGGUCGCUUAUCGAUUGGCAUUAUCACCGGAACUUGAUAGAAUCCAUAAUGUUUUUCAUGUAUCUAUGUUACGACGAUAUCGAUCAGAUCCUUCACAUGUUAUUUCUCCGACAGAAGUGGAGAUUCAACCGAAUAUGACUUACAGUGAAGAACUAGUCAAGAUAUUCGCACGAGAGACAAAAGAGCUUAGAAAUAAAAAGAUAAAUUUGGUGAAAGUAUUGUGGCAAAAGCACGGGAUUGAGGAAGCGACAUGGGAACCGGAGGAGGCAAUGAGGAAACAAUACCCAAAUCUCUUUACUGGUAAGAUUUUCGAGGACGAAAAUCCUUAAAGGGGGGAGAGUUGUAAUGGCCUAAAUUCAAAAUUAUCGGAACAGUAGAUUUGUAACCACAAAUCUAAUUUAAAGAGAAAUUUAUUUUAAUAUUUUUGCAUGAAAAUUGAUAUGAUAGGAAAAUCAUAUGAAAAUAUUAAUAGAAAAAUUUUACCGAUUUAGUGAUUAGAUAGAAAAAGAAAUUAUUGAAGAAUUUGGAUAAAAACAAGGUAUCAAGACCUCUAUCUCGUAAAACCGAGUCAAAAAUAAUUUUAUAAAUAUUUAUGAAAUGUUAUUAAUGUGGUAUUAAAAUUCCGUUAGGAAAUUUUAAUGUUUGGGUAGUCAAUUAAAUGAAAAGGACUAAAUUGUAAUAGGUGUAAAAGUUGCUAGAAUGAUUAAAUAGCUUAAAAGUCUAAUUAGAAAGGAUUUAAAAGGCAAUUAGACCCAAAAUUUAUUUGGGAUGGACGGCAAGGGUAUGAAAUCUGCAGAAAAAUUGAUAAAUUAAGGGUAAAAUUGGAAUAUUGCAAAAUUAACUAAAUAAAACUAGGACUAAAUAGGAAAUAUCUAGAUUUCUCUUCAUUUUUCUUCAAUUCCAGCAGCUAAAAACGCCAUAGAAGGGUUCUCUAAGCUGGUAUUUCAUAAAUUUUGCACCAAGUGAGUUAACCCUUGCCUUUUUCUUGUAAUUUUUGUGUUUCUAAGACUUUUACAACUAGGUCCUACUAUUAAAUUCAUUAGUUUUUGAUUUCAUGGAUGAAAUUGAAAGUCACCAUGGUUGAGUGCUGUAAGUUUAUGAUGAAACAGAAUGAAAUUAAAGCUUUAAUUUGUUUAUGAGAUGAUUUUAUUAGGUAAUUUCAAUAAAAAUUGAUUUUUAGGACCUAAUUGUGAAAAUGCUUGGAAUUAAAGUCUAUUGCUGAAAUUCUGAUUCCUAAAGGUUGUAAACUAGUUUAAGGUAAUAGAAUAAAAUUUUAAUUGAGAAAAAUCAGCUCAAUUGAGAGGCUAAUUGAGUAGGGACGAAAUUAUCAUUUAUUAAAAGCUUAGGGGAAAAAUGGUAAUAAACAGCUUGCACAAAAACAGUUUGGACAGCAGCAGUAGACUAACUUUGAAAAAUCACCAUAAAUUUUAGAAAUCGAAUUAGAAGAUAAAAAAAAUAUUGCAUUAAAUCUUAUUGAGCCUAGUUUCUCAUAGAAGAAAUAGUGUAAGCAAUGGAUUUGUAAAUUUUUAGAUAUAAUGAAUUUUGUGAAACAAGGUCAGAAUGAAUUAGGGUUCCCCUGUUCUGACUUUGAAAAAUCAUAACAAAUUGAAUAAAAACAAUUAUGGGCUUAAAUUUAUAUGUAUAGAAUCCUUAAUGAGUCUAUUUUUAAGAGAAACAAAUUAUAACAUUAUUUUAAUUCUUUAGGAACAGAUAAUUAGUUUUUAGUGAAGAAGGGUCAGAACUGUCGACAGCAGAACAGGGGUGACUUUAAAGAAUAAACUGUACUUAUUAGCUAAACCAAAAAUUCUGAAAAUUUUAUGGUAAAAAUAUAUAUGAGUCUAGUUUCAGAAAAAUUAACAGAUCUUAAUUUGGAGUUCCGUAGCUCAAGUUAUAAAUAAUUUAGUGACUAUGACUCAAGUAGACAGCUUUGAAUGAACAAUAAAUAAUAGUUGAAUUAUAGAGAAUGUUGCAUAUGAACAUGAAAUGUAUUAAAUUGAUAACUAAAUUUAUUUAUUUAGAUCCGGAAGAUUCAAAUAGGAAGCUAGAUCGAGGAAAGGAAAAAGUUCGGGAUUAGUAGAUUUUUAUUGUUUACAAACAAGUAUCAAGGUAAGUUCAUGUAACUUGAAUUAUAUUCUUAAAUGAUUGAGAUUGUAUGUUAUUUAUGUGAAAAUGAUUUGAAUGUUCAUUGUAUGAAAAUUUAUGAAACAUUGAUAUAUUGGAUAAAAUGGGAAGAAGUCCCAGUUGAAUGAAAGGAAAAUUCGAUGGAUCUCUGAAAAGGAAUUGACGGAUAAAAGGAUCUAGCCCGGACGGGUGAUCCUAUCUUGAUAUAGCCUUCCCGAAGAAUAUGUGUAAAAUGAAUUUAGCCCGGACGGGUAAUCCGAAUUAGGGUCUGAAUUUAGCCUGGACUGGUAAUUCAGAUCCAAGCUCAUUAGAGUAAUUGUCGUUGCAGGGGAUUUAGCCUGGACUGGUAAUCCCGACAAUACUCUAUAAGUUUAUAUUGCAGGGGAUUUAGCCUGGAUUGGUAAUCCCGCUGCAAGGUUGAGGUUCGCGGAGUGUGCUCUCUGAAAUGGAAAUGUGCACACAUGAAUAUGAAUUGACGGACCCGGAAUUGUACAAUAAAUGUGUACCUCUGAAAAUCCAUCGAAAUUCUGAUAAAUUCAACGGGAUAAAUACGGAAAAAUAACAAGAAAAUGGAAAUCAUGGUAUUGACGAGCUCAUUAAUCAUGGUAUAUAUUAUUGAUACAUGGAAAUUAUUGUACUAACUUGAAUGUUGAGUUUGUGCAUGUUAGGGUAAUAAUGCAUUGAAUGGAUAUAUGAAUGUUUAUUAUAUUGUAUUGAAAAUAUUAGGUAAGUAUAAUUCUUGUUACAUGAGCUUACUAAGCACAAAGUGCUUACCCCGUUUCCUUUUUCCCUAUUUUGUAGUGUUAAGAGCUCGGAGGUCGGAUUUAGUCGGAGACACAUCGCACUGUCAACCUCAGGAUUUCGGUAUAUAAAGAAACUUUAUUUUGGAAAUCAAUGGCAUGGAUAAGCUAACAAAGUAAAUGUUAACGUGAAAUGAAUGUAAAGCUAGCCAUUAGUAUGGUUAACAAACCUGGUUUUAGGUAUGUGAUGACGUUAUCUUAUAAAUAUGCAUGAAUUUAUCUUGAAAAUAUGUUGAAUUGAUUUGGUUGAUGUGGAUUGGUCUCGAUUUAAUAUUGCAGGGAAGGUUAGAUAUUUAUAAAGGGGCUAUAUUGAAUAUAAAAAAAAUUUAAUUCGUAAACUCCGGUAAUACCUCGUACCCUAUUCCGGCAAUGAAUAUGGGUAGGGGUAUUACAAGGAGACCCAAAAUCGAGGCACAACAAUUCAAGCUGAAGCCGAUCAUGUUCCAAAUGUUGCAAAAUAUGGGUCAAUUUAGUGGGGUUCCUAUUGAAGAUCCACAUCUUCAUCUUCGGCUAUUUAUGGAAGUGAAUGACUCAUUUAAAUUAGUCGGGGUGACCGAGGAUGCCUUGAGAUUGAGAUUAUUUUCAUACUCCUUAAGAGAUAGAGCACGAGCAUGGUUGAACUCCCUACCGUCUAGUUCCAUAACUACAUGGCAAGAGUUGGUUGAACAUUUCUUAAUGAAAUAUUUCUCUCUAUCUUUAACCGCCAAGAUCUGAAAUGAAAUCACAUCAUUUCAGCAACUUGAUGAGGAAUCUUUAUAUGACGCAUGGGAGCAGUUCAAGGAGUUACUACGAAAGUGCCUUCAUCAUGGCAUUCCUUGCUGCAUUUAAAUAGAGACUUUCUAUAUUGGUCUCAAUAUUCAUACUAGAAUGAUGGUAGAUGCUUCGACAAAUGGAGCCCUUCUUUCUAAGUCUUAUAAUGAUGCUUAUGAGAUUAUUGAAAGAAUUUCCAACAAUGACUAUCAGUGGCCAACCAACCGAGCAGCCUCAAAAAGAUGAGUAACAGGAGUACAUGAAGCGGACACACUUGCUUCUUUGGCAGCCCAGGUAUCCUCUAUGUCUUCUAUGCUUAAGAACAUAAUUGUUAAUGGUUUCAAUGGUAAUUUUCCAGGUUAGUAGCUGAAUCAGUUCAAGAAUAUUUCUUGUGAAUAUUGUGGAGAUGCCCAUUUCUUUGAAAAUUGCCCAUUGAAUCAAUAUUCAAAUUAUUACAUGGAAAUCAGAAUUGGAAUGGUCUGCAAUCAAAUUUUUACAACUCUUCAUGGCAGAAUCAUCCAAUUUCUGCAUGGAGUGAUCAAUGGGCGGACCAUACCGACUCUGUUAUGCCAUUUCGACCAAGUUCUUCGUCGGAAUAUUCUCAACAAGUGCAACAACCCUCACCAACUGAAUCUUCAAGUGAUCUUGAGAAUUUGCUGAAGGCAUACAUAGCGAAGAAUUAUACCACUUUAAGAAAUCUGAAGAAUCAAAUGGGUCAAUUAACCAAUGAACUUCAAAAUAAACCCCAAGGUAUUUGGCCAAGCGACACAGAAAAUCCAAAAAUUUUGGGCAAAGAACAUUGCAAAACAGUCUCUUUGCCAAGUGGAAAGACAUUGGAGCCCAAUGUGGAUAGAUUUGAUGGGAAAGAAUAUGACUACUUCCUAGAAGAUUAUGGUGGGUAUGACAAAUGACCAUUUGACACCACCAUGGUCAAUGACGAUCCUAAAUAAAAUGGAGGGAGUUCUCUUCACUUUCUCUAUCGUUAUUUUAUAUUUUUAGUUUUUUUUUCUCAUUUGAAUAAAAUGGUAGACUUAGAUAAAAUUUCAUUUAGUUCAUUACAUUAAUUAAAACUCUUUCUAGGAGAUUGGGUCUUAAGCGAGACCAUCCGUGACCCCUUCAGUCUUUCCUGGGAGUUUAAUUUAAUGUUAUUUUUCAAAAAAAAAUAUUUUUUAAGUAGCCCAAAGAAUUUAAGUAUUUUUUUUGUUAAAUAAAGGGUCAAAUUUUAACCCAAACACUAAUUUCUUUGAGUUUUUUUAUUUAUUUUCAGUAUAGGAGCUUAGGAUCCAAAAAGGAGCUGCCAUUGGGCUCAAGACAGUACUAAGAAGGGAAAUUUUCAACCCUUUUCCACACAAACCUAUAGCCCUUACCUUACUCCACCACCACUCCCAAGUAGCCCCAAAGUGCAUCUCACUUAACCCCUUAAUGUUGCAGCCCUUAACUCCUUAAAUCACCGCCCCAAACACCUUCAUUCGAAGUCACCAACUACCGCACCUAAACUAUCCUUAAAACUGCCACCCUCUUCAACUCUAAACUUUACCCUCAACUACUCACCUACCUGCCCAAAACUGAAACGACCCUUAACAAAUUUCCUAAGUUUGAUGGUGAAAGUCUCUUUAUUUAGCACCAUUCCACGAAGUGAACAGUUUGGUAUAAUGGCUAUGCUGCAACAAAUGUAGUUGCAGUAACAAGAUUACUGGAGAUACUCAAUAAUACGGGAUGACUUAAUCAAAUAUGCAUUUAAAAUAUAUAUUUCAUAACCCGUUUAUUUUUGUGCAUGAAUUUCUAGACUUUACACUUGAACCAUGGACUCCAAUGUCGAGGAAGGAAAAAGAUGAGUCAGAUUCUGAGGGAUAUUCAAAUAAAUAAAAAUGGGGAUCUUUACUUUAUUUCAUUUUCUUUCCUAGGUUAUUUAAUGUUUUAGGAUUGGGUUCUAUUAUGAUUUUUAUUUUUCGCAUAAUAAAACAAGAUGUGGAAAUCAUAAAUAAAAAUGAACAAGUUGCAACGUACAAAGUGUGGCAAUAGAUAUAUACAUGUCUAGGAAUGGAUUUAGAGAGAGCUUGGUACUUAAGCAGUCAAAUUGACUCACCUCCUCUUUUCUAGACUACUACCUGGUGUAUAGUAUCUAUUCACUUUUAAUAAUGAGGGCAUUGUUCGUCUUAAGUAGGGGGACCGAAAAAUUGAAAUUAUUUCCAUUCAGAAUAAAAUUUUCUUUCAAUUAUGAUUAGGUUAUAUUUUGUUCAAUAAUUUGAAAUGUUGUUAAGUAAGCUAAACUUCAGUAAAUAAAGUUCAAUUAUUUCAAUAAUUGUUAUGUUAGCUUAAUAAUGACAUAAAUGUAUUUUUAAUAAAGCAUGCAAAUCAUACCAUAAAAUUUUAGUUCCUUAGGAAAGUUAGGCAUGCAUGAAAGUUUAAGUCUUUAGAAUUGACUUAGAAGUUUCUUGAGGCAAAAUCCUAGGAAGCAUGGAGCGUUGAAAAUGAUUUAGGCAACUAUUGUUUGGACUGUUUGAGCCUUUCAAGCUAACCAUGAUGAAAUUUUUAUCCUUUGAAACCUAGCUUUGAGACUAUAUGGCCUAAUUUUAUUUGAACCCUUGCAAAUUUAACUAUCACUUCUCUCUUAACUAUCUUAAAAUUGUCCCAAAUACUAGACUCAUUACUAUUCAAAGUAUUCUUUGAAAAUAAGUUUGGGGGAGUUGAAAAGAAGUAUCAAAUGCUCUAAAAAAUUAUAGUACAUACAGUAAAAUGUUCGAAUUAAAAAAAAAGAAAGGAAGAGCAUGAGUUCUUAAAAUAAGAUGUACAAAAGAGCAUGUGAAAGCAAAGAAAGUUGAUGUAUUGAAGGUAAUUAUUUCGAAGGUCCGAUGCAAGUUGAGUCUAGGGUUUUUAGCCUAAAUUUAUCUAUCUUUUACCUACCCCUAAGCCCAACCACGUUACAACCUUGUUAAAGACCUAUUGAUGCAAGUUCCAAUGCUACGUACAUUAGUGGAGAGAAAUUGAUACGUGCAACAUAUGAAGACAUAAGUUAAACUUAAUGAUUGCAGCUUAAUCUUGAAUAAGGGAAUAAAAUUAAAUUGGUAAGGGUUAACAUGACUUUAUUAGGAAACAUUUAGUCUAAUUUUUUGCCUUUCAUAAGAAUGAUUGAGAUUAAUUUGAAUGGUAUGUAUACUUAGAUAGCAUAAAUAUCGAAUUUCUUGUUCUUGAGCAUAAGUAUACCAAAUUCAUGAUUGUUGGGAAGAAUGUCAUUUUGAAGGACUUUUUCAAAGGUGUCUUCAAAAAAUUCUUUUCAAAUUUGUGCAUUACUCGAGACAACCAAUGAAUUAAGUUUGGGGUGUGGAAACCCGAAAAUUUACACAAAUUUUCAUGCCCUUUUUAACUUAAAUUCAUGUAGUUUCGAUAAAAUUCUUGUCGGAAAAUAAUUAAUUCUUAUAAAAUAAUUAAAGUGUACUUAAAAUAUGAACAUGUUGAAUUUUAAUUAAUUUUAUAAUUAAUUUUGAUGAAUUUUGGUUAUUUUCGACAGAUUUGCACAAAUGGCGAAAAAUGGCUCGACAGACAUUGACAGAAACACAAAACCGAGAAGCAAAUUGAAGUAUCGCGACUUAAUUUUCAACCUAAGAUGGUCCAAAAUUAUGUGUAUUAAUUCAUAAUAUAAUUAAUUUUAAUUUAUAUCCAAUUAAUUUGGGUUAAUAAAUUAUUAUUAAUAAAUUAUGAAAAGUGGUCUAGUUGAGCCGAACUGAGUGAACCGAACCGACCAAGUAAUGGACAGCCCAAACCUGCCCCAUGUGCUGACCCAAAUCAGCUUAUUGGCUGAUUAUUUAGCUUGCAAAGAGGCCCUUGAAGACUUGUUCAAAUAGAAUUCAAAUCCCUCCACAAAUGGUGGCUUUUCUAGAUUUGCCCCAAGCUUAAUUUAGCAAGUUUGAAAUCAUCAAACUUGUCACAUGUGUGGCCAGCCAAGGGAGGGUACUUUGGCUGCUAAUUUUAGCUAUUUUUAUCAGCCCUCUUCAGCUAUAAAACCCCCCUUAAGCUUAUCAUUUGAAACACACCUCAAUUCAUUCACAUCUCUUCUCUCUUUUCUCACUUUCUUCUCUCAUUUUUCCAUUUCAAGUCCCUUGCUCCUGUGUCGAUUUCUCCCCUUGGAAAAGGGUUCUUCUUCAGCCAUUUUGGAGCAGCAAUUGAGUUUUCAUAGAAGCCUUGAUCGGCGAGGACAACAAAGAAUGAAGAACGGAGCAACCUUGUCAAGCAGCGGAAAAAUAUUGGAUUUGAUUCUUGUUCCCUAUCUCUUUAAUUUUUGUUAUUGUUAUGAUGAACACAUCUAAGAAUAUUUAUAUUGUUGGAAUGGUUAAUUUAAUCAGUUUACCUUGAAUUUAAUUCGUGUUGGUUUGAUUGCAUUUCAUCUGCUUAAAUUAUUAAAAUUAUGUCUAUGUUUUUAUAAGCCUUGGUAAAAUGCUUGAUUAAGUAAAAUCAUGCCUAAGUUAUUCUUGCAUUACAAUUGUGAGGUAGCUAAUGAAUGAAUUAUUUUAACGGAUUGAAAUUAUAAUUAAUUGACACAAUUCUUAAUCAGUGCAUGUUUACUCUUCUAAGGUAGCUGAAGGUUAAAUUAGCAAUGCAUGUGGCGAUACACUUGCCUUGCAUAACUUGCGAGAUUAUUGUGAUUAAACUGUUUCAAGGUAAGGAUACCUUGUUACCUCACGUAGUCUUUUAUAUGCUCUUUAGAUCUUAUUAAUCGUUUGAAUUGACAUAGGGAUAUGCAAGAGACUAGUUCAAUUUAAUGAGUAUGUAUAUGCCAUAACAUGUUUGCUUAUUAAAACUGUUUAAUUAUUUGAAUUAACAUAGGGAUAUGUUAAGAGAUGAAUGGAUUUGUGUAGCUGAAUAUGUUCAUAAGUUAGCAAACUACCGAGUUACCGUGAAUUUAUUCGUAACAACAUAAGCAUGAGCUUAAUAAUUCUAAGUUAAAGAAAUGUAAUUAAAUCAAUACAAUUAUGUCAUCUUGAUUAAAUCAUGUUUUGAAAUCGUGAAUUUGAGAUUUAUUUCUUAAGUUUACUUAGUUUAAAAUCUUAGUUUUUAAUUACCCUCUCAAAACAAAAUAUUUUUCUUCACCAAAGUAUUUUAAAUUGCAUUCAUAAAUAAUCCUUUUUACAGCCCCUGUGAGUACGAUAACUCGACAUUUACUUAUCACUUUAUUACUUGUUGCGAUUGUGUACACUUACACAUUUCUGUCGUUCCAGAUACAUGCAGGGUUCACACACCCGUGUGAACAGGCCGUGUGUCUCACACGACCACCAGACACGCCCAUGUCAUAGGCCAUGUGAAAAUAGGGCAUACAUACUGACUUGCACCACACGGCCAAGGACACGCCCGUGUGCCAUGGCCAUGGGAAAACUAGAGGGGUUACUGACUUGGGUCACACAGCCGGCCACACGCCCAUGUGCCAGCCCGUGUCCCACACACGGCUAAUAGACACGCCCGUGUGUAUAGACCGUGUCAAACCUGUAGGGUAUACUGACUUAAUAUUGAAAGGUACCCCAGGGGACACACGACCGUAUAGCAUGACGUGUGUCAUACACAACUGAGACACACGCCCGUGUCUCUGCCUGUGUGGACAAAAAUAGGCUAUUUGCAAAGCCAAUUUGCCACCCUUUCCUCAUGUACACCUAGCAAUCAAAAUGGUACUAUUUCAAUACAUUUAUAAGUAGCCAAAACAUGCCAAUUCAUAUACAAUUCAUGCCAUUUAUAAACCAUCCUCUUAACUACUCAAAUUCAUAGCCAAAACAUACCAAAUCAAUAUGCCAAAAUCAUCAAACUAACAUAACUUAUAAAUGCAUUUCCUCAUCAUCUUAUCGUCCAUUUCAUGCUUCAAAACAUACCAUUUCAUCAUCUCAAAAUCAAGCCAAUUCACAACAUGCCAUUUUCCAAACAAUAAUACACCAAUUGACAAUUUUCUAAUUGAGCAACCAUAUAACCACCACAACAACCAUACCAAAUAUACCAAAACACAAGGCAAUAUAUACAUCACAUAUCACUUACCAAACUCAUACAUCUAGCCAACUAAAAUGGCCAAAAUACAGACCAACACUUACAUCAAAAACAAGUCAAAUCUCAUGGCUAUAUCAUAUCUCAAAACAUAUCAUCAACUCACUAGCCAAUACAUGCCAUAUACCAUAUUUACGAAGUAUCCAAAAAUACCAACAAGUUGAUCAAUAGUGUAAUGACGUUUCACGACAAUCCCCGAGUCCGAGCUAGCUUCGAUUAUCUAUAAAACAAGGAAAAAACACACAAAGUAAGCUUCAAAAGCUUAGUAAGCCAUAUACAAAUAAAUUAUCACAUGAAUCAAUAUUAUUUCCAUUAAUAGGCAACUAUGAGUAAACAUUUAUAAGAUCACAAACCUUUUUCAUUGUACACAUAUUCAAAUACUUCCCUUUCAUUACUUGUAUGAAUCUCAUACGUACUUGAGCCAUUUAACUCAUUCACACAUUCUUUCUUGACUUGACUUUGUCGGUUGAACCAUUCAGAAUCGUUAAGGAUACUCGAAAAUCAAAUAAAGCUUGUACAAUGCCAUAUCCCAGAUAUAGCCUUACAUGUUAUCACAUAUCGAUGCCACUAUCCCAGACAGGGUCUUACACGAAAUUGAAUAAUGAUACCAAUGUCCCUGACAUGGUAUUACACGUAAUCACAAUACAAUGCCAAUGUCCCAGACAUGAUCUUACAUGUAAUCACAUCUCGGUAACCUAAUGUCAUGACAUUUGUAUCCUAUACUAUUCCUAAGGUUCGUACGGGACUUUCGGAUGUCGUAACUCUGUCAAUUCUCGCUUGUAUUUCCUCGUUCAAAAUUCAUAGAAAUUCAAUGACAAUUAAACAUGUAUAAUUCAAUUAAAAGACAUUUAUUUGCAUAUGAACUUACCCUCGUAUUAGGGAUAAACGGACGGGAUUGACUAUUCAACAACUUUCGAUUUCCCCCGAUCUAAAUCCGAUUUCUUUCUUUCAGGAUCUAUAUGAAUUCAAAAUUAACUUAUUUAUUCAUUGAUUCAAUCAAUUCAGUCCAAAGACACAUAUUUAAGUCAAUUUGCACUUUGGCCCUAAACUUUCACAUUUAUUACAAUUUAGUCCUUAUUUCAAUAAACACAAAUUACACCAAUUCAAUUGAAACCAUGUGUGCCAAAUUACUAUAGUACCCCUAGCAGCGCAUAUUUCACAUUUAUUCACACUUUUAACCCCACAUUUUUAUCUUUUCACAAUUUAAUCCCUAAUAUGCAUUUUUACUCAAAAUCACUUUACAAAAACAUAGAUAUCCAUCACUAAACUUUCAUAAUUCAUCAUCAAACAUUCAAAAACACAUGAAUUCAUCAAUGGAAACUUUCAAAACAUUAAUUAGUUUUGCAAAUUAGUCCCUGGGCUAGCUAGUACUCGAUACAACGAUCACAAGAACAUAGAAAUCAUCAAAAAUCGAGCUCAAAACAUACCUCAAUCAAGCUAUGCAAGUGCCGAAUGAAAACUUAAUCUUUUAGCUCUCUUCUUUUCUAAUUUUCGAUUGAAACAAAUAAAUAUGAACAUGUUUUUAUCUUUUGUUUUAUUUAAUAUACCUUGUUUUAUUUAAUUACUAAAUUAACCUUGAUUAAAAACAUUAAUAAACAUCCAAUACAUGCCCAAUUAUGUCCAUUCCCACUAUCCAUGGUCUAAUAUCAUUAUAAGGACCUUUCAUUUAAUGACUCAUAGCAUUUAAACACUUUUAACUUAUAGCAUGCUACUUUUGCAUUUUAUUUGAUUUAGUCAUUUCAUCAAAUUAAGCACUCAAACGCUAAAAUUAUUUCACAAAAUUUUCACACAUACAUAUUCACAUGCUAUAAACGCAAAAAAUAAUAUUAAAAUAAUUUUUUGACCUCUGAUUUAUGGUUUCAAAACUAUUUUUCUGAUUUAGUUAAAACCAAGCUGUUACAGAGUGGACUUCAUUGAAACCUUUGCCUCCGUUGCGAGGUUAGACACCAUAAGGCUGCUACUGACUCUUGCUGCUCAAAAAAGUUGGAGAAUACAUCAGAUGGAUGUAAAAUUAGCCUUCUUAAAUGGUUUUCUGAAAGAAGAAAUUUAUGUUGAGCAACUAUAAGGAUUUGCAAUACCUGGGUGUAAAGCCAAGGUGUACAAAUUGAACAACGCACUGUAUGGCUUGAAGCAAGCACCAAGAGCAUGGUAUGAAAGAAUUGACAAUCAUAUGAAAGAAAUGGGUUUUGAAAGAAGUAUCAGCGAGCCCACUUUAUAUGUGAAAAAAUUUGGUAAUGAAAUAUUUCUCAUUAUUUCAGUAUAUGUUGAUGAUUUACUUGUGAUUGGAAGCAACAACAAACUGGUAAUUGUAUUCAAGGAUUAGAUGCAAGACAAGUUUGAAAUGUCAGACUUAGGUGAAAUGACAGACUUCUUUAGUUUAGAGGUGAAUCAAGUUAAUGGUGCAAUCUUCAUAAACUAGAAAAGGUUUGUGAUGAAGAUCCUGUGAAGAUAUAGCAUGGAAAAUUGUAAACCUACGAGCACCCAUGCUAAGAAGGUUGUUGAAACAAGAUACAGAAGCUUGGUGGGAUGUCUACUUUACUUGAGAGCAUCCAGACCUGACAUAAUAUUUGUUGUAAGUAUGUUGUCAAGCUUCAUCCAUUAUUGCAUUGUGAACUACUACUAGCAAAAAGGGUUCUACGAUACAUAAGAGGAACUCUAAGCCAUGGAGUGAAGUUUGUAAAGGCUAAAAAGGUCAAGUUUCUUGGGUAUCUAAACACUGGUUGGGCUGGAUCUACUGAAGACAUGAAGAGUACCUCAGGUUAUUUCUUUACUCUAGGAUCGAGUGUAUUCUGUUAGAGGUCGAUGAACAAGAAACAGCGGCAUAGUCAACUACUGAAGUUUAGUAUGUUGCAACUGCAGCAUCUGUAAAUUAAGCCAUCUGGUUAAGGAAACUGCUGAAUGAUUUGAAUUUAAAAUAAGAAGAAGCAACAGAGAUUAAGUGUGAUAAUCAAUCUGCUGUUGCAAUUGUAAAAAAUCCAAUGUUCCAUGGAAGAACAAAAUAGUUCAAAAUCAAGUAUCACUUUGUGAGAGAAGUGGAGCAAUCCAAGGAAGUCACAUUGGUUCAUUGCAGUUUUCAAGAUCAGUUGGCUGAUAUUCUAACAAAACCUCUUGGGAAAUUGUGGUUUGAAAAGUUGCAUUAUGAUAUUGGGGAUCGCAACAUGGAGGCCAAGAAGGAGUGUUUCAAAAUGACCAUCCAUGCAAGGGCGAACCUAGAACACAAGUUUGCGAGCUCAAUGUGUGAGCUCGACAAAAUUGCGAGCUCAUCAAUAGUGCGAGCUCUUUACCUUGCAAGUUGCCAACUUGCCAACUUGCACUAAAACAAUGAUAAUUUUUAUUAGGCGUUUUGGUUGUUGAUUAGACUGAAAUCAGCCAAUAAGGAAGCAAGUUAACUAAAUCUAGUUGCAAGUCUAAGCUAAGUUGUAAUUAUUUUAUUAUUAUUUUUAGCUUUUUUAAGCUCUCUUGUUCCUGUAAAUAGAGCAAUCAAUUUUUUAAUGAAAUAGUUGAUCACAAGCUUAUCUUUUCUCCACUUUUAAUCCUUUUUUGCCUUUGUUUUAAUCUUUCCUUCAUCAAAUUUCCAAUAGUCUCACUCUUUUAAGUCUAUGAAUGUUGGCCCUUACAACAAGCUAGCAAAACGCAAUUCUUGGCGUUGAUUUCUCGAGAGUCGGUAGGGGCUCCUAUGGUUAUGUUAGUGCCUGCCCUGACCAUAGAAAAGAUAAGAAUGCCUAUUUUCAUUGCACUUACUAAAAUUAUUGAAACUCCACAACUAGACAAGGUUGUGGCUGAUGUUUUCAACAAGAUGUAUUCGGAUGAUGGGAAGAUGGUUAAAGAAGAUGAGUUCAAGAAACUGUUGACAGCGAUCUUAUGGACCAUCAUGCUGCAGUUAGGGGACAAUCCCAUCUCAGUUUCUUCAAACUGUGUACUACAUGAGCCCCUUGAAUCUUCCUCUUCGCUUUUGCAGCCAUGAUCCUGAUUUCCUAAUACGCGUAUCUCAUAUUUACUACAAACACAAUAAAAUGGACAAUCCAUUUUGGUAUAAUGAAGAAAUUUACGACUAGCUUAUGUUCUUUCUGUGCAAUUCAGUAAAACAUGCAAAUAUGUAAUUCAAUUUGGGACGAAUUUUUCUACAAAGAAAGUCGUCAUCAUCAAUCAACAACAAUGAUUAAAUUCUUAUUAGUUUGUAUACAAAUUUAAAAUACAAAAGAGCCAUAUGCCGUAUUAUUAUUACGUUUUGGAGGUAAUAUAUAUAUUUCAGGAUAAGAUAUGCGAAAUAACAUAUUUUUCCAACAACAACAAUUCACAAUUACAACCAAGUAAUUAUGUUGUUCAUUUUCUUAGUAACUGUGAGUAUGCUCACGUGGAAUCAUUUUAACAUACAGAGCGAAAGCCACGCACCCAAUAGUCGGUCCAAUCCAAAAUAUCCAGUGUCCAUUCCAAAGGUGGCCUCCUCUUACGACUGCUGGACCGAAGCAUCUUGCUGGGUUCAGCCCAGCACCACCAUAGCCUUUUGUGGCAGUAACUGUGGUUGAAAUGAACACUAGAAGACCCAAUACUACUCCUAAGAUAAUGCAGAUUAUUACUCGUCCCACGGCCUUUGCUUGGCGACGAUCAAAAGCCAUCCAUACUGAAGCGAAAAGGAACACAAAGGAACAGAUUAUCUCAAGCCAAAGGGCCUGGCUGUUCCCCAUGCCAAUCACAGUUGGUCCAUCGGUACCUGGUACGACAAUAGUCACGGUGCAUCCUGCUAGCGAAUACGUUCGUUCAAUGGCGCUAUUAACCACAGCUUUGAGUGCUAGUGAACCUAGUAUGCCACCGACACAUUGGGCCAAAAUGUAUAUGGCAGCUUUGGAAAUGGAAAUCAGGCCGGUAAGUAAAGCAGCAAAGGUAACAAUCGGAUUGAUAUGGCCUCCGGAGAUGGGGUAGGUAGCAAGCAGGAGAACUGCAACGACAAAGGCGAUUAGGACCGACAUUACAAGGUUGGGUGUCUUUGUUUCGGUCUGCAAUGUGGAGAUAACUAUGGUGUCCAAUGCAAAAACCAGCACUGCUGUCCCAAGAAGCUCUGCCAAUGAAGCUCUCCAUACCUAUAAUCCAACACCAGUUUGCUUGUUAGCAAUGCAAGCGAAGCAACUUCACAAAAAUAUCUAGCAAUCUCUGAGUUAAUGGCUAUGGGUGGCUUCACCUUGAGAAAAUUUUUCUAAGUCCCUCCCAAAAUUAAAUAAAAAAUUGUAUUUUUUAUUCUUUUAAAAAGAUCAAAAAUUUAACUUAAGCCAUUUUUUAACCACCAAAAUUUUAGAAUUUUAUCUCGAUGACACUAAAUAAAAUUCCUCUCACACUAACCUCCAAGGACAACAGCUGUUCAAGGCCUAACACCUUAGUAGACAAAAACACUUUUGCAUCAGAUUCCUCCUUAAUUUGCCCCGGCCUGCAAAAAUGAAAGAAAGGUUAGCUUGACAUAAACAUAAUUUAGUCCUCAAAAUGAAGCAAACCAAACUUGUUACAUAAUUACGUUGGAGUAGAGGCUACAGGCAGGACUCUAUUAUGAGUAAAGUUGUUUUCUUCAUCUUCAACAAUUCCAUUUCGGGCCAUCUUCUUAUUUAGCUCUUCUGGCUGCUCAAACCCUCUUUAAGUUAAAUAUAUCCCUUUGCUACAUUAGACAUACCUCCUGUUACCUAUAUAUAUAGCCAGAGAUUCGAGAUUCAUCAAUUCGUGCUGGCACCAAUUUAAAGUAUAUUGGCUGCAAUAGUAUAUAUCUUUAAUAAUCUUCAUAUUAGUCACAAAGUUCAUUCAUCCCUUUACAGAGUAUAUUUUGAAAUAUACUCCAUAUAAAAAUAUAUAUAUUUAGAAUUAAUUAAUAAUUUAUGCUUGUGAAUUAUAGUGUUCUGGGUUGGCAUUUAUAUAACUUAAGAUUGGUGCAAAUCGUGCGUAUUGAUUUUGAAUGGAGUUUGAGGAUUGAAAUGGGAGAAGAACAAGCAGGGGCCUUCUUCGAGAAGGUUUACGAUGCAUGUAAUAAUUGUUAAUUUAUGUUUUUAUGGAACUGCUAGCUUAGCUGCCCCUUAGGGUUUGACUUUUAACGCAAAACGAAUCCCUUCAAUAUUGUUAGUUGAUAUUUGCAUGCAUUGUAGUGUCAUUACAGAUCAUCCGUCGGUUUCAUCGUAUCCCGCGGUUAUGGGAUCCUGUUAGUCUCACAUUAACCAAUGAGAAAAAAAUAUCUUUACCUUUUUAAUAUUUAGCACAUUUAUCUGUUUCACAUUAAAUAAAUAUUUUUUUCUAAAUUAUGGUCUAAGAAUUAUUAUUUGAAGAUAUUUUACCUCAUCCAAAGAUUGUUUAUAGAUUUUCUGACUUUGGGAAUGAUCAUUUUGAUUGAUAUUGAAACAACAGUGAAUAGACUUGAUACAUCACUGACAAAAUUUAAAAAUAUGAUAGAUCAAUUAUUAUUCGGAUUACAUUUUAAAAAAUUGUAUAAUAUAAAAUAAAAAAAUUAAAAUGAAAAAAAAUCUACAGUCUAGAAACUAAAUACAUAUAAAAAAUAAAAAUGUCAUUUAUUUUAAAUUAUUUUCUAUUUCAUAUUAUGCAUCUUUUAAAAGUAAAAAUCAUAUAGCAUUGAAUCUUUAGUAAUAAAAAAUGUGUAAAUUUUAAAAAAAAUUAUUUUAAUUACUUAUAUUAUUUUUAAAAAAUAUUUAAUUUUUAAGAUAAUCCUAAUAUAAAUUAUUUUCAUAAACUUAAAUAUUUUUAAGUGAACAAGCUUUAGUUUAUUGAUUAAAGGCAAAUAUUUAAAAUCUAAUUUGAGUGCAACAUUUAUUUCAAAAAAAAAAAAAGAAAAUUGAGUGCAACAUUCUCCCCAUGUGCAUUUACCAUAGGUUAUCGCCUAUUCAUUUCAUUUUUCAUUGGGGAGUUUCAGAUAUUUAUAGGCUUUUUAUGUGGUUCCCUUAAGCCAAAUGUCUUACAAAUGGAAGUUAAUAAUUGAGUAAUGGUCUUGAUAUUUUAAUGAGAUGUUUGUAUUAUAUUUAUAUAUUAUAUAAUAUAUAUAAUUUUUUAAAGUUGAAAAUUUAAGGUCGCGCAAUGAAUUAUCAGUGCCAUAACUCCAGGCCUUUCUUCUAGAGCUACUUUUAUUAGUUUACCCCCAAUAUCUAAGCCAACGUCAGGUUUCCAUACACCAAGGUCACACGCUGCUUUUGACCAACCUCCAAUGGUGGGUGAAGCUUGGGAUGCCUUGAGAAUGAUCAUUGGUGUAUUUUCUUGAUCAACCAGUUGGGACUAUUGCAGCCUUGGAUAGUGUCCAAGAAAAUUAAAAUUAUUAUUUUUACGAAAAACUCAUUUUAAAAUUAGAUUUUACAUAUUUUAAUGAUCAAUUAAACAUGAUUUAACUACGAUUAAUUAACAUACAUAUACAUACACCUUCAAUUGAGUUUAUUGACAUCGAUCAAGCCUCAAUUAUAUAGAACUAGACAAUCAAUUUCAUGCAUAUCAAACACUGAAUAAAUCAAACAAGUGGUGUACCUUAGCCGCUAGUAAACCACUCCAUGGAAGCUUCAUUCAAACAAUCGUUAGUACAAAUUUCAUGCCUCACACAUCGUGUUAUCAAUCACCGUGUUAUCAAGCAACAAUACACCGUAAAUCAUUCAAUAAUUAAACUCAAACAUGCCUAAAAAUUAUUAUAAAACUAUCCAAAAUAAAAUGUCUAAUGUCCAAAAUCCAAUUACAACCAAAAUUAAACUAAUUCCCGGGAGUUCCACAAUGCCCGAUUACAGUCUCUAAAACGUGUAAUAAAGUAUCUACCAAGUCUAAAACUCUCGGAACUCUCUUGCUCAGCUCCUUAACUCCUCAAACCCGAUGAUUAUCUGCACAAAUUGUGAGGGUGUGAGCUUUAAAACUCUCAAUGAAUGUUAAUAAAAAUGACUAGUAAAUCAACAUCCAAACCAUGCUUAAAUUUCAUCCAAUCAAUCGCCAAUUAUCAGCCAUAAUAAUGAAACAUGUCAAUUUAAUUUCUAUAUGCUUUAUCAAUAUCAAGAAUCAAUUAUUCAUGGUUUACAAACAUCGAAUGAUAUAACAGUAAUCACACAUAAAUACAUUGGCAUACACUUCUUAUGGCUUAAUCAGGUGAUUAUACAUUGAAUAAACGGAUUUCCAAACUCCAACAAAUAUCAAAUACAGUCCCCCAAGUUGAGCGGGCUGAAGCACAUGCUCGCUUAUAGCGCCUCAAAUAACCCAAUGAGUGGAGACUCAUGCUCAACACUCCCUUAUCUACUCCAAACAAAUAAAUCCACCUAGAGUCAUAUGCUCACAAUGUCACAAAUAAAUAUGAGUACUUACAAAUCCUAUGACAUGCUAACUAUAUCCAAUGGAUCCACCAUACAUGUUUCUAAUAUAUUCAGUCAAACAAAACAUAUAAAUCAGUCAUUAUUGUGCUCAAUUUAAUGUGUCAAAAUGUUUAUGUGUAACAUGUAACAUAGUCAUUUAACAUCCAAUUAAAUCAAGCAUUUCAUUUGCCAUGUUCAAAAGUUCAAUUACCAAUUGUAACACUAAUACAUGAUAAUAAAAAAACUCCAAUCACUAUGCUCUAAUCAUCAAUAUAAUUAGCCCAAUUAUAUUAUACAAAAUCACCUAAAUACUUACCAUUAUUCAAUAAAAAUUUAACUCUUGUACAUAUAAUAUCAAUCUUGCAAAAAAUAAGUCAUUCAACUAUAAUUAAACAAUUGAAGUCAUCAAUUAAACUACUUCUCAAAAAUAAAUAAAGGUCAAUUUACCAAAUCGCCCUUAGAAACUAUAACAACUCGUUUUCAGUAAUAUAAAAAAUAGUGGUUUCAGGACCACAAUUCCAACGAGUAAAUUAUCAUUUUAUUAUUAUUUUAACGUAUAUAUAUUAAGAUAAAAUUUUGUUAAGAAAUUUUGAUGUUUAAGUAGUUAAUUAAGUGAAAAGGAAUAAAUCGUGAAAGGUGAAAAAGUUGAGUUCUAUGAGUUAAAAGGGUCAAAUGGCUAUGAAACUUUAAACCAAAAGGACUUUAAGGGUAAAUAAACCAUUUAAUAAAUUAGUGGAUGUGCAUGGCAUGGUUUAUUGAAAUUUUGUUAGUUUUUAAAGGUUAAUUUGGUAAUUAAGUAAAUUAAUUUAAAACAAAAAGGAAUCAAAAGAUGGUAUCAAUGAUAGCACUAGAAAGAACAUAGGUUUUCCCCCUUACUUAUUGGUUAAAUUGUUCCUAUUUAGUUAUCUUUACCAUUUAUUUUAGCUUUUCAGUUUAGUAAAUUGCAUUUUAUAGCUCAGUGAAUCCUAGUCUAUUUUAUCCUUAAUUUUUCUAGCUUAUUGCAUUAAUGUUGUUGCAUGAGUUAAUCCCAGAUUACAUCUGGAAUUGUCGCCGCACUUGACAAUUGUCCAGAUAAGAACCAAAAUUUCGUGAGCUAUCCAGUCUGGUCCAACCUGUACGUACAAGGACAAAAUAAUUUUAAAGGAAUGACACUUGUACUAUGAGAGGAGGACAUAAAAGGUGGAGUGAGUAGAAAAAGAGGUUUUUUUCUCCACCAUCAUCUUCAUCAUCUUACUUGGAAGCUUGUGGUCAUGGUAGCUUAAGCCUCUCACGGGUGAGCUAACGUGCAAACUGAAUGCAGACUAGCUCCUAACGGGGAGAUCUAAGUGCGAGACAAGAGGGAAUAAAGAGAUUUAGUUGAGUUGUUUAGGAAUAUAAUUCUCCACUUGAUUUUUUCUUAUUUCUUUCUAAAUGUUGGUGAUUACUCUUUGAUUUCUGAUUGUAUGGAAGUACUGAUGAAUUCUUGGUGAAAUGUUAUCUUAUUUAAUCUUACUUUUAUUGUUUAAUCUUGGGUUUGAAUUUUUUUAACACGGAAGUGUUAUUGUAGUGACAGUUUGAUCCAACAAGCAUUUCAACGGAAUUUGAGUGAGGAUUAGAGGAAUUCAGUCCACUUGUUCUUAAUAGUACCGUAUUGCCAUCAUCGGAAGGUGAGGUUAAUAUGCAUGUUUAAGUCUCAGAUUAAAUAGAGAAGUAACACUGGGUAAGAUUUACAUUGAAUCUUAUUGCUUCAACAAUCACCUAUCUUUUUAUACCUUGUGAGAACUUAGUAUUCUGCUGAAGAUUCAUGUUGGGGAUCCCAGUUUAUCAUUAUCAUAUUUUAUUUUAUUGUUUUCAGUUUAUUGCAUCGACAACUAUUCUCACAAUUUAUCUUGUUUCCAUCUAGUUGUUGCACCAACAUUAAUAAACAAAAUACUAUCAUCCCUGUGGGAUCGAUAUUUGACAGACUCAUAUCUGUCUACUAUAUUUUCAUCAAAAGUGUACGAUUGUACAUUAUUGUUGUGACGUUAAACAACCGAUCAAGUUUUUGGCAUCGUUGCCAGGGAUGGCGUUUGUUUGAUGUUUGUUUUUGUUUUUUUGUGUUUUUGCACUUUAUUUUCCUUAUAUAAUAUUUAGUUUUCACUAAUUGGUUUUUCUUUGUUGCUAUUUAUUUAACUUCAAUUUAGGUGUUUUAUGACUUGAAGAAAUUUGGAUUUUCUUAUCGAUUUUGAUCCAGAAAUUGAAAGGACUGUUCAGAGUAGACUUCCAGAACAAAGAAGUAUGGCUCUACCAGGGAACAAUGCAGCCAUACCCCCGAUGCAACAGUAAAAUGUUAAUAACCCAUUGUUGUUGUAAGAUGCUCGUAUACAAAAUAGGAUUAUACGAGAUUUUUUAGUACCUGUUUUGGAUGAUUUACAACUAGGAGUUGUUAGGCCAGCAAUCCAAGUUGGGAAUUUUGAACUCAAGCUAGUAAUGUUUCAAAUGUAGAAUUCUAAUGGACAAUAUGUUGGACUUCCACACGAAGAUGUGAAAGAACAUCUUAAAUCUUUUUAUUGAUCUAUGUUUCUUUUAUUCAACAAGCCAUUCCUGAUAAUGCUUUGAAGAUGCAAUUAUUUCCUUAUUCCUUAUAGGGAAGAGCCCGUACUUGGUUUUUUAGACUACCUGCCAGAUCAAUUACUUUUUGGGAUGCAUUAGCAACACAGUUUAUUUUGCGAUUUAACCCACCGACAAUGAAUACUCGUCUUCGAAAUGAUAUUACUACUUAUCAUCAGUUGGGUGAUAAAAAUCUUCAUACCAUAUGGGAACAUUAUAAAUCUUUACUUCGACAUUGUCCUAUGCACGGCAUUUAACUAGAAACACAAAUUGAGAUUUUUUUUAUAACGGGUUGAAUUUACAAAUAAGGAAUCAUGUCGACGCAUCAGCUAAUGGAUCUCUGCUGGAUUGUACUUAUAAUGAUGCUGUGAGAAUUCUUGAAAGAACUGCUCAGAAUGAUUAUCAAUACCCUAUCUCCAGAGUUGCACAAGCAAAAACUACUCCAGGAGUUAUUAAGUUGGAUGUAAUAAUUGCACUAACUGCUCAAGUUUCUUCUCUCACAAACAUGAUUAAAAUAUGCAAGGGACUAGUGGUGUUGCACCUAUACAAGUCGCUCAGCAAGUUGAUGUUCCUACCUUUUUUGUGAGAUUUGUAGUGAUAACCAUAGCUAUGAAAAUUGUCUGCAACAUGUAGAGAAUGCCUGUCAUAUUAGUAACAUCCGCAACAAUUCUUAUGGAAAUUCUUACAACAACUCUGUACGCAACUAACAGUUUGGAGAAACUCAGAAUGCUGGACAAAUAUGAGAAUACAUCUACUCAGGGCAAUUAUAAUCACAGGUAAAGGAACUACAAUCAACAAAAGCAGAACUACAAUCAGCACACUCAGAUACAUCUACAACAAGGCUAGACACAUCUACACCAAAAUUCGAUGUAGCCACAAUACUAUUCACUACCAAAUCAACAUGUUCAAGGACAUCGAAAACAACCAUACACUAAGCUUCUACUUCUGACCCAUUAGCAACUCUUGAAGUGUUAAUGCGAGAGCAUAUUUCUCAUACGAAAGCUAUCGUACAAGGGAAUGCAUCUUCGAUUUUCGACCAUUGGAAGAUCAAUUAGGACAACUUGCUUCAAAUCCGAAUACUCGACCACCAGGUUUAUUACCUAGUGGCACGGAAAAUCCUAUUCCGAGGGGAAAGAACAUUGUAAGGCUAUCACUCUUAGGAGUGGUAAACAAAUUAGAGAACCGUUUAUCGACUCUACUAUAGCACUUCAAGAUAGAGAUGGAGUGGUCACUGGCGAGAAGGUUGAAUCUAAAGAAUUUUUCAUGAAUCAAACAAAGAAGUUCCACAAAUUGUCACUCAUAUACCCGAUGUCAUACCUUCAAAACUAUCGACGUAAUCAAAGGUGUCGGCGUAAGCAGAUAUAUCUCUACCUUUACCCUUUCUACAAAGAUUCAGGGAGAAUGAGCAUGACAAGUAAUAUCAGUAGUUCCUAGACACACUGAAGCAACUACAGAUAAACAUUCUUUUAGUGGAAGUUCUAGUAAAAAUUCUGAGUUAUGGGAAAUUUAUGAAAUACCUCUUGUCUAAGAAGAAGAAGCUCCCUGAUAUUGAAACUAUUGCACUCACAGAAGGUUGUAGUACUAUUUUGACAAACAAGUUGCUCCUUAAAUUAAAAGAUCCUUGGAUAUUUACCAUCCCAUGUUCAAUUGUUAAUCAUUAUUUGGGUAAGGCUUUAUGUGACUUAGGAGCUAGCAGUAACCUAAUGCCAUUAUCCACUUUCUGAAAGUUGAGAAUUGGUCACAUGAAAUCUACUACAGUGACAGUACAACUAGUCGAUCGAUUUUCUCAAAAUCAUAUCUUUUUACCUUUAAACUGUUCUCCCUCAACAAAAGAUGGCCAAAACAAGAGGCUCGGUCAAGAAAACCACUAAAUCUGUUAGAGAACAUGCGUCUUCUACUACCACAGUUCGUGAAUUAGAAUCCCCUAGGCCAGUGCAGACAAAUGAGCCAGUAAUCAUUUUGAAUAAACAAUAAAUGAAUGAUUUCACAACAAUAUACUGAAGCAAAAAUUCUAUCCCGAGUAGGGCAUUUCCCUUUCGCCACAACAAGACUUGGGUAAGCAAGUCUCCAAAACCAUCUCGAAGUUAAAAUAGAAGACCAUUUACACCCAUCUUGACAGCUACUCUCCUUUACUGGUACGUGAGUUUUAUGCUAAUCUUUACUAUCAUGAGUUAGAGUUCGUUUUCGUUCAAGAAGGUUUAAUACCAUAGGACGCUGCAACAACCAACGAGGUGUACAACACCAAGGUCGAUGUCGAUGAACACUGCAAGUUCAUGGAUGAUAUCACAGAUGAAAAACGAGAUCUGUUGGUGAGAGACUUGUGUGUCAAGGGAGCAGUGUAGAAUGGUUCCCAUAAAAAAAAUUACACGAUGCACCGUCGCUUCCUGACGCUACAAGGAAAAAUUUGGUUUCAUUUUGUCAACUGCAGGCUAAAGUCCUCCACUCACAACACUACAGUCACCCUAGACAGAAUGUGUCUAAUACAUUCUACUGUCAAGGGAAGAAAAUUUGAUGUAGGCGCAAUACUUCACCAAGGCUAAAGUCCUCCACUCACAGCACCACAGUCCCCCUAGACAAAAUGUGUCAAAUAAAUUCUAUUAUUAAGGGCAGAAAUUAAUGUAGGCAUAAUACUUUACCAAGAAAUAGUUGACUGCGCUGCAAGGCAGACUAGGAUAUUGGUUUUCCUAUCACUAGUGAUGUUAUUAUGCCAGCAAAGAGAAAUCGUGCCCUUUGCUGGUGCGAAAGUCUUGGAAAAUAAAGGCCCAAUCAAUGAAGCCUCUAUAGAAAGAAUAACUAGAAGCAAUAACACACCGAUAUUGAAGGAAGCGAAGACCAGCAAGACAAGAAAGGGUAAAGCCAAAUCUGACAAAAAUGGAACAAACUUAAAUGCAGAGACAUCAUUAUGGCAUAAACUAAAAGAUGUCGAAGAAAUGGUAAAUUACAUCAACAACAGGCAAAUUCGGCUUGUCACUAUAGUAGAAGAUAUGGAGAAAUCCCAGAAUUUGUUUUAUGCUUAUACUGGAGCCUGGAAUAGUUCUAUUGUAGCGACAUUAGACCAACUGAGCCCAUCAUCACUAUUUAAGUUCCCUGUAUUUCCAUAAAUCAUUCGCAAUUAUGACCCCUCUUCCUCGGAUGAAGACUUAGAAGGUCGAGAUAAACCGGUGGCAUCCCCACUCAUUAUGCAGGUCUCUGAUACUGAGAAAGAAAAGGAAUCUAGGGAGCUUGAAAAAUGCCUACGAAAGAUUGAUAGCUUGUUUGAUGAUAGUAUUUUUGCUGAUCAAGAGGACACUGUUUUUGAGAAGGAAGUUGCUGCUGCAGAAGAGGAAAUUGUUGCUGAAGAAGAAGAAGUUGCUGGAAAUAAGAAAGAAAAAGAAGAAAAAGAUUUUGUUGAGAUGAUUAUCACCGCACCAGAGUCUAUGGGUGCAAAUAUUAAUAAUUUGGAGUGAACUGGAGUAAGACUGGCGGAAGAUGUUGAGGUAACCAGUGAGGAACAAUGUAAUUCAUUGGCAAUAGUGGUCUACAUUGGACCACUCCAAGUGGCCUCUCCUACACAAACAACAGCCAAUGAUACCGGGACAGAGCCUGGCACUGAGGAGCAAUCUGAAGACUGUGCAAAGCCUAAAGAAAAGAAAAGAAAGAGCUUUAAGAAUAAAAAAAAUAAAAGAAUGAGGAAAAGAAAAAGAGGAGAAAGAAACAUAUGCAUCCACAUCGACGGCUACGGAUAACAUAGUUAGUUUAUUUUAAGCUUUGGUUAUAGUAUUCAUGCAUUGCAUGUAGCUUUAGGUUUUAUUUUGAUAAAUAUAUAUUUUCAUUGCAAUGUUAUUGUUAUUACAUUGUCAUAUUAGUGCAUUGGGGACAAUGCAAACUUUAAGUUUGGGGGAAUACACAUGGGCCUUGGAAAUGCACCCACAUUUCAAAAAAAAAGUCAAAAAUAAAGCAUGUAAGGUUUAAUUAUAGUUAAUGGAAAUUGUUCAAAAUUUUUGUUACGUUCGAUGCUUAAUUCUUGAAUCAUGUAAAUUAUCAAUGAAUGAGUUGGACAAAUUUGACAGAAGGUUAUAGCUUCAAUUUUUUGAUGAAUGCAUUAGGUUGUAUUAGUAAUAGAUGACUGUCAUCAUUCCUUAAAUCUUGAAUUAAUCUACUUUUUACAACUGUUUAUAUAUGCAUAUAUAGUUAUAAAGUAGAGACACUCCAAAGUGGGAGUAAUAUGGAAUAUUAAAAAGAGAACACUUUAAUACAAGUGUUAGAAAAAUCAAUCUGGCCAAAAUCUGUCACUGCAUGAAUGUGUGUCGAUGCAAUUACGUACUCCCUGAGGGUUUAUUGCACCCCAUCGUCACUUCUCAAGAACAAGGGUACAGUAAUGCAACAAUAUCCCUUAUUCCAAAAAAUGUAUAUAUAUACUUAGUAUUGGACAAUAAAUGUUGUAAUGGUAGAUAGAACUUAAGGUUUAAAGCAUGAUGCUAGCUUUGAUGAAGUUUCAACCUUAUGCAUUCAUGCUUAUGAAUUGUCGAUGCAAUAUUCUUUCAUCUGAAUGUGAUUCAUCCAUUAGGAAAUUAGAGGAUUCAAGUUGCUAGAAUGAGCAUUUGCCUUAGUAAAAUUUUUGUAGCCUUGCUAGUUUCUAUUUUACUUGAGGACAAGUAAAAACUCAAGUUUGGGGGUGUGAUAGCACUAGAAAUAACAUAGGUUUUUCCCCUUACUUAUUGGUUAAAUUGUUCCCAUUUGGUUAUCCUUAGCAUACAUUUUAGCAUUUUCAGUUUAGUAAAUUGUAUUUUACAACACAGUGAAUCUUAGCCUAUUUUAUCCUUAAUUUUGCUAUCUUAUUGCAUUAAUGUCGCUAUAUGAGUUAACCCAAGAUUGCGUCCAGAAUUGUCACCGCACCUAACAGCUAUCCGGAUAGGAACCAAAACUACGUAAGCUUUUAGUCUAGUAUAACCAACCUGUAUGUACAAGGACAAAAUAAUUUUGAGGAAAGGACACUUGUACUAUGGGAGAAGGAAAUAAAAGGUGGACGUGAGAAGAAAAAUAGGAGUUUUUUUUCUCCAUCAUCAUCUUCAUCAUCCUACCUUGAAGCUUGCGACCAUGGUAUCUUAAGCCUCUCACAAGUGAGCUAACAUAAAAAUCGGAUGCAAACUAGCUCCUGACGAGGAGAUCUAAGUGCGAGACAAGAAGGAAUAGAGAGAUUCAGUCGAGUUGUAUAGGAAUAGAAUUCUCCACUCAAUUCUUUCUUAUUUCUUUCUAAAUGUUGGUGAUUACUCUUUGAUUUCUAGCUGUAUGGAAGUACUGAUGAAUUCUUGGUGAAAUGUUUUCUUAUUUAAUCUUGCUUUUAUUGUUUAAUCUUGGGGUUUGAAAUUUUUUAACAUGGAAGUGUUAUUAUGGUCACUGACACUGGAAAGUGCAAUGAAAAUUUGAGCCAACAAGCAUUUCAAUGGAAUUUGAGUGAGGAUUAGAGGAAUUGAGUCCACUUGUUCUUAAUAUUGUCGUAUUGCCAUCAUUGGAAGGUUAGGUUAAUAUGCAUGUUUGAGUUUUAGAUUAAAGAUUAAAAGAGGAGUAACACCGGGUAAGAUCUACAUUGAAUUUUAUUACUUUGACAAUCACAUAUCUUUUUAUACCUUGUGAGUACUUAGUAUUCCGCUGAAGAUUCAUAUUGGGGAUCCCAGUUUAUCAUUAUCAUAUUUUAUUUUAUUUUAUUAUUUUCAAGUUAUUGCAUCGACAACUAUUCUUACAAUUUAUCUUGUUUCAAUCUAGUUGUUGCACCGACAUUAAUAGACAAAAGACUACCAUCCCUGUGGGAUCGAUAUUCGACAAACUGACAUCUGUCUACUAUAUUUACAUCGAUAGUGUACACUUGCAUAUUAUUGCUGUGACGUUAAACAACCAAUCAAUCAUCUUUAGUAUUCUUCUCCACCAAAAUUCAAGACAGGAAUAGCCAUUGUUAGCGCUUUGAUGUUCAAAUAUCUUGUGUGUGUGCAUGUAAUUGAUUUCGAGCCCGUUCUUAAUGAUUUUUAUGUUUUUAAGUUCGUUUUAGCUUAAUCUAGCUACCCUAAGGGUCAGUUUGUAAAAUUAUUAAAGGUUAAGGGUUAUGCCAUGAAUGUUCUUAAAUGGUUUUUAAUGUUAAAGGAUAUAUUAUUAAUCUUUGUUGAAAAAUAAACAAGUUUUGUUAAGUGAUUUUUGUUGAAUUUUAGAAUUAGAGACUAAUUUGUUAAAGGUAUAAACUCUAGGGUUUUAUUGUGAAAUGAUGGUAAAUAUUAGUUUUUUCAAGGUCCCUUACAUGUUUGAUUAACAUGGAUUUAGAUUAAAAUGUUUAAAUUUUAAGUUAUAAGCUUAAGGAAUAAAUUGUGAAAAAGUUAAAAUGUUAAGGGAAAAUUGGUAAUUUUGUAUAAAAAUGAAAUGUGGAUUACAUUGAAUACUAGAAAUAUUAAAUUGAUUGAAAUAUCCAUUUAGAUCAAGAUAAACCACGUACAGACCUAGAUCGAAGAAAAGCAAAAGCUUCUGAUUUGUUCAACCUAACUACUACACCUCUAGUCGUCGAGGUAAGUUCGUAUGAAGGUUAUUGUGUAAUUGUUACAUACAUUGAACAUUUUCUAUGUUACUCUUAAUGUAGAUGGGUCAAUAUACAUAAACAUAUCAAUGUUAUGACGAAUUGAAGGUUAUCGAGUCCCUAUUGAACCUUAGGAAUUUUUAGGAUACAAAUGCCAUGUCAUUGGGGAUUUCAUGUUUCGGGGGUUGGUCUUAAAUGUCCUACCGAUUGCUAAGGUCCUACAUUUUUUGCGGAUUCUCCAUAGCUCAUGUGAGCAGCAUAAUGUAGCUUACAUUCCAACCCACAGCUCGUGUGGGUAAUGAUGUAAAGGAAUGAUUAUGGUUAUAUGUAAAAGCACACUUUGUGUGAGCUUUCCCAAUUAUCCGAGGUAAUUCUAAUUGGUUCAAUAGGAAAGAAAAGAUAACGUAAUGGUAAGUAUGUAAAUGGAAUGAAUCAUGAUUUAAUGAAAGGCUUGAUGAACUAAAUGAUGUUGUAUGCAUAUGGAAAAUUUCAUACCUUAUGAAUGAUUUCAUUUAUGUUAUGGAUGAACAUACUAACUUGUGAGUUGGUUAUGUUGUAUAGGUUUACAGUAAGCUUAUGGCAUUGGUAUUGAUUUGUACUUAUUCUAUGAAUUGUAUUAUAGAAAUGGUAAGUUACGUUUUAAGUUUAUACGAGUUUACUAAGGAUUCAUUGCUUUCGUAUUUUCUUUCUUAUAUUUUAUAGAUUAUCGAAAGCUCGAUUUGGUUGGAAGUCCAUCAGAGAUCUAUUACACUAUCUAGCAAACAAUUCGGUAGUUUUUGAACAUUUUGGCCAAGGUUUAUAAUGGCAUGUAUAGGAUUAGAUGUAAUGGUAUUUUGACGAAUGUUUUUUUUUUUGUGUUUUGGCAUGUAUAAGAUUUGAAAGUUAUCUUGGUUUGCUAUUAUUUGAUGCCUUGUGAAAUUGUGUCAUUUUGUUUACCUUAUUAUUCAUGGUUGUAUAGCUUUUUAUGGUAAGUUUGAAAUAGUAUGAUAACGGUCACAUUUGUGGUAUGUUUUGAUAAGUAUUGAACUAGAACAUGAUGCUUGGAUUAGGUAGGUGUGGAUUGAAUGUGUUUGAGGUGCCUUUGAAUGGCAUAAUGGUUAGUUGUAUUAAGAUCUUGAAAUGGCAUUUUGGUGUAUGUUUUGGUGAUUUUUACUUCCUUUUGAAGUGUGCUUAAAUGGGUUGAAAGGUCAUGCAUGAAAUGGUCUUGGAAAUGGCUUGCUUUUAGGUAAAUUUGGGUCCACACUGCCAGAGACACGGGCGUGUGACUCAGCCGUUUGAGACACACGGCCUGGCGACACAUCCAUGUGUCAUCUGAUGAUUUUCUUCUGUUGCAAGUCAGAGAGAUACAUGGCCUGGCACACGGCCAUGUGACACUACUCAAAGAGUUACAUGGGUGAGGACACAGACUGGGAUACAGCCGUGUGUCCCUAGUUUGAUAGUUACAUGGCCUGAGACACGGGUGUGUCUCUCAGCCAUGUGAGGCACACGGUCAUGUGACCCCUAUUUUGUAAAUUUUGCAUCUUUUUCCAAAACUUUUCAAACUAUUUCAAAUUAGUUUUGAAUUGUUUCUAAGUUAUUUUUAGGGUCUCAGGGCUCGAGUUAGAGACAAUAUGCAUAUGUAUGAAUGGUUUGUGAUGUGAUUAUAAUAUUGAAUGAUAUAAAGCUUAAAUGUGGUUGAUUGUAUGAUAAUGUUCCGUAACUGUAAUCUAGAGAUAGAGAUGAGUUAGGGGUGUUAUAUUUAGUGGUAUUAGAGCCACGGUUUAGUCAGUUCUCAAACUGAACAUGGCGUGUAGAAAGCAUUGUGAAACGUAUCUAGCUUACAUAUUUGAUUCUAGGGUUUCAGAAUUGAAACCAGAAUGGGUUUCAACUGUACAUGAGUUCACAGAUGUAUUACCAGGGUUACCACCUAUUAGAGUGGUUGAGUUUGCUAUUGAGUUAGUGCGGGAACAUUUCAGAUUUCGAUAGCUUCUGUGACAACCCGAAUUAGGGCCUAAUCAGAAUAGUUGUUUCGUGACCACAAAUCCGAGAUAAAAAUAAUUGUUUUAUAAUUAUUUUUGGGUUUAUGAUAUGAUUUCAUGAUUUCGUUAAAAUUUCGUGAUGAAAUUCUAUGCAUUGAGCGCUUAAGUUGAUAUUAGGGACUAAAACGAAUAAAUUGUAAAACUCGUGUUUUAGAAGUUUUUAGUAUGAAAUUGCUUUGGGAUAUUAACUAGGAGGUCUUAAAUAGAAAUUUGACCCAUUCCUAAGUUAUGGACAAAAGUUGGACAUGGAGGGAAUUUUUGGAAAGUUUAGUAGUAAGGGCAUUUUGGUCAUUUGUAUAUUAAAUGAAAUAAAAUGGGAAAAAUAACACAAAAUUGGUCAUCAUCUUCACUAGCUGCUGCCGAAAUUUUCUCUCCUCCAUAGCUAGGGUUUCUUCAACUUUCAAGCUUCAGAGUAAGUGAUUUCAAGCCCCGUUUUUAAUGUUCUUCACAUUUUUGAAAUCCUCGUAGCUCGGUUUACCUAUUUCUACCAUUAUUUCGAGUCAGGGUUUAUGUUUAAAAAUUUACCCAUGAAUGAUAGGCAUGUAUUGUGUUGUUUGAUGGUAGAAUAUGAAUGUUUUAAGUUAGGAGAACGAUCUUUUCUAAGCGAUUUUUAACAAAAACGAGCAAAACGGCAUAAUCGAUAAAAAUACCUAUUGUUCAUAACUAUGUGUUAGAGUGAGAAUUUGAUGUUCCCAUAGAAGAGAAAAAUGAUCAGUAGGUCAUUAAACAUAAGAAUAAGGACUGAAAUUAAAUUUCUGAGCCUUGGGGCAAAAUCGUAAUUUUGUAAAAGUUAGGGGCAAAAAUGUAAUUUUUGUAUAAUGUAAUUUUUGGAUUAAAAUAAAUAGUUCGAGUGUUAAAUGAGCUAAAUAUGUUAUUAUAGAUCAAUAAAGGCGUGGAAUCGACCUCGAACGGGGGAAGGAGAAAGUUUUGGACUAAAUUGCAAAAUGCCCAUAUUUUGCACCGAGGUAAGUUUGUAUGUAAAUAAUACAUUAAUUUCAUUUACAUUCUUAUAUUUCAGCCUAUUAUAUAUAUACUAGCUGAUGUUGAAGUAUAAAUCGACUAUUGGAAGAAUGGAAAUAAGUAAUAGAGAGAGAGAUCCCAGUUGAACAUUCGGAAAGAUUGAAUAAAAUAGAGGGAGCAUAGCUAGGUCACAUGUAUGGUGCUGAGUGCACAUCAUGUGUACAAGAAAGCUACGAGAUACUAUGUAGUAGCUAGGUCACAUGUGUGAUACGGGAUGUAUCCCAUGUAGACAAGAGAGCUACGUGAGAGAUAAAUGUAGCUAGGUCGUAUGCGUGAUUCCAAGUGAAGGACACCAUGUAGACAAGAGAGCUACGAGACAAAUCGGCUAGGUCGCAUGAGUGGUACUAAGUGUUCACCAUGUGGACAAGAGAGCCGAAUUAAAUGAAAUAUGAUGGUGGGGCUGUGUGCUAAAACCAUCAAGUAUCGAGGAUUAAUCCGAAUUGUUCAAUGGGAUGGCUUUGUGGUGACAUUGUAGUCAUGGGCCUAUACUUGUGAUGUAUGAAAUGUGGUGAAAAUGAUUUGUGAUAUAUAUAUAUAAGUUAAAAUGAGGUUAGUACAAAGAAUGUGUGAAAGAGUGAAAUUAGCAUUAAAACUGUUUUGGGCAGUAGCAGUGACGUGAUUUUUAAAAACCACCAAAAAUAGAAGGAAUUUAAUUAGAGGUUUAAUGAGAUGUUAAAUUAAAUCUUAAUUAGUCUAUUUUCAUAUAAAAGAAACAGAGUAGGAAAAGGAAUUCUAUAUUUUGAGAUAUUUACAAUUGUGUGUGACUUGCUCAGGAUGACUAUGUGAUCCCCUGUUCCAAAUUUGAAAAAUCAUUAAAAAUUGUACAAAAAAAAUUAAUAAAUAUAGUUUAUAUGACUAAAUUCCUUAUUGAGUCUAGUUUUAAAUGAAACAGGUUUCAUGGUUAUUUGAGUUGUGUACUAAGAGAAAUUCAAUUCAUAGUAAAUAGAGGUCAAAUCAAUUGAGCUGUGUAACAGGGGAAACUUUAACUAAUAAACUGUACUAAUUGGCUGAACCAAAAAUUCUAGAAAAAAAAUUAGUAAGAAUUUUUAUGAGUCUAGAUUUAGGAAAAUUUUACGGAUUUGAAUUUUGAGUUUCGUAACUCAAGUUAUGAUUUAUUUAGUGAUCAUGACGCAGGAGGGACAGCUUGAUCAAAUCGGAGUAAAUAGUAAAAUUAAAAAUAUGAUAUAAUUGAGUUAUGUUGUAAACAUAUUAGAUUCCUUAUUUGUUAUUUAUAUACUUACUUACUAAGCUAUAAGCUUACUUUCUUUUCUCUCCUUUGUCUUAUAGUGUCAUCCAGCUAGCACAGGAGUUAGAGAUCGUUGAAGAUCCGCCCGCACUAUCAAUACUCUUGGUAUUCGAACUCAACAUUUUGAAAUAUGGCAUGUAUAGCAGACUUAGUUAUUUAGUUACGUGUCAUAAUUGUCUAGGUUUAAAAUACUAAUUAUAGUAUCAAACUAAUCAUUUUUUACGAAGCCUUUGAAAUUGGUUUGUAUUGUUAAUGGCAUAUGUUAUAAUGAUUCAUGAUCAAAUUGCACGCCAUAUUUUUGUUGGGUUUUAUUUAAUAGUAUAUACUAUAAUUUGUUAAUACCUCGUACCCUGUUCCGGCGACGGAUACGGGCAAGGGGUGUUACAUUUAGUGGUAUCAGAGCUAUGGUUUAGUCGGUUCUCGGACUAAUAAAGUGUGUGUAAAAGUCUAGCUAUACAUGCCAUAAAAAUAUUGUGAUAGUGUGGUGACUCCUGAUUAUUCUAAACUGUGUUUUGUUUUAAUAUAGUAAUGGAUCCUGAAAGAACUGUGGCUGAUGAUGCUGCUAGUAAUGCGCCGACUUCCGCACAAGGGACCGCGCCUGUGGAAAGUAGACCUGAGACAUUGAGACAGGGAGAUGAGGCUCGGGAUGCCUUUCUCCAAAUGAUGAACAAUUGGUAUACUGAGUUUAUUCGAGCAAAUCCAAAUGCUCAACCUCCUCCACCCCCUCUCAUACCUCAGACGAUUCCUGUAGUUGCUCAAGGCAUAGAUUUGGUAAGAACGAACAAGCCUCCGGUUGACAAGAUUCGAAAACAAGGGGCCGAAGAGUUUAGAGCAAAGAUCGAUGAUGAUCCUGAGAAAGUGGAGUUCUGGCUUGAAAAUUCUACCCGUGUAUUUGAUGAGCUCUCAUGUACACCCGAGGAGUGCUUAAAAUGUGCUGUAUCACUUUUGAGAGAUUCGGCCUACCACUGGUGGAAGAAUUUGGUAGCAGUGGUGCCAAAAGAAAGAGUUACUUAGGAUUUCUUCUAGGAAGAAUUUAGAAAGAAAUACAUAAGUCAGCGAUUUAUUGAUAAAAAACGGAAGGAGUUCCUUGAAUAGAAGUAGGGCAAGAUGUCUGUGGCAGAGUAUGAACGCGAAUUUAUAAGACUCGGCAAGUAUGCCCAGGAAUGUGUGUCCACCGAGGCCAUUAUGUGCAGAAGGUUUGAGGAUGGGCUAAAUGAGGACAUUAAAGUGCUUGUGGGAAUUUUGGAGUUGAAAGAAUUUGUAGUAUUGGUUGACCAAUCUCUUAAAGUCAAAGAAUUGAACAAAGAAAGAAGAAAAGCUGCUAUUGAGGCCCGAGAUGCCAGAAAAAGGCCGAUAAGCAAGUCAUUUCAAUCUCAAUCAAAGAGGUCCAAAGAGACAAACCCUCGAAUGACAGUUUCAACUGGGGAUUCACACAGAGAUCGUGGUAGAGCAUAUUUGGGGUCUAAAGCUCAAGCUACUUCGGUGGCAAGUGUGGGUAAUGUGCGACCUAGAAAGCUCGAGUGUCAGCAAUGUGGCAGGCAACAUUAUGGUGAGUGUUGGGGAAACGAGCGAUCUUGUUUUGGGUGCGGUUCUCACGAGCAUUUUAUUAGAGACUGUCUGGAGAAAGUUAAAGAAGAAAGAUUUCAGAGUGCUAGACAGAAUACCACCGCUAGCAGAGGUAGACCACCGAGAAAUACUAGAGGUGGGACUAGCAGUAAAACUGCGAUGAAAGAUUCAGCGGCGAGAUCAGAAGCUAGAGCGCCUGCUAGAGCUUAUGCUAUACGUGCCCGAGAGGAUGCAUCAUCUCCCGAUGUCAUUACUGGUACAUUUUCUCUCUAUGAUACUAUUUUUAUUGCAUUGAUUGAUCCCGGGUCCACUCAUUCCUAUAUUUGCAUGAAUUUAGUAUCUAAUAAAAAGUUGCCUGUUGAGUUUACUGAGUUUACGAUUAAAGUGUCGAACCCCUUAGGCCAAUAUGUGCUAGUUGACAAGGUUUGCAAGAAUUGUCCAUUAAUGAUUCAAGGUCACUGUUUUCCGGCUAAUCUGAUGCUGUUACCAUUUGAUGAGUUUUACGUUAUUUUGGGAAUGGACUGAUUGACAUUGUAUGAUGCCAAGGUAGAUUGUAAACAAAAAACACUAGAGUUGAAAUGUGAAAAUGGAGAAAUUCUGUGGGUUGAAACAGAUGAAUCAAAUAAAUUGCCUAUGGUGAUUUCGCACAUGUCUGCACAGAAAUACAUGAGGAAAGGGUGUGAAGCUUAUUUGGCUUAUGUAAUGAAUACUGAGUUGCCUCAACUGAAGUUUGAAUCAGUACCGAUAGUCUGUGAGUUUCUAGAUGUAUUUCCAGAGGAAUUGCCUGGGUUACCUCCGAACAGAGAGAUAGAGUUUGCCAUUGAUUUGUUGCCGGGUACUGCACCGAUCUCGAUUGCUCCAUAUAGAAUGGCUCUGACUGAAUUAAAAGAAUUGAAGGCUCAGUUGCAAGAGUUAACAGAUAAGGGAUUUGUGAGACCGAGUUUCUCUCCCUGGGGUGCUCCUGUAUUGUUCGUAAAGAAGAAGGAUGGUUCAAUGAGACUUUGCAUUGAUUACCAUCAACUUAAUAAGGUGACUAUAAAGAACAAGUACCCAUUGCCGAGGAUUGAUGAUUUAUUCAAUCAGUUAAAGGGGGCCACAAUGUUUUCAAAGAUCGAUUUGAGGUCUGGUUACUACCAGUUGAGAGUUAAGGAGUCGGAUGUGCCGAAAACUGCCUUUAGGACAAGGUAUGGACAUUAUGAGUUUCUUGUGAUGCCUUUCAGCUUAACAAAUGCUCCAGCUAUAUUUAUGGACUUGAUGAACCGGAUCUUUCGGCCAUAUUUGGAGAAGUUUGUAGUAGUGUUUAUAGAUGACAUUCUAAUUUAUUCUCGGGAUGAGUUUGAACAUGCCGAACACUUGAGAACCAUAUUGCAAAUCUUGAGAGAAAAGAAACUGUUUGCUAAGUUUAGUAAAAGUGAGUUUUGUCUUCGUGAAGUCGGAUUUUUGGGACAUAUAGUCUCAGGUUAUGGUAUUCGGGUGGAUCCAAGCAAGAUUUCCGCGAUCGUUGAUUGGAAACCGCCAAAGAAUGUAUCCGAGGUUAGAAGCUUUUUAGGCUUGGCCGGGUAUUAUAGACGUUUUCUUGAGGGAUUUUUGAUGAUUGCCUCUCCUAUUACUAAGUUGUUGCAAAAGAAUGUUAAGUUUGAAUGGACUGAAAAAUGUCAGCAGAGUUUUGAAAAGUUGAAAGCACGAUUGACUGAAGCACCAAUUUUAGCACAGCCUGAGCUAGGAAAGGAGUUCGUAAUUUAUAGUGAUGCAUCAUUGACAGGCCUUGGAUGUGUGUUGAUGCAAGAGGGUAAAGUGGUAGCUUAUGCUUCGAGACAGUUAAAACUGCAUAAGAAGAACUAUCCUACACAUGAUUUGGAAUUGGCCGCUAUUGCCUUUUCCUUGAAGAUUUGGCGACAUUAUUUGUAUGGUGAAAAAUGCCGAAUUUUUACUGAUCACGAAAGUUUGAAGUAUUUGAUGAAUCAAAAGGAUUUGAAUCUGCGACAGCGGAGAUGGCUCGAAUUAUUAAAGGAUUAUGAGCUAGUGAUUGAUUAUCAUCCGGGAAAAGCAAAUGUAGUUGCUGACACCUUGAGCAGGAAAUUUCUUUUUACUUUGAGAGCCAUGAAUAUGGGGUUAGCAUUGUCUGAUGAUGGGUCAAUCUUAGCAGAGAUGAGGGCUAAACCGUUAUUUCUCCAGCUGAUUUGUGAUGCUCAAAAGAACGAUAGUGAGUUGUGAACCAAGGAACUCAAUGCGAAUCAGGUUACGACUCAGAUUUUCGAGUUGGACUAGACGACUGUUUGAUGUUUCGAGACAGGAUAUGUGUACCGAAAAAUUAUGAAUUGAUUCAGAAAAUAUUAGAUGAGGUGCACAGUGGCUGUUUAUCAGUUCACCCUGGUAGCACAAAAAUGUAUAAUGAUUUAAAGAAGUUAUAUUGGUGGCCAGGUAUGAAAAGGGACAUUUCUGAAUUUGCAACCAAGUGUUUGAUUUGUCAACAAGUAAAAGCUGAACAUCAAGUGCCUUCAAGACUACUUCAACCGGUAAUGGUGCCUGAGUGGAAAUGGGACAAGAUUACCAUGGAUUUUGUAGCCGGUUUGCCUUUGACUCCUAAAAAGAAGGAUGCUGUUGGGUAGUGGUUGAUAGAUUAACAAAGUCAGCCCACUUUAUACCAGUACGUAGCGAUUACUCACUUGAUAAAUUAGCUGAAUUAUAUAUUGCUGAAAUUGUGAGGUUGCACGGAGUACCUAUGUCUAUAAUAUCAGAUAGAGAUCCGAGAUUUACCUCAAGAUUUUGGAAAAAGUUACAAGAAGCUUUUGGUAAAAAAUUGAACUUUAGUACCGCAUUUCAUCCACAAACAGAUGGUCAGUCAGAAAGAGUAAUCCAGGUACUCGAGGAUAUGCUUAGAUGCUGUGUCUUAGAAUUUGGAGGUAGUUGGGAGAAAUAUCUAUCUUUGAUUGAAUUUGCCUACAAUAAUAGUUAUCAGUCAAGUAUACAAAUGGCACCGUACGAAGCCUUGUAUGGUCGCAAGUGUCGGACUCCUUUAUAUUUGACCGAACUUAGUGAGAAAUAGAUUCACAGAGUUGAUCUAGUUAAAGAAACCGAAGAGAAAAUAAAAGUAAUUCGGGAUUGCUUGAAAGCUGCUUUAGUUCGACAAAAGUCAUAUGCAGAUUUAAAAAGAAAAGAGAUUGAAUUUCAGGUGGGUGAUAAAGUGUUCUUGAAGGUGUCACCAUGGAAAAAGAUUCUGAGAUUUAGCCGAAAAGGCAAGUUGAGUCUGCGUUUUAUUGGGCCGUACGAGAUUACUGAGAGGAUUGGACCAGUGGCAUUUCAGUUAGCCUUACCGGCAGAGUUAGAAAGAAUUAAUAACGUGUUUCAUGUAUCAAUGUUGCGACGUUAUCAUUCUGAUCCUUCACAUGUGAUUUCUCCAGCAGAAAUUGAGAUUCGACCGGAUAUGACCUAUGAGGAACCAAUAAAGAUUUUGGCUCGGGAAAUUAAAUAGUUAAGAAAUAAAGUAUAGCCUUAGUGAAAGUAUUGUGGCACAGACAUGGGAUAGAAGAGGCUACAUGGGAACCUGAGGAAGCUAUGAGGAAACAGUACCCAAACCUCUUUACCGGUAAGAUUUUCGGGGACGAAAAUCUCUAAAGGGGGGGAGAAUUGUGACAACCCGAAUUAGGGCCUAAUCAGAAUAGUGGUUUUGUGACCACAAAUUUGAGAUAGAAAUAAUUGUUUUAUAAUUAUUUUGGGGUUUAUGAUAUGACUUCAUGAUUUCAUGAAAAUUUCGUGAUGAAAUUCUAUGCAUUGAGCGCUUAAGUUGAGAUUAGGGACUAAACCGAAUAAAUUGUAAAACUCAUGUUUUAAAAGUUUUUAGCAUGAAAUUACUUUGGGAUAUUAACUAGGAGGUCUUAAAUAAAAAUUUGACCCAUUCCUAAGUUAUGGACAAAAGUUGGACAUAGAGGGAAUUUUUGGAAAGUUUAGUAGUAUGGGCAUUUUGGUCAUUUGUAUAUUAAAUGAAAUAAAAUGGGAAAAAUAACACAAAAUUGGUCAUCAUCUUCACUAGUUGCUGCCGAAUUUUCUCUCCUCCAUAGCUAGGGUUUCUUCAACUUUCAAGCUUCAUAGUAAGUGAUUUCAAGCCCCGUUUUUAAUGUUCUUCACAUUUUUGAAAUCCUCAUAGCUCGGUUUACCUAUUUCUACCAUUAUUUUGAGUUAGGGUUUAUGUUUAAAAAUUUACCCAUGAAUGAUAGGCAUGUAUUGUGUUGUUUGAUGGUAGAAUAUAAAUGUUUAAAGUUAGGAGAACGAUCUUUUCUAAGCAAUUUUUAACGAAAACGAGCAAAACGGCAUAAUCGAUAAAAAUACCUAUUGUUCAUAACUAUGUGUUAGAGUGAGAAUUUGAUGUUCCCAUAGAAGAGAAAAAUGAUCAGUAGGUCAUUAAACAUAAGAAUAAGGACUGAAAUUAAAUUUUCGAGCCUUGGGGAAAAAUCAUAAUUUUGUAAAAGUUAGGGGGCAAAAAUGUAAUUUUUGUAUAAUGUGAUUUUUGGAUUAAAAUAAAUAGUUCAAGUGUUAAAUGAGCUAAAUAUGUUAUUAUAGAUCAAGAAAGGCAUGGAAUCGACCCUCGAAUGGGGGAAGGAGAAAGUUUUGGACUAAAUUGCAAAAUUCCCAUAUUUUGCACCGAGGUAAGUUUGUAUGUAAAUAAUACAUUAAUUUCAUUUACAUUCUUAUAUUUCAGCCUAUUAUAUAUAUACUAGCUGAUGUUGAAGUAUAAAUCGACUAUUGGAAGAAUGGAAAUAAGUAAUAGAGAGAGAUCCCGGUUGAACAUUCGGAAAGAUUGAAUAAAAUAGAGGGAGCAUAGCUAGGUCACAUGUAUGGUGCUGAGUGCACAUCAUGUGUACAAGAAAGCUACGAGAUACUAUGUAGUAGCUAGGUCACAUGUGUGAUACGGGAUGUAUCCCAUGUAGACAAGAGAGCUACGUGAGAGAUAAAUGUAGCUAGGUCGUAUGCGUGAUUCCAAGUGAAGGACACCAUGUAGACAAGAGAGCUACGAGACAAAUCGGCUAGGUCGCAUGAGUGGUACUAAGUGCUCACCAUGUGUACUAGAGAGCCGAAUUAAAUGAAAUAUGAUGGUGGGGCUCGAGGAUUAAUCUAAAUUGUUCAACGGGAUGGCUUUGUGGUGACAUUGUAGUCAUGGGCCUAUACUUGUGAUGUAUGAAAUGUGGUGAAAAUGAUUUGUGAUAUAUAUAUAUAUAAGUUAAAAUGAGGUUAGUACAAAGAAUGUGUGAAAGAGUGAAAUUAGCAUUAAAACUGUUUUGGACAGUAGCAGUGACGUGAUUUUUAAAAACCACCAAAAAUAGAAGGAAUUUAAUUAUAGGUUUAAUAAGAUGGUAAAUUAAAGCUUAAUGAGUCUAUUUGCAUAUAAAAGAAACAGAGCAAGCAAAGGAAUUCUAUAUUUUGAGAUAUUUACAAUUGUGUGUGACUUGCUCAGGAUGACUAUGUGAUCCCCUAUUCCAACUUUUAAAAAUCAUUAAACAUUGUACAAAAAAAAUUAAUAAAUAUAGUUUAUAUGCCUAAAUUCCUUAUUGAGUCUAGUUUUAAAUGAAAUAGGUUUCAUGGUUAUUUGAAUUUUGUACUGAGAUAAAUUCAAUUCGUAGUGAAUAGAGGUCAGAUCAGUUGAGCUGUGUAACAGGGGAAACUUUAACUAAUAAACUGUACUAAUUGGCUGAACCAAAAAUUCUAAAAAAAAAUUAGUAAGAAUUUCUAUGAGUCUAGAUUCAGGGAAAUUUUACAGAUUUGAAUUUUUAGUUUCGUAACUCGAGUUAUGAUUUAUUUAGUGAUCAUGACGCAGAAGGUCAGCUUGAUCAAAUCGGAGUAAAUAGUAAAAUUAAAAAUAUGAUAUAAUUGAGUUAUAUUGUAAACAUAUUAGAUUCCUUAUUUGUUAUUUAUAUACUUACUUACUAAGCUAUAAGCUUACUUUCUUUUCUCUCAUUUGUCUUAUAGUGUCAUUCAGCUAGCACAGGAGUUAGAGAUCGUUAAAGAUCCGCCCGCACUAUCAAUACUCUUGGUAUUCGAACUCAACAUUUUGAAAUAUGGCAUGUAUAGCAGACUUAGUUAUUUAGUUACGUGUCAUAAUUUUCUAGGUUUAAAAUACUAAUUAUAGUAUCAAACUAAUCAUUUUUUACGAAGCCUUUGAAAUUGGUUUGUAUUGUUAAUGGCAUAUGUUAUAAUGAUUCAUGAUCAAAUUGAACGCCAUAUUUUUUUUGGAUUUUAUUUAAUAGUAUAUACUAUAAUUUGUUAAUACCUCGUACCUUGUUCCGGCGACGGAUACGGGUAAGGGGUGUUACAAUUUCGUAUAGAAUGGCAUCUGCAGAACAUAAAAAGUUAAAAGCACAGUCACAAGAGUUGGCAGAUACAGACUUUGUUCAGCCUAGUUUUUCUCCUUGAGGUGAUCUUGUUUUGUUUGUUAAGAAAAAUGACGGAUCAAUGUGGUUGUGUAUCGACUACCAAUAGCUCAACAAAGUCACGAUCAAGAACAAAUGUCUUUUGCCACAUAUAGGUGAUUUGUUUGAUCAGCUGAAAGCAACAACAGUGUUUUCAAAGAUUGACUCCGUUCAGGAUAUUAUCAAUUAUAGAUUGAAGACUCGGAUGUGCCAAAUACUGUUUUCAGAACUCGGUACAAACAUUAUGAAUUUCUUGUUAUUCCAUUUGGUUUGACCAAUGCACCUGCUAUGUUUAUGGAUUUGAUGAAUAGGACAUUCAAGCCGUAUUUAGACAGAUUUUUGGUUGUGUUCAUUGAUGAUAUACUUAUUUAUUCCCGAGAUGAGACAGAGCAUACCCAGCAUUUGAGAAUAGUUUUGCAGACUUUACGUGAAAAAUAGUUUUUCUCUAAGUUUAGCAAAUGUAAGUUCUGGCUUCAGAAAGUUGGAUUUUUGGGACACAUGGUAUCAGUGGACGAUAUUAGAGUUGAUCCAAGUAAAGUAUCGGCUAUAGUGGACUGGAAGCCUCCGAGAAAUGUGUCUGAAGUAAGAAGUUUUCUGGGUUUAGCAAAAUAUUGUAAAAAAUUUGUAAAAGGAUUUUCAAUGAUUACUACACCAUUGAUGAAACUGCUUAGAAAGAUCUCAAGUUUGAAUGGUUUGAGAAAUGUCAACAAAGCUUUGAUCAAUUGAAAGCGUUGUUAAUCAAGGCACCUGUGUUAGUUUAGCCAGAGUCCGGUAAGGAAUUUUUUAUUUAUAGUGAUGUUUCAUUGGACGGUUUAGGUUGUAUAUUGAUGUAAGAAGGCAAAGUGGUAGCGUAUGCUUCUCGACAGUUGAAAUCGCAUGAAAAGAAUUACUCGACUUAUGAUUUAGAGCUUCUUUAAAGAUUUGGCGACACCGCUUGUACGGAGAAAAAUGUCAUAUUUUCACGAAUCACAAAAGCCUAAGGUAUUUGAUGUCACAGAAAGAUCUAAACUUGAGACAACGUUGAUCGUUUGAAUUACUAAAAGAUUACGACUUGAUCAUUGACUAUCACUUAGGAAAGGUUAAUGUCGUUGUUGAUGCUCUGAGUAGAAAAUCUUUAUUUGCUUUUUAAGCUUUGAAUACAAGAUUUACGUUGAUUGAUGAUGGUUCUAUACUAGUUGAAUUAGAAGCUAGACCAAAAUUUUUGCAAUAGAUUUGUGAGGCUUAGAAAAGUGACACUAAAUUGAUCGCUAAACGAAAAUAGAUUGAGUCAACAUCUGAUUCAGACUUUCAUGUUGGUUUAGACAAUAAUUUGUAGUUCAAAAUAGAAUUUGUGUUCCAAGGAAUUCUGAUCUCAUUCAGAAGCUUUUACAUGAAGUUCACAGUAGUAACUUAUCGUUACAUCCUGGUAGCAAUAAAAGGUACAGUGAUUUGAAACAGAUGUUCUUGUGGCUAGGUAUGAAACGAGAGAUUUCAGAGUUUGUAUCAAAAUGUGUGAUCUGUCAGCAAGUAAAAGCUAAGCAUUAAGUACCUUUUGGUUUAUUACGACCUAUGAUGAUUCCAGAGUGGAAAUGGGAAUGUGUUACAAUGGAAUUUAUGUCAGGAUUGCCUCUAUCUCCGAGAAAGAAAGAUAUCUUUUGGGUUAUUGUAGAUCGUUUGAUGAAAUCUACACAUUUCAUUCUAGUGCGUACGAAUUUUUCACUUGAUAAAUUAGCAUAAUUAUACGUUUCUGAGAUUGUCAGAUUACACGGUGUGCCAGAUUCUAUUAUCUCUGAUAGAGAUCCAAGAUUUAUGUCUUGAUUCUGGAGUAAGUUACAUAAAGCUUUGGGUACUCAACUACAUUUUAGUAUACCAUUUCAUCUACAAACCGAUGCUCAAUCUUAACAAGUAAUCCAGGUACUCGACGAUAUGCUCCGAUGUUGCGUUUUAGAGUUCAAAGGUAACUAGGAGAAAUUUCUUCCGUUUGUUAAAUUUGCAUACAACAAAAAUUAUCAAGAGAGCAUUAAAAUGGCACUGGAUAAAGCUUUGUAUGGUCAAAAAUGUCGAACAUCGUAAUACUGGACUGAGCUGAGGGAGAAAAAGUUAUUCAGUAUUGAUUUGAUUUGAGAAACUGAAGAAAAAGUCAAAGUGAUACGUAACCAUUUGAAAGCUGCUUCUGAUCAUUAGAAAUCUUAUGUAGAUUUGGAAAGAAAAGAUAUGGAGUUUCAAGUCAGUAACAAGGUAUUUCUAAAAGUAUCGCCUUGGAGAAAAGUUCUCUGGUUUGGCUGAAAAGGAAAGCUUAGUCCGUGAUUUAUCAGACCGUAUAAGAUUAUUGAGAGGAUUGGACCAGUGGCUUAUUGAUUGGCUUUUCCGUCUAAGUUAGAAAAGAUUCAUAAUGUAUUUCAUGUAUCAAUGUUAUGAUGGUAUCGAUCAGAUCCUUCACACGUGAUUUAACCUAUAGAUGUUGAGUUCAGCCAGCAAUGACGUACAGUGAAGAAACAAUCAAAAUUUAGCUCGGGAAGUUAAAGAAUUGAGAACAAAAGUAUAGCUUUAGUUAAAGUUACCUGGAAACGUCAUGGAAUGAAAGAGGCUACCUGGGAACCAAAAAAAGCUAUGAAAGUUCAAUACCCGAACCUAUUUUCUGGUAAGAUUUUCGGGGACAAAAAUUCCUUUAGGGGGAGAGUUGUAACAACGCAUUUUUAGUGAUAUCAAAAAUAGUGAUUUCAGGACCACAAUUCUGAUGAGUAAAUUAUUAUUUUAUUAUCAUUUUAACAUCUAUGCGAAUAUAUUAAGGUCGUAUUAAAAUUUCGUUAAGAAAUUUUUAUGUUUAAGUAAUUAAUUAAGUGAAAAGGACUAAAUCAUAAAAAGGUGAAAAGUUGAGUUAUAUUAGUUAAAAGGGUCAAAUGACUAUGAAACUUUAAACUAAAGGACUUGAAGGGAAAAUAACCAUUUAAUAAAUUAUUGGGUGUGCAUGGCAUUUUUUAUUGAAAUUUUGUUAGUUUUUAAAGGUUAAUUUGGUAAUUAAGUAAAUAAACUUAAAACAAAAAGGAAUUAAAAGAUAGUAUCAUCUUUAGUCUUCUUCUCCAUUGAGAUUCAAGAGAGGAAUAGCCAUUGUUAGGGCUUUAAUGUUUAGCUAGCUUGGGUGUGUGCAUGUAAGUGAUUCCAAGCCCUAUUCCUAAUGAUUUUUAUGUUUUUGAGUUCGUUUUAGCUUAAUCUAGCUAGCCCUGAGGUCAAUUUGUAAAAUUGUUAAAGGUUUAGGGUUAUGCCAUGAAUGUUCUUGAAUGUUUUUUGAUGUUACAUGAUAGAUUAUGAAUCUUUGUUGAAAAAUAAACAAGUUUUGUUAAGUGAUUUUUGUUGAAUUUUGGAAUUAGGGACUAAUUUGUUAAAGAUAUAAAUUCUAGGGUUUUAUUGUAAAAUUAUGGUAAAUAUUAGUUUUUUCAAGGUCGCUUGCAUGUUUGAUUAACAUGGAUUUAGAUUAAAAUGGUUAGAUUUUAAGUUAUAAGCUUAAGGACUAAACUGUGAAAAAGUUAAAAUGUUAGGGGCAAAUUGGUAAUUUUCAUAAAUAUGAAAUUUGGAUUAAAUUAAAUACUAGAAAUAUGAAAUUGAUUUAAAUUCUCCAUUUAGAUCAAGAUAAACCACGUACGGACCUAGAUCAAGGAAAAGCAAAGGCUUCUGAAUAGUUUGACCUAACUACUAUGACCCUAGUCGUCAAGGUAAGUUUGUAUGAAGGUUAUUGUGUUAUUGUUACUUAAAUUGAAUGUUUGCUAUGUUACUCUUAAUGUGAAUGGAUUGAUAUAUAUAAACAUAUCAAUGUUAUGAUGAAUUGACAAUUAUCGAGUCCCGGUUGAACAUUAGGAAAUCUUAGGAUACAAAUGACAUAUCAUUUGGGAUUUCAUGUUUCGGGUGCUAGUCUUGAAUGUCCUAUCGAUGGAUGAGGUCCUAUAUUUUUUGUGAAUUCUCCACAGCUAGUGUGAGCAGCAUCCUGUAGCUUACAUUCGACCCACAGCUCGUUUGAGCAUGCCCAUUUCACAGCUUGUGUGAAAAAUAAUGUAAAGGAAAGGUUACGAUUGUAUGUAGAGGCACACCUUUGUGUGAGAUUCCCUAAGUAUCUGAGGUAAUUCUAAUUGGUUCAACAGGAAAGAAAAAGGAACAUAAUGGUAAGUAUGUAAAUGGAAUGAAUCAUGAUUUAAUGAAAGGCUUGAUAAACUAAAUAAUGUUGUAUGUACCUUAUGAAUGAUUUCAUUUAUGCUAUGGAUGAACAGACUAACUUGUGAGUUGGUGAUGUUGCAUAUGUUUACACUAAGAUUAUGGUAUUGGUAUUGAUUUGUACUUAUUAUAUGAAUUGUACUAUAAAAAUGGUAAGUUACGUUUUAAUUUUAUACGAGCUUACUAAGCAUUCAUUACUUACAUAGUUUCUUUCUUAGUUUCUUCCUUGUCAAAUUGUGUCAUUUUGGUUAUCUUAUUAUGCAUGGUUGUAUAGCUCUUUAUGGUAAGUUUGAAAUGGUAUGAUAAUGAUCAUAUUUGUGGUAUGUUUUGAUAAAUAUUGAAGUAGAACAUCAUGCUUGGAUUGUGGUAUUUUUUAUAUGCUUAGGUAGGCGUGAUUUUGAAUGUGUUUGAAGUGCCUUUGAAUAGCACAAUGGUUAGUUGUAUUAAGAUCCUGAAAUGGCAUUUUGGUGUAUGUAUUUGUUAUGUUUGGGUCCUUUUGAAGUGUGCUUAAAUGUGUUGAAAGGUCAUGCAUGAAAUGGUCUUGGAAAUGGCUUGAUUUUAGGUAAAUUUGGGUCCACACGGCCAGAGACACGGGCGUGUGACUCAGCCGUGUGAGACAUACGGCCUGGCGACAUGGCCCUGUGUCAUCUGAUGAUUUUCUUAUGUUGUAACAACCCGUUUAGUAAAAUCAAAAUAGUGGUUUCGAAACCAUAAACUCGAUGUCAAAAAAUUAUUUGAAUAUUAUUUUAAGUGUUUACAGCAUGAUAGCAUGUAUGAGUGAAAGUUUUGUGAAGUAAUUUUGUAACACCCCUAUCCCGUAACCAUCACCGGAAUAGGUAAGGGGCAUUACCGGACUUGUAACUCAUGUCAGAACAGUAAAAUUUUGAACUUUUUCUUGAAAUAAAGAUCAUUCAUUUAAAUAAGUACUAAGCACAGCCAGGGAUAAAAUUUAAACUUCUCUAAGUAAACAUUCAAAAGAUGCCAUUUUCGCAUGGCUUAUAUACAUUAACCAAAAAUAUUCUUCCGCCACUAGUCUAUUCUAUACAUGCCAUAAAAUAAUUCUAAACAUAACAGUAAUAAGCAGUGGAUAGUGAUAGUGUGACUAGUUGCUGACGAUCCCCGAGCCUGUAGCUUCGCAAUGAGAUCUAUAAAAUAGAGAAAACAAAGUAAACGGAGUAAGCAUUACAAUGCUUAGUAAGUUUUAAGCAGUGACAACAGAUAACAAUCAAAUUAUAACAUAGUUGUUCAUAUUUUUAUUUCACUCUUCCUUCGGGCAUACCAUCCCUUUACCGAAUAUGCACAUCUCAUCAUAUACAAUAGGCAGAUAAACUUUCACAUAAAAGUGAGCUCAUGUGACAUAGAUAUAUUGUAUGAUUUCACAUAUCCUCUCACACUGAUCCGAAGUCACAUAAUCAUAGGAAUAGUCUCAUAGAUUGCUCUCAUAUGCAUCACAUAACUACCUUAUGAUUUAGUUCAAAUCAAGCUCACAUAUAAACUUGGAGUACAUACCUGUUUAACCUUUCGCAUUGAAUAUAUUUAUAUGCAAUUCUUAUUACGAAGUCUUAUAGCUCUAACCUCUACUCGGAUUAUCGGUGAGACCUUUAGCUCAGACGAAAUCUCCACAUGAAGUUAUCGGGUCUUACCCAGACAAAAUCUCCACACGUAGUUAUCGGGUCUUACCCAGACAUAAUCUCCACACGUAGUCAUUGGGUCUUACCCGGACAUAAUCUCCACACGUAGUCAUCGGGUCUUACCCGGACAUAAUCUCCACACGUAGUCAUCGGGUCUUACCCGGAAUAUAUUUCCAAGUUUCAUGUACAUUUAAUCACAUGUUACAACAUUCACAUCGACUGUCAUAUUUGUAAUUCAUUUGCCUCAUCCAAAAAUCUAAUAAUACACACCUUUCACCGUUUGUCAUUUGGCCACAAUAUAUAUAUACACAUCUCGUACAUAUCUCACAUUAGCCAUUUGGCUUUACCACAUAUCCAUCUCAUACACGUUUCGCAUUAGCCAUUCGGCCUUACCACAUAUAUUCAUGUUCACAUUCAUCACAUUGGCCAUUCGGCCUUAUCUCAUAUAUGCAUGUUCACAUUCAUCACAUUGGCCAUUCGGCCUUAUCACACAUACGCAUGUUCACAUUCAUCACAUUGGCCAUUCGGCCUUAUCACACAUACGCAUGUUCAUAUCCAUCACAGUGGCCAUUCGGCCUUAUCACACAUACGCAUGUUCACAUUCAUCACAUUGGCCAUUCGGCCUUAUCACACAUAUAUAUACGGGUUCACAUUCAUCACAUUGGUCAUUCGGCCUUAUCACACAUACGCAUGUUCACAUCCAUCACAUAAAAUCCUAAAUCAAAAUAUAAAUUUUCAUGUAUUCACAUCACAAUUAUCCAAAUAUACUUCACAUACCACAUAUACUUUCACGUAUACACACUGCCUUGGCUGAAUCUACAUCUAUCAUUUUCCAAUAUCACAAUUUAGAAUUCACGUAUGGGUUUAAUCAAUAGCUUAUGACCAACUAAAACAAGUUUAUCAAGGUUUACAACAUAAUCUCAAAUUCAGCACAAGCUAUUUUUCCUGAGCAAUAGUCACUAAAUUAUUUAUAACUGGAGCUACAAAACUCCAAAUCACUUUAUGUUAAUUUUUCCUGAAUAUAAACUCGUAUAUCUUCCAUCCAUAAAAUUUCCAGAAUUUUAGGUUUGGCCAAUCAAUACCAGAUUUUUCUUAAAGUUUCUCCUGUUUCACUGUUUGACUAAUCUGACCACUCUUCACUACGAAUCAAAUUUCUCAUUUUACAGAAUUCAAAAUGUGUUUUAUUUGAUUUCAUUUGAAACUAGACUCAUUAAGGAGUCUAAGAAUAUAAAUUUUAUCUUAUAACCAUUUUUGUACAAUUUAUAAUGAUUUUCUAAAAACCGAACAGGUGAUUUCGGAGUCAUUCUGACACCAUCUCACACAACUUUAAAUAUCUCUUUCUAGGAAAUUUCUUUGCUCACAAGGUCUCUUUUAUAAGAAACUAGACUAAUUAAGCCUUGAUUACAUAUUUUAUGUAGCCUAUAAUUCCACACCAACAAUUUAUAGUGAUUUUCUAAAUUCACGUUACUGCUGCUGUCCAAAGCAAAUUAUUACAAUUUGCUCUUAAAUUUCCAAGUCCAAACACUUAUGAACUUACCAUUUGAGUUUAAGACAUAUCAUGGCCACAUCAUAUCUUAUUAAAUCAACUCAUUAUGUCCUAUUAUGAUUGAAUUUACUCAACGUUUAAUCACUUAAAACUUACCUCGGAUGUUGUCGAACGAUUUCGGCGGCUAUUCGAUCACUUUUUCCUUUCCUUUAUCCAACUUUGAUCCUCUAAGCUCUUGAGCUAAUUCAAACAAAUUUAACUUAUUAAAGUCUCAUUAUGCUAGCUUAUGGCCGAAUAUGACAAUGAAUUUGAUAGGUCAUAUGGCCACUUUUAGCUCAAAUACAAAAUGGUCAUACGCAUUUUUAAUCACAUUAAGCAAUUUAGUACAAUUAAUCAAACAUUUCCUCAUGUGCACCUUUAUGACCAAAUACACACAUCAUUAACCUAAUAUCAAUUAACUAAGCACUUAACAAAUUCUCCUUGAGCCGAUUGUCUAAGUCAAGAUAGGAUCAUCAUUAUGCUUACCUAUAGCCGAAUGUACAACAUCAAUCUAUGCAUUCAUUCGUGUGGCCGAACAUGCAUGUCUAUGUUGAGGCCGAUUGCAUACUUAAUACAUUCUACAAGUAUGGUCACUUGUAUUGACCAAAUACCAUUUUGUUUCAAGUUCAAAACUUGGCUAAUAUAUAUAUAUGCACUAUUAAAACAUCCUCUCCAUUCCAUCAAUUCAACACAUGCAUUACUCAUUAAUAUACAAAAUUAUAUUCGGCCUUAGCACACCUCUUGCUGGCCGAAUUUUUUCUCCAUCUAGCAACAUUUUAUGUACUAUGCCGAACCAAAAAGAUCAAACACCUAGCUUAAUCAUUUCCAAAACACUUAACCGGCCUUUGACCAAGACUUUAAACAAAGUCUAUGUUCGGCUAUCACACAUAUGGGCAUUAUUAGUUCAAAGUUUUAACAAGAUUAAUUUCUUUGAUCUUAACCUAAAUGACAACCCCCAUUGUUCAUCUAGAUUUAGCAUGAAACAAACACCAACCAAGAAAACAACACCCAUGGCCGAGUAUCAUCUUCAUCACAUAGCAAGAUUUAAACCAUAGGCUAGGUAGAACUCAAACUAACAUCAAAAAUAUGCAUGAAUCUCAUGGAACAACAUCAAACUUACCUUAACCUAGAUACAAGCAUGGCCGAAUCUCUUCAACAUUUCCUCCUCCUAAACACCAACCAACUGAACAUGAAGCAAGAAAAUCCUCUUCUUCUUCCUUCCUCCUUAGAAUUUUCAGCCAAAAGAAAUGUUAAAGGAUGGACACUUUUUUUUUCUUUGUUUUCAUCACCCUCCAUCUCCUUAUUUUAUUACUAACCCCUUAUUUUAUUAUUUCUAACAUAAACCAUUAACACAACAUGUUUAUGACAUGUUUUACCCAUCACCCUUUGUCAUGGCCGGCCAUUAGUAAUUAAAUGGGGGAAAUUGACAUGCAAGUCCACCCCUUUGAUUACAUGCACUAAUAGAUCCUUAUAGAUUAACCUAUCACAUUUCAAAAGUGUCACACAUAAGUCCUAUUAACUAAAUUCACAUGCAAUUAACUAAAUCAAAGCUUAAAACUUUCACACAUUCAUAUUCACAUAUUUUAGGCAAUAAUUAUCAUAUUCAAAUAAUUUGGUGACUUAGUUUAGCGGUCCCAAAACCGCUUUCCGACUAGGGUCACUUUAGGGGUGUCACAAAUUUUAUCGUUUGAAUGCUUAAUUCGAUAAAAAGGACUAAAUCACGUAAAGUGCAAAAGUGAUGUUCUAUUAGCUAAAGGUGUCUAAUAGCUAUAGAACCUUAAAGUAAAGGUCCUUAAGUGGUAAUUAACCCAUUUGAAAGUUAGUGGAUGAUAGUGGCAUGGCAAUUGGUGUAAUUAUUAAAUGUUUUAAAGGUUAAAUAAGUAAAUUAGUUAAUAAAGGUUAAUUAAAACAAAACAAAUUCAUAAUUUUUGUCCAUCUUCAUGCUAAUAGCCGAAUUUAACAAAGGAGAAAGCCAUUCUUAGGCCUUAAAGCAUUCGACCAACUCCUAGCUUAAUUGCAAGUCCGUUUUUGCUCGAUUUUUAAUGAUUUAUAUGUUUUUCUGAUAGUUGCAACUAGUACUAGCUAGCCCAGGGACUAUUUUGAAAAACUGUUAGAGAUUUUAAAUGAUUCCAUUGAUGAAUACAUGUGUAUUUUGAAGUUUCUUAAUAGAUUAUGAAUGCUUGUUGAUAGAUAUACAAGUUUUGUUAAGUGAUUUUUAGUGAAAAUGCAAAAUAGGGAUUAAAUUAAAAAAUGUUGAAACUUGAUGGUUAAAAUGUGAAAUCAAUGAAAAAUAUGGGCUGUUAGGGGUACAAUAGUAAUUCGGCUAAGCAUGGGUGUUUUAAAAUUUGCAUGAAUUUGUGAUUUUGUGUAAUAAGGACUAAAUUGUAAAAAUGUGAAAGUUUAGGGGCUAAUUUGUAAAAUAGCUUAAACGUAUAUUUUGGAUUGAAUUGAAUAAAUAUAUGAUUAAAUGAGUUGAAUUUGAUAUUAUAUAGAUCAAGAAAAAUUGAAUUUGGAAUUGGAUCUGAGAAAAGAUAAAGUAUUCGAUUAAUCGACAAUUUCAUUGUUAUUAAAUUGAGGUAAGUUCGUAUGUGAUAAAUUUCACUAUAACAGUAUUUUAAUUGCUUUGAUAUAUUAUAAGUUGUGAAUACGAGACUUCGGGUAAGUUCGACAUUAACUCUAUGACAAUUCAACAUCCGAAAUCCUGGUUGAACCUUGGGAAUAGUUUAGGAUACUAGUGACAUGUCAUUAGGGGAUAUGUAACAUCCGGAUUUUGGGCCUAGUCAGAAUAAUGGUUUUGAGACCACAAAUUCAAAGUAGAAAUAAUUAUUUUAUGAAUGUGUUGAGGUCUAUGAUAUGUUUGCAUGAUUGUAUGAAACUUCAGUUAAGAAAUUUUGUUGAUAGAGUGUCCAAUUUGAUUUUUAGGACUAAAUUGAAAAAGUUGCAAAAUAUGUGAUUCUAGAAGCUUUAAGCAUGGAAUAGCUAUGGAUUAUUAAUUAGACGCCCUUAAAUAGCAAUUUAACCAAUUUCUAUUUUUAUGGACAAAAAUGGGCAUGAAUAAGUAAAAUUGAAGGUUUAGUAAAAAGGGCAUUUUGGUCAUUUGGUUAAUAAAAGAAUAGAAAGGGAAAAUUAAUUCAAAAUUUGCUCAUCUUCUCCAUGCCAUAGCUGAAAUUCCUAAGGUCACCUUAGCUAGGGUUCUUCAACUUUCAAGCUUGAUUGUAAGUGCAUUCUAGCCUCGUUUUUAAUGUUCUUUACAUUUUUGAAGUUGUUGUCAACUGAUCUAGCCAUUUCUACCGUUUAUUUGAGCUUGAGUUGAUGUCUAAGGUUUGACCCAUAAGUGACAUGUAUGUAUUUUGAUGUUUCAUGGUAGAUUAUGAAAGUUUGAUGUGUAAUAAACAACCUUUACUAGGUGAUUUUUUAUGAAAAUACCUAAAAUAGACCUAUUUGUACAAGUUGUAAAAUGUGUAGUAAAAAUCUGAUUUGAUGAAAAAUGUGGGCUGAUAUGAGCAUGUGUGUGGGUCGGCUAGGCUUGAGUAACAAAGAAAUUGAAUGCAUUUCAUUUGACGAGCCUAAGGACUAAUUUGUAAAUAUGUGAAAGUUUAGGGGAAAAACUAUAAUUUUUCGAAAGUAUGGUUUUUGGAUUGAUUUGAACAAUUUGGUAAUUAAAAGAGCUAAAUUUGAUAUUACAUAUGAAGAAAAACAGAGUCCAAACCUAGACCGGGGAAAGAACAAGGUUGUGGACUAAAUCGAGUUAGUUAGCUAUAUUUUGUACUGAGGUAAGUUCAUAUGUAAAUAAUACAAUAUUAUGAUCAUAUUUUUAAUGCAUUAAUAUUGUAUGAAUUGUAUAAUUGAUUCGAUGAACAAAUUCGACAAGUUCCGAAAAGAGAGAGAAAAUCCUGUUUGAACCUUAGGAAUAGAAUAGGAUACGAGUGACAUGUCACUAGGACCCAUGUGAUAUAUAUGAUUAUGUGAUUUGAGUGCUGGUCAUGUACGUCCUACCGGUGGCUAGGUAGUUCGGCAUGUGUUACGGAUGCCUGGUAGCUUGUGUGAGUAGCUCGUGUAGCUACGCCUUGACCGUCUGCUUGUGUGAGCAGACCCGUGAUUAGCUCGAGAGCGAGCAUUUAUGUGAUAUGAAAUAUGAGGUAGCUUUGGCUAUAUAUGUUGCACUUGUGUGCAAAGACCUUCUGUGUAUCCGUUUAGUAUUCCAAGUGUUCAACGGGUAUGUCAAAAACGAGAAAAAGUAUGUUAAGUCACAAGUUGGUACAGGUAUGUACGAAAAACUCAUAAGAUUGAGCUUGUUAAGUGAUGAACUUUUAGUAAGAUUAAGAAUGAUAAAGUUAUGCUUAUGAAACUAUGAUGAUCAGUAUGUGAUUUAUGCUAAGUUAAAUUGUAUGAUAUUCAUGCUAAAUGUUGCUUAAUAUUGUUUAUUAUUGCAUAUGAACUUACUAAGCUCUAUGCUUACUCCCUUUCUUUCCAUUUUCUUAUAGUAUCGCCAAGCUAGCUCCAGAAUCGAAGGACGUGGGAGCUCGAUUCACACUAUCAAAUUAAUCUUUCGGGUAUUCAUGAUUUCAUAUUUUGAGUAUGGCAUGUAUAGGGACAUGGUCUUUUUGUGAUAUGUUUCAUUAUUGAUUUGGCCAAAUGUGUUGGCUUGUAACGGUAAUUGAUUCAUUUUGUAAAUGGUCAUAUGGUAUUGGCUAAUAUUGGCUAAGUAUAUAUAUACAUAUGAUGAUGCCUUUCAUGGAUGUGGUUAUCGCAUGGUUUGUAAUUAUAAGUAUGAGAUGUUGUAUGUAAUAGAAAUUGGCAUGAAAUUGAUGUGUGGAUGUCUUGGUUGUGGCUGAAUUGGUAAUGUGUAUAUGUUUGGAUUGGUGUUCUUUAAUGUUGUGUAGGUUGGUGCAAGUAAGGGUGGCAAAAAGGCUUGGUAAAUAACCCUAUUUUUGUCCACACGGGUAGACACACGGGCAUGUGUCUAGGCUAUGUGUGAUACACGGUCUACCCCCAUGGGCGUCGGAUCCGACCGUGUGUCCCCUGCACCUUAAUUUUAGUAUCAGAAUGCUCAGUAUUGAUUACACAAGUGCGAGACACGGCCGUGUGUCUCGACCGUGUGAGAGACACGGCCUUGGGACUUAGGCAUGUUUCCUGGCCAUGUGAAGUCUGCAUCUAUUUUGUGAAAAAUUAUAGAAUUUAAUCGUCCACACGGCCUAAGCACACGGGCAUGUGCCUUGGCCAUGUGACCUCAUUUAUUACAUGACGUCAUAAACAGAGAGUUACACGGGCUAAGGACACAGGAAUGUCCUAAGCCACACGGGCAUGUGUGAUCACAUGGCUUACCCACACGGGUGUGUGACCUUCCAAAGCAUGAAAAUUUUUUUAAGUGUUGUAAAAGUUUUGAAAGUUCUCAGUUUAGUCUCGAAUCACUCCCAAUGUAUGUUUUGAGCCUCGUAGGCUCGUUUAAGGGACGAUGCGAAUGAUUUUGAAAAGUUUUAAAUUUGCAUGGAAAUUUAUGUUUUGGUUCUACAUGAUUUCUUGUGUAUAAAUCCGGUAAUACCUUGUACCCUAUUCUGGCAUCGAAUACGGGUAAGGGGUGUUACACGAUACAUGUGUUGGUUUCGGGACAUGAUAUUAGCAUUUCGGGUGCCAUUUAUACUGAUUUGGCUUCGGGCCAUGAAUAUCGGCUGGUUUUGCUUUGAGCCAUUAUAUCAGUAUUUCAAACAUAAAUUAACUUGAUUUAGCUUUGGGCCAUGGUAUAGGUACUUAGUCUGCGAGACUCCUGAGUAUCCAACUUCCCAAAAUUUGUGCUGCUAUAUAAUGCAUAUAAGGUUAAACCAUGGAUCAUACCAAUAAAAUUACUUCUUUUCAAUUUUAAUGGAAAUAGGAACAUUAAUAAAAAUAUUAUUGAAAAUAAAAAAAGGGUCACCCAGGAGUAUUUAGCCUUGCAAGGUGGUCCUUGCUGAUUCACACGGGAUUCCACGUGCCCCAUGCUACUCGGGUCAGAGCGUAAGCUAGUGAUGCUUUCGGCUACUGGACUAUCGCCAUCUAGGGUUCGGCACUUCACCGCUUCGCCUAGCAGCACGACGCUUUUAUUGCUCUCCCACAACCCCAUUUUCACGGUUUAGGCUGCUCGGCAGAACAACUCAAAAGAUAAAGAAGUAUCGUUAAUUUCUUCAUGCUCGUUCCAAGCUAGAAGUACCAUUUGUACAAAUAAGAAUCCCCUUCGUUACAUGAUUUCUUC
rnacentral:lncRNA from 1 species